rnacentral:lncRNA from 1 species
GACACUGCAACUAAUCUACUCUGCUCGUCCAGUCCCUAGCCUAUAAAUAGAUGCCAUGCUAGCUCUUGUUGUGCUCACAGUUAAUCCGAUUACACACGAGCUUCUCUCCCUGGCCAAGACACAAUCAUAGUAUGAUGAAGAACAUGGCACUAGCCGGCAAUGGUAUGAAGAAGUUAAUCCUCGCUGUUCUCUUACUGUGUCUAGUUAUAGGGCAGAUACAAGUGGAAGCUAAGAGCUGCUGCCCAUCCACCACUGCAAGAAAUGUCUACAAUACCUGCCGUUUGACGGGUGCAUCCCGUCCAACGUGUGCAAAACUGUCAGGCUGCCAAAUUAUCAGCGGGAACAAAUGCAAGCCCCCUAACGACCACCUCACCCUUGACCCGGACACUGGUAAAUAAUAAAUUUAUCUCACUUGAUUUCUUUGUGUUUUGAGUCGUUAAUGUAUUUUCCAUCUGAUGAAACGCAUUGGUUUUGCAUUGAAGAGGAAGUUAAUGUGCUUAACUUCUGCAAGUUGGGGUGUGCGUCGUCUGUGUGCAACAACAUCAACGCUGGUAAGCACCUUUUGCUCAGACAGAGAAAACAAUAAUCAUUAAUUAGCGGCAGCUAGAAUCCUAUAAUCUAAUAUAUAUAUAUAAUUUUAUCAGCUCUGGGAAAUGAAGAGGCGAACGAUGCCGUUGAGAGUUGCGACCAAGCCUGCUCUAGCUUCUGCAGCGUGCAUGUUGGCAGCGCCACCGUGGUUGCUUAAGCAAAUGCAUCCAACUAGAUCGUCCUUGUGCUGAAUAAUUGGAUAUCGUAUCCACUUAAAGCUGCCUUGUGUAGUACGUCUUUGUGUCUCUCUUUAUAUUCCAAUAAGGUCGGUGAUCUUGAUGCCACACACUCAGAUGUGUGUUCAUCUCCAGAUACUACUCCAUGCUACCUGCCCUUUGUGUUUUGUUCAAUAACUGGGUAUCAUAUCCCAACCAGUAUGCCGUCUGUUUUGUGUUUGUUUCCUUCUAGUUCCAAAAGGGUCAUCAUGAUGUUACCUUCUUUCAAUAUGGUGCUUUGCAUGACUACUAUUGUAUGGUACCAUCUUGUGGCCAAUAAGUACAUCUUAUCCUAUGACCUUUGCUAUGACCCUUUGCAAAUAAGUAGAAGAUUGUUAUAAGCGUCAAUACUCCUUAUAAAUUGAUCGCUGCUGUGAGUUCCCUUUCAGCUUAUCGUAGGCAUACAUUAUUGCUAGCACGGUAAAGCCAAUCAACACGAAUGAUGAAGUAAAUGUAGCGGUACUUCUGUAUACCAACACCCUUACUUAAAUGUACCGGUGUCAUUCCCUACUGGCACAUAUAUUCUUAUAUGCUAGCCAGCUUGUAAAAUUAACCAAUUAAAAUAAUUAAUUCAAGAUAGAAAUAACUUAUCGGCUUCUCGAAGCAUGUGUAAUAUGAAUCGCUUCAUCUAUAUUGCUUUCAGGAUUUUGGGUAACUAAAUUUAACAUUUGCACAUACAAAUGUUAAAGUACAAAUGUUAAAUCUAGUUACCCAAGCAGAAUAUGAAUAUACUCUAUAGUAUAUAUAUACUAUAUAAAUCUAGUUAACAUUUAGUCUAAAUGUUAAAUCUAGUUACCUAAAAUCCUGAAAGCAAAAUGUAUAAAUAUAUAUCUUUUAAGGCAGUAUAAGCUUCGAUUCCUAUUGCUGCUCUGUUAAAUCUCAUCUUUCGUUGUGGCCCAACACUCUAGUAUGUAUGUUGCACCAAGCUUCCUUGAGCCGCUCUGCCCUCUGAUUUUGCUGCGUAGGGGAAUCUUUAUCAGGUUGGGCUGCUUCCAGUCAUACGAUGUGUGGCUUCAUAUCUUCUACAAGUUAGACAGGAAACCCGCGUUCUGGAAGAUUCUGCAACGUGCACGUUGGCGCUGCCACCGUGGUUGCUUAAGCAAAUGCAUCCAACUGAAUCGUCCUUGUGCUAAAUAAUUGGAUAUCGUAUCCACUGCUUAAAGCUGCCAUGUUUAGUACAUCUUUGUUUUUCUCUCUUUAUAUUCCAAUAAGGUCGGUGAUCUUGAUGCCACACACUCAGAUGUGUGUUCAUCUUCGGAUACUACUCCAUGCUACCUGCCCUUUGUGUUUUGUUCAAUAACUGGGUAUCAUAUCCUAGUCAGUGUGCCAUCUGUUUUGUGUUUGUUUCCUUCUAGUUCCAAAGGGGUUAUCAUGAUGUUACCUUCUUUUGAGGUGUCUAUGACUUUGUUAAUAUCAAUAUUAACCAAUUCAAUCUAUCUUAACUAUUUGUAAGGGGUAUGAUGUAUGCAUGAUUAUAACAAUGAUUGCGCAUACAAUCACUGCCAAAGAAACGGUCAAUACCAUAAAGACAUAUUACAGACAAUUCUCAUAAUUUAUAAUGAAUAUACAUAUUCACUACUGCAGAGACUGUCAUUUGUAUCAGCUCAUACGUGCCAGGGCAAAGGUCACCCUUGCAUUAAAAGUACAUUUGCACGGUAAAGAUAACCAACACGAAUAAUGAAGUAAACAUGCCGGUGCUUUUGUACACCAACACGCUUACUUAAAUGUACUGGUGUCAUUCCUCACCGGUAGCCGGCUUGAAAAUUAACCAAUUAGAACAAUUAUUUAUUGUAUCGGUGUGAAUUUUGACCUAUUGGAAUAUGAAUUUGACCGUUACUGCAUUCGUCAAGACUCAAGAGAGAAAUAACUGAUCGGCUUCUUAGAGCGUGUGCAAUGUGAAAUCAAGGACUGGAUGGAAGUUGAAGCGCUAGCUUCAUCUUCCGCUGCAUGUUAAUUGCUUGGAUAAGAAGUUGUAGCCGCGUAUAUAAAUAGUCCCGCUGAUGCUGUGCUCCGAAGUCUAUACUAUAUAUGCGAAAACUAGAUUGCUUUCAGGAUUUUGGGUAACUAAAUUUAACAUUUGUACAUAAAAAUGUUAGUUUACGAAUGUUAAAUCUAGUUACCCAAGCAGAACAAGAAGAUAGUAUAUACUAUAUACUAUGUAAAUCAAGUUAACAUUUAGUCUAAAUGUUAUAUCUACUUACCCAAAAUCUUGAAAGCAAAGAAAGAAUAAGUAUAUAUCUUUUGUUGGAAAAUUGGUCCACGGAGAGUGGCCUCGUUCGUUUCACCGGGAUGGAAUUCCAGUCAGGAUUACUUCCAAGUCCGGUUUAAGUGAUUCCACCCAUGUCACUCAAUUCGGCUAGGAUUCAUUCCAGGGGUGAGGAGGUAUGGUUUCAAUCCGGGCCAUCUAAUGUAGAAGGAUUCCAAUCCAGGCCGGUUUUCGUUCUAGGCUAGACUAAAACGAACAACACUUUCAAUGCAAGUCUGGUUUCAAACCGGGCCACUUCAAACCACCCGGAAUGGACCUCAUUCCGGGCCAAUCCGGUGAUAACAAACGAGGCCUUAAUGGAAUCCCAAAGCAAGAGUUCAGUGGCAUUCUAUAGUCCCAUGCUGCUAGUUUGAGUUGGUCGAAGCCAACUUAAAUAGGAGAGCUCUCUCACUUCUCUAAAAAUGUAACUGAAGGAGAGAAGGGGGCUUGGGUUACACAACGCACGCACGCACGCAUAUUUGCAUUCUUUUCGCGUAACCGACCGCGUGACUUGAAACUUGCGACGUAGCGUGCUGCUAAGUCAAGUUGAUAUAACCUUUUUGCCGUUUGCGUGUAAUCUUUUGACAACGGUCAUUGGAGGUGAUAAGCACGCAGUCAAUACCUUAAUCCUGAGUUAAUAGGGCGGUUACUACUGCCAAUUAGUGCAGCAAUUUUGUAGGGGAAACGGUUAGCAGAGGGCUACCGUCUUCUCUAUAAGAAGUUUUGGAGACGUUCAGGAACACACAUGUACAUGUGAGAGACCCACGGAUUCCUUCCCUUCUCCCUUUUCCAUCUGGUGAAGUGUGCUAUGGUACUGAGCUGCUGGAUCUCGCCGGCUCUUCUCCUUGGCGUGCACCGAGGAGGAGGGUGAGCGGUAUCUCUGAGCUAUUGCCGUCAGGAAGCCUGCACGAGGGACAACAAUAAAGUUUUUAGGUAGCGCCUGCCUAAUCUUCGAUCUGCACUGCAACGUGUAACCCUGCAGCAACUCUACACGAGGACGGAGCACUAAUCUGUAAGUCCUAGAUUGGUUUCUUACAUAGUUGUAGGUUACACAAGAUCUAGAAUGGUUACAUACCAAUUAUUAUGGGUUACAUGAUGUUUUGUACGGUUUCGUCUAUUUUGCAUAUGCUAUUUUUUCUAUUUUGCAUAUGCUAUUUUUACAUACCGUUUACAUGCAUAUGUUAAUGGUUACACCUAGCUAUUUGAAUCUAGAAUUGGGUUACAUAGCAGUAGCAAUGAGUUACGUAAUAUGCCUCACGUUUAUAUCUGGUAGAAUUUAACACGUAUCUCCAACAUAUUUUGAGGCAGUAUAAAUUUCAAUUCCUUUUGCUGCUCUGUUAAAUCCCGUCUUUCGUUGUGGCCCAACACUCUAGUAUGCAUGUAGCACCAAGCUUGUUUGAGCCGCUUUGUGCUUUGAUUUUGCUGCGUAGGGGAAUCUGUAUCAGGUUGGACUGUUUCUUUGUCUUGCGAUGUAUAGCUUCAUAUCUUCUAGAGGUUAGACAGCAAAACCCGCAUUCUCUUAAGGCAACAACCCGAAGAAUCUGCAGCGCCUCUGAUAUAUCACUGCUGCAGAAACGAUCUUUAGUACUGAUCUCCAACCCUCUUUAGUAUCGGUUGGGCAACCAGUACCACUAUGUCGGUACUAAAGGGAGUUCUCUAGAAUCGGAUCAAAUAACCGGUACUAAAAGGGCUCCUUUACUACCGGUUGGUAACAACAAUAGGUAGUGACUUUUUUGCACCCAAAAAAUUAAAGAAUAACAGCCGGGAGGCUCGCACACACACGCAUCAUGAGUAAUAUGCGCGUGCAUGGUUUGUGGGAUUUCAACCCACGACCAAGCUAUAAGAACGUAGUUACAACAAAUCAAACACUUAGACAUUUUAGAGCAUCCCAAAUAACUACAAAUUCUAUAGUUUACCAUAUACCAUAAAAUAUUAGUUAAAAUAAGAGCAUACACAUGUCGGAAGAGUCCCAAUGCACCGGUUGAGGAUCAGACCAGGCACUUUGAAUGCACAUGCCAUAAGAUAAUUCUGCAGGACAAUGAUUGCAAUAAUGGACCAUCGAGAAGAUAGGGGCGAUGGGGUUGCCUCAUCAAUUAUCACUUGGCGCAACAAGACCAGCAAAGUCUUUAUCGACAGGGGUGGAUCAAGGGGUGGGGCAGGCAGAGCUCCAGUCCUCCUACCGCCGCUCGAACAAUGGAGCCCCCUUAGCCCCUCCAUAAAUUUUUAGGUAGAAGAAAAAAGAAGAGAAGGGAAGCAAGGGGAAGAAGAGGGAGCCCCUACUAAGUAGGUCGCCAUCGUGCUUCCCAACGCAUGAUCGCCGCACCGCAUCCAUUCCUCUACAAGCCUUCAGCGUCUCUCCCGCCGCUACCUCUGAACCAUGUGCAGCUAUAGACCCAACUAGUGUGUUGUCGCCCAUCUCAGUCCCAACAGAGCGGCGGCGGCUGCCAACACAAAUCUCCCUCCGCCUCUUCUUCACGGUCGAUGGCCGCCACAAGCAUAAACCUCGCCUUCGCAUCCAAGCAAAAGGGUCGUUGGGGUGCCUUCUUGCAUCACUUCUCAGCCUCCUUCACUUGCGGCCAGCGAAGAACUGCGCCACCACCUCGGGUGCGUGCCACCACUCCAGGGCCGCUACCCCAUGCCUGCGGCCGCCACCGGCCACCACGCGUGUGCAACCGCGUUGCACCGCUUCCCUGCUUUGUGCCACCACUACUGCUGUACCACCAGCUCCACCACCUUGGGAUGGUCGCCAGGGUGACUGAUUGGUGGAUUAUUACUAAAAAUAAGUUCCUUAUUAUCUGCAACUACUAUUAACUCAGAGAUACAUGCGUCUUUUCCUUCUCCUGCUAAUAGGUCCUAAAAUAUCUAGGAUGCUUUAUAUUUCUGGACAGAGGAAGUAUUUGAAUAAAAUGAACCAAUUUAAAAAAAAUGUGUUGUACACUACUACAGAAAGACCUAUCAGUGUCAAACCCAAAAAUGUCGUCACCGCCAGUUUUAGGCAUCGUUGGUGAAAGGUUGGCGGUGAUGGGCAUCCCCUUCAACAACGGCACUGGAGCCGACGGUGAUUGACAUUAGAAAACAAAAAAGGGAACCCCACCUAGCCACCCCUGCAACCCAGCCGGCCGUGCCUCCCCUCAUGCCCACCACCUCGCCUCCCCCGUGACCCCCCGCCGGCGCCCUUGUGCCUAGCCCCCUCGCCUGCCCGGCCGGCCACCCUCGUCAUGAGAGAGAGAGGUGCAUGUUGUAUAAUUGCGUGAAUUUUUGAAUGUUUAAUUUUAUGUAAGUUCCAUGUAAUAAAUUGUACAAGUUUUAUUGUAUAUAUGAAUUCCAUAUAUAUAUAUUUAUAAUUUAAUGUAUGGUUUCAUGUGUAUAUUUCAAUCAUGUGUAUAAUUAGUAGAUUGCCGAUUUUCUUUUUCUACUAGACAAGGGUUGAUGUAUAAUUACGUGUAUAUGUUUAUUGUAUGGGCAAUUAGGACAAGUUUUGUAUAAAUUUCUUUUAUUUCAUGGUUGUUGUAUGGUUUCAUGUAUAUACAUUUAUUGUACUACUUGAGACAAUUUUAAUUUAAUAUUUCUAUGAUUACAUGUGUGUAUAACUAAUUGUAUUAUUAGUUAAGAUGGGAGCCAAAGAGGAUGAAAGGUAUAUAAUAGAGUAGAUUAUUGCUGGCGGUAGUGGCUCAAACGUUGCAAGAACCUACACCGAGGGUGAGGGUAGCUAGGUGGACAUGUACCUCAACAUGUCCAGUGAUGGCAAUGACGAUGAGGAGCACGAGCAUGACGUCUAUGAUAAUGCGGAACAAGACAUUGCAGAAUUGGAAGGUUCUAAUGAGGUGUGCUUCAUGUUGACGAUCUAGUUGGCUUUUUUUCUUUGGUCACACCUUAGUUACCAUAGAACUUCGUCUCGGGAGAAGAUUGGUGGUGCUAUGGUGAUUGGAAUUUUAUUGCCUCCAAAUUUGAUUUCCAUCGAAUCAUAUCCCUUGUAUUUAUCUUCUUUUUAUUUGUGAGAGCAUCUUCUUUAUGCUUGCAAAACAAUUCAAGUGCACAUACUACCCCUAGGGUGAUGAUUGGGAGUAGAAACAAUUGCCAACAAAACAACACCACAUCCUAAGAUUCUUAACUUGUGGCAUAAUUAAUCUAGUGAAAAGAAAGAUAAAAACCUAAUGGGUGUACGUGAGUGCAAUGUGUAUAUGCAUAUGAGUGGAAGGCAUAUAAGCAAAGACAAUAUUUACACAUAGUUCUAAACACGAUGUUUACAGCUAGGUUGCUGAAUUUCUCCAUAGCUAUAGAGAUUAAUUAACCAAGGUCAAAACACGAUGUCUAUCCCAAGAUCAGUAAUUCUUUAUAGCACAAGAAAAAGAAAGCGCAUUGCAAAGUUUAUAAACCAACCAAUACAGCAUGAAAACAAGAUGAAUAGCUAGCAAGGUUUAUUAAAUUGAAUGAUGACGGUCUGCAAGCAAGUUUGAACACCAUCUUUACACAAGAUUGCAAAUGGAAAAUGCCCAUAUGAAGCACUAACAUGGAUAUGAAAUCAUUCAUCAUAAAGCGUAAAGAACAACCAAGUAGUUUUUAAUGGCAUAUACAUGUAUAAUAUAGUUUAGGUGCUAAAAUUGAUAUUCACAGCUAUUUUGGGCUCCAAUUCGCGUCCAAACCAACCUAGCCCACAGACCACACCCGGCCGGCCAGCUCAUCGGCCCAUCUAGUCACUGAUCCUUCCACCACCACACUCAGCCCAUCAGUCGGUCAGGUCCCGAGCUCCUGCCUGACCUAGUCCGCUACCGCCGCCAGGCGCCAAGCACAGCCGUACGCACUGCACCGCCCCCGUCCACCCAUGUCCGCUGCGCGGCAAAGCCGCGCCCCCCAGCCCCCGCGGUGAGAUCUCGACGCCCGCUGCCGCCAGACCCCAUUAGGCCUCCACCGGCAAGUCCACCCACAGUCCCACACGACCUAGUCCGCUNNNNNNNNNNNNNNNNNNNNNNNNNNNNNNNNNNNNNNNNNNNNNNNNNNNNNNNNNNNNNNNNNNNNNNNNNNNNNNNNNNNNNNNNNNNNNNNNNNNNNNNNNNNNNNNNNNNNNNNNNNNNNNNNNNNNNNNNNNNNNNNNNNNNNNNNNNNNNNNNNNNNNNNNNNNNNNNNNNNNNNNNNNNNNNNNNNNNNNNNNNNNNNNNNNNNNNNNNNNNNNNNNNNNNNNNNNNNNNNNNNNNNNNNNNNNNNNNNNNNNNNNNNNNNNNNNCCCCCCCUCCACCAGGACUGCUUGUUGGCCCCCACCGCGAGGUAAUCAAAAUGGACGGCUCAAUCACUCAAUCUGUUGACAUGAUGCACACGGUUGCAAAAAUAGAUGUGUCAAAAUAGAUAUAUUGCUAAUUGCUAUAGAUGCAUACGGUUGACAUGAAGAAGUUAAAAAUGACAUUUGGUUCCUUGUAGGCAGUCAAAAAUGAAGUCAAAAAAUAUUGAUCUGAAAUCAAUGUGGGAAAGGGCUACGAAGACACACAGAUUCCCUUGUGAACUUUUUAUGUCAUUCGUCUAAAUAUUUUUUUGCAAUGGGCAUACCCUACUCUGAAAUCCUGGGUCUGCCACUGAUGAUGAUGGUCUAAACAUAAAACAAGCCAAGAUUAAUUAGCCACAACUGAAAUUAAACAAAGGUUAAUGUCAUUGACCCUAGCUCUAUCCUAGCUUUUACAAAAGUCCCGGCACAUAUAGUGGUUGGGCCCACUCUCUCUGCUUCCCUCUCUGCUGCAUGCAUGCACACGAGCAACGGGAGGCCCCACAAAGCCCAGAAGGGUUCGGCUGAACCCGGCCGAUCCAAUCUGAGCACCACUCCCUCCCAGCCUUCGCGCAGAUGCUCCUCCAACAUUCCUUGACCCCUCCCUCAGCGUCCCAUUGGGUUUAACAUUGCAGGAGAGGAGUCCCUUUUUUAAAAUCUCAACCACCUCCUCUCCUCAUUCACUCCACUCUCAUCUCCAUCAAACUCACCAAGAUCCACAUCGGAAAUCCCUGCUUACCACCAUGGCUGGCAAAGCCCUCGUCCCUUUCACCAACUUGGGCUUAACCAUUGAUCUCGAUGGGGAAAUCACUCCGGAAAUAGGGCAGUGACCCAGAGCAAAGGUGAUGCCAGAGUGUAGAUAGCAGUUAGCAUGCCAAAUUGUGAACCGCAAGCGCUCGGAUUAGUUGUUUUUUUUCCCUUAGAGAUUCCCCCAAGGUUUAUCAAUCCAUGGAACAAGGGAUUUGCACAUUUCACUAAGCAUUAAUCAAUGUAAUUGAAAGCUUUUUGAAUAAGAUAUGAUUAUGCUAACAAAGGAACUAAGCAAUCUAGAUUAAGAUGGAUAGAGAGUAAAGGUUGUGAACAAGAUAGAUUAAACGCUUAUAGAUGCAAUCACCAUGCAUGAAUGAAUUAGAUCUAGGUGUUAUUGUGAGUGGUUGUGAACCAUACCCCAACACUUUCCCACCCGCAACAUUGUCACUACAUGUGGGUACUCAACUAUCGAAACAUAAGAACACAUCAAGAUGAUCAUUCUAGGUAAGCAAAUAAGCAACCCAAAGUAGCGCUGGCCAGCCUUUUCAUGAAAGAGCAUCAUCAAGAUAAGAUUGAUAACAAAAUAGAUCUCAACCAAAGGUUCAGCGAUUACAAAUCAAGAUCUCCGUAUAACCCCGAUGACAAAUAGAGGUAUUACCCCCAUGAUCUUACACAUGUUGAUGAAUUUUAGGGUAAAGGACGCCCUGUAGAUCAACUGGACCAAAGAUGAUGAUGAACAGGGGCAGGGAAGGCCCAGGCUGAUCAGCCUGGGCACUUUUGAGCCGAUCAGCUUAGGGAGUUUCCUCCUCCCCUGGUGCUCCUCUUCGCGUGGCCUCCUCUGGAUCCAAUCUUCUCUUCAUUUCUCCUACUUGUGGUGGCAAUGGAUGGUGUUUGCAUGGUGAUUUCCUCUUCUCCCCAACUCUCCCUCCUUGAAGUCCAUGAGGGGGUAUUAAUAGUCUCCAAUAUGCGGCAGCUCUGGGUCAAUGUCGGUGAAAAAACCCUAGAGAUCAUCGUACACUUCACGCUGAGGAAACAAGAGGUCGACCGAGCCCUGGGAUAGACCAAGAGGAUCAGCCUAGAGGGUCCCAGGCCAAUCGGUCUAGGCCCUUCCUAGCCCUUCUAGUCCUCUCCUUCCUCGUGCUGGCUUUUCUCGAUGACCCUUGUCCAAAUAUCCAUUAAGCUCUAUAUACAUACCCCCUUGAUUAUGUCGUAUUUCCUGUCAAAAUACAAUGCUCCAAAAUACAACACAUAUGCAAUAAUAGGGUUAUUUCAUGUGCCAAUUGGUGCGUUAGUAUACGAAUAAGCAUGAAAAUACUGGUUAAAUGACACUAAAAGUGUGUCAAUAACGAGCACCAACAAUCCCCCCACGCUUAGAUCUUGCUCGUCCUCGAGCAAGUCUAGCGACUAAAAGAUCUUGAAUUAAACAUGAGCAAGCGAGUCAAGUACCUAGCCUUGAAACAAAAGAUUAGAGGAGCAGCAAAGAUAAUCAAAGUCUGGGUGUUCAAAGAUUUAUCUAAGCAAAGAUUCCCCUACAACUAUUAUUCAGAACCAAGUAACUUCAAGAAUCAACUACACUUAUUUUCUGGCUUUUUUCAGAGGGUUUUUCUUUCAUCACAAAACAAUCUCCCUGCAACAAAAUUGAAAAAAGAAUUAUUUUCCAGGUGCUUACAUGUCGUUUAAAUGAAUGUUCGCUAUCCUACUUAUUUGCAAGCUCUCAUCUCUCAAAAUUCAUUCAAUUAUAUGGUGGAGCUUGGGUAAGGUUAGCUAGAAUCAACACGUAUAUUAUUGAAUUAAGAAAACCCUCUAACGGUAGCCUACCUUUCGAGCCAUUGAUCAUAAGAAUAUCCACAUAAUGUGAAGUUUUCAAGGAUGAGAAUAGAAUGGUGGACAUGUGCAAAGGAAAAGAAAUAUAGUGACUCUGAGGCACAAGCAAUGUCCUCGUCGUUGGAUUGCAUAUGGUUGGAAUGAAAAUCUGUUCCUUAAACAAGUCCAUCUUUUCUUUGCACCACUCUUGAUCUUCAUGACAGUAAAAACUCCUCCUUUAUUUCUUUCUCUCUUUUCCUAUUAUUUCUUUUUAUUUGUCUCAAUACUUUUCUUUCUUUAUUUCUUUAUUUUAAUCUCUUCUCCGAACCUCUUCUGAACACCACACAAUAAAAAUCAGUUUUAGAUCCUUCUAGAGACCUUCCAGGAAUUUGCUACAUGAAAACCGAGGCAAGGAGACCCCAGGCCGAUUGGCCUGGCCACUCCUUUGCUCUCCUCUAGCUCUUCUUUCUUGUGAAGCUUCCUUAUCUUGUAUCUUUCCAAAAAUUUCAUAAAGCUCAACUAGAAACGGAACACAUCUUCAUAUAAUGAGUUGUGUUCAAGGAAUUGGUAAUAAAAUUGAGAAAUUUGUGGUUCGGGUUUACGAAUUCAGUACAAAAAUAUGAUUAUUCCAAUGAAGAACUCUCAUUACUGAAUAUUGACGAGGCAAGCAUUCAAAGAUGGUAAAAAGGAUAUGAUCAAUUCUCAGAAUUAAAGCAAACCAAGAGAGAGCGAUCCUAAUUCAAUUCAAAGUGUCAAAUGUUGCUUAUGGUGGUAUGAAUAAAUAUUUUUAGGCAUUGGGUAGGAUAAAUAAAAACUCUCAACCUGGUUAAAAGAUAUUGAUCAAUCUUGUUUUUGCAGAGGUUUUAAAUAAAAAAUAAAAUUUUAAAUCACCUCCAAUUCAAAGCCUUACUCAUAAAUCAUAAUCAAAACUGAAGCACUUGAUCAUCAUAAAGCAUGGGUAUUGCAUAAACAAAUCGAUUACUAAAACUCCACAACUACGAUUUAGAAUUCAAGACAAUGCUCAUAAUCUAAAGUUGCAAAGACAAAAUAAAAGACAAGCAAGCCAAGGUAGACACUAAAAACACUUGCACGAUCCUUGAAUUUUAUUCAUGCUUCUUCUCACAAAGACGCUAAAGUAGCCAUGUAGGCCUAAGUCUUCCCAAAAGCUUAAGAAGACUACUACUUUAUCUACUUUUGGUUGAAAUAAAAAUACUAAUCUAGACUCUCACAUGAUUCGACUCGACCAAACUAGAUCCAAAAACUCAUACGAGCGACAAUCUCCCCCCCCCCUCUCAAAUCUACGACCUCCUCGUGGUAACCAUAUGGAGUACAAGGAAAAGACGCUUGUAAACGCACUAAUGACGCUACCCGGACUACUUGCACACGGAAUGGUUGUUGUUUCCUUUGCUUUGUUCUUCGUCAUGUUGCUGCACAUCCCGAAGAGCUUCCUCACGUUCCUCUGCAAGAACUUGAACUUGAACUUGUCCUCCUGACGGCAAUCAUUAUCUUCUGCCUUUUGAUCCAGAGCUUGUAAGGCUUGCAUGAUGUCAUCGAACGCAUCGAAGAGGUAGUGGAUGUUCUUCCUGCAAGCUGUGGAACAUGUACGAUCAUGCUCCUACGAUUCUGGCCCGUCGUCUUCUAGAUCCUCCUCUUUGCCCUUGUCUUGACGGUGGCCAUCUUGCUCCUUGCUCGUCUUCUUGCCUUCAGCCCGAUCCCAGUACGUGUUGUCAUCUUCUUCAUCGUCACGGCCUGCAGCACCCUAUGAUCCAUUGUCUAUCUUGUAUGAAAGAAUCAGAAGCUUGUUCUCCUCAGGGUGUCUUGCGCGGUGCAGCGUUUGCAAGUGCAAGGCUUGCUAGUUCUUUUUACACAUUGUAAUGUUCAUUGCAUGCUCUAAUUGUUCUACAUUUGUAAUUUCUUGGUGAAGUUUGGUUACUGAUCCACUGUUUGAUUAACUCUUGGGCCCAAACACUGUACUACUUCUGAUUAGAUAUCUGUAUCUUAACUUUGACCAAAAAAAAUAUCCGGCAGUUUUUGCCAUUAAAGUUUCAUAAAUCAUCUUGCAAAAAUCGUACUAUACAACAAGGGACGGUUUAUUAUAAAAUAUACGUUCCCCUUAUCACAUGCCACUUCCACUCAAAAGGCAACGAAUCAGUUUUCAAUCCUGAGUGAGCAAUUUGCUUUUAUUACCGAUGCCUCCUAUUCCCUUGUGCACCAAGUUCAUUUUGGAUAGGACUGCAAAAAGCGACUAACCAGCUCGGAUUCUCCACCUGCAAAACCGCAUCUGCAGCAACCAACCCCACGCGGUGGAAAAAAAAACAAAACCCAGAAACCGGACGGGGGUGGAUGUGGGGCUCGGAGCCCAAGCAAAAAAAAGGAUCGGGAGCGCCGGAGCAGGCCAUCACCGGAUGUUAGAGAUAGAAAAUGGUUGAAGUUGGAGUGGAAAUCAAACAAGCCUUGGAGCAAAGGAAAAAAAAGAUCAAACCACUCAAGCAUUCAUUUGAUUUAGAAAAGAGAACAUUUGUUAAGGUGGGGAGUUGAAAUCAUCUUUUAAUUAGUUCCACGUAUCUGGUAUCAUUACAGUUGGUUUACUUGUGUAAGUAUAUAAGUAGCUCUGCCGAAGCCUUUGCUCCUAUAAUUUAGUAACUAGUACAAAUGGAUCAUUAGGAAAAUCAAGUUGCAAUCAUUUCUCAGCCAACCAAACCUAUCUAAAUCAAAUUAUUGUCCAUGCCCGGCAUGCACAGGUGCCUGCCAUGCAUGCAUUGUUGCUCCAUUGUAAUAACCAUUAUUGUCCAUUGAUGUUCCAGCGCAUGUGUGCACUGUGCAGACACCAAGCAUCGAGAUUAUGUACUAGUAAGGUACCAAGAACACGUGAAGCACACGGGGGAGGCUGCUCCACUCGGCAUGCACAGGUGGGGCACGGCACCACUACUCGUCUCCUUCAGGCAGAGGACAAGUGAUGUACGCUGAUCAACCACUAGUAGAAAAACGACUUUCCAUCCGCCCCUUUUGUCCCGGUUUAAAGUUGGCCCGGGACAAAAGGUUCACCAACCGGGACUAAAACUCGGUCACUGGUGGGGGGCUCACCAACCGGGACCUUUUAUCCCGGUUGCAAAGGCUAGUGGGAAAAAAAGACUCUGAGAGGCCUUUUAUCCCGGUUUGAAACACCAACCGGAAUAAAAGGUGGUCUUUUAUCCCGGUUGGUGUUUCCAACCGGGAUAAAAGGGUCCCCCACGAGUUAAUACAAAAGGAUAGUAUCCCCUAUAUAGUCAGAUGUGGUGUGUAGGUGGGAUGGCAAGGAAGCUACGCGCGAGGCUGGAGGUUGUGGGUUUGAAUCCCACGAACCGCGCACCCCCACCACGGCAAACGGAGGUGAUGGCGGAAGGUGAGGCAACGACAGUAGCUGGUGAGCUCCCGCUCCAAUGUCUCGCGAGUGAAGGAGGAGGAGGUGGCAUGGGAAUCGAAGAGGAGGCCGCCGCUGGCGGGUUUAGACUACGUGGAUGUGUGGGUAGGGUUAAGGUGACGGUGUGGACUAGUAUAUAUAAGAUGUCUGGGCUUGUUAGAAUAAGAUAACAUUCUAACCGGCCAAAUUCGGACCCGGUUAGAUUAAAUUGAUAUUCUAACCGGUCCUAUUUCUAGGUGGUAAGAAUAAGUUAACAUUGUAAUUGGCUUUAUUUGGAACCCGAUUGAAUCUUCUUGUUAUUCAAAAAAACAUCAAGUUCAUCAAUUUUAAUCCAGAAAAACAUCAAGAUAAUUUAAGCACGAUAUAUAACAAGAUUAAUAAAUUUAAUAAUUGUUUGAUCCACAAAUUAACGAUAUUUAACAAAUUCAAAAAAUCCAAAUUAACAGAACACAAUAACCAAUUGUUCGAAAAAAUCAAAAUAAUCCACACACAUUAAUAUAUUACAAAUUCAGAAAUAUAUCAAAAUAAUCCCCGAUCCACUCGAUACCGUCAUAGGACUUUUAAAUACUGAGCUUCUUGAUUCGUCUGAGGUCCACGUACUCGUCUCAGUAACACUAGUGAUGGCCAUGCAUCUUGUAGAUGUCUUCUAACGAAUCAAGCUUGACGUACAAGGUCAUGCCUUCCGCUCCUUGAGGAUAACCAUCUUUGGUGAUCUUGAAAUGGCAGACGGUGGAUGUGCCAAAGGUACGUAACGAUCCUUCUAAAUGUAUGCCACCACAACUUCCGUCUGAUCGCCAUGGGUGACACCAAGAAGAGCUACCAUGCGGCAAGGGACGAACAAUUUAUCAAUUAGUGCCGCUGUCCAUUCGCCAUCAUCUAAUCCAGCCAUAUCUUGAUGUAUAUUUAAGUAUAGAAAUUAAGAUUUAAAAAUAAACAGAAUAAAUUGAGAUCGACUAUGUAUGUAUAUCAGAACAUUAGCUUUUGGAAAAAGGGCUUCGAUGGAAGAGAGGCACGGGGCAUAGAGACAACAACGAGUGACAAUAUGUCAGAAGAAUACCCGAUCACAAUUAUUGGCUACAGGACGGGCACACACAGCCGAUAUUUACAGUAGUCAAUACCCCUGGUAAAUAACCACACCAUCAAGAGUAAAUAGUGACAAUAUGCAGUAUAUACACGACAUAGCCUUGGUUGCCGUGGAAGCGCCAGAAGGGAGACAAAUAACAGGGACCACAACAUCAAGUAGAUAGUGACAAUAUGCAGAAGAAUACCCGCGCCUGUUAGCAUGUGUGAACUGACCACACCACGAAACGUGAUACACGGCAAGCGUACCAAGGCCUUGCUGUGCAGACUAUGCAUGGACAACACAUGGUACCUGACCGCUUUUGGCCUCAGACACAUCGAAAAACUGCAUCGUUCCACGUUGUACAUCCAUUGCUAGUUUAUCUAUAUUACAUAAUAUAUUAUUAGCUAUUUGAAUAGAAUGAACCAAUUAAAAAAUUGCGUUGUAUUUUAGUACCGGCUGCAGGAUGGUGUUACCAACCAGUACUAAUUGGCCUGUAGGAGUGAUGGUUAUUAGACUUGGUACUGUUGUUAGCAUCAUUAACCUAAUUGUGCGCGGUAUGAAUUUGGGGAUGCAAAGCUAGCUCUCUAUGAAUGUGAGGGAUGGAAAGCUAGUUCUCUAGUAGUAAUUAGCUAUAUAUAUAUGUCAGUCAAGAAAUCGAACACUAUGCUGCUACGAGUCACCAUCAUUUCCUUCAUUGACAAUCUGACAUAGGUGAAGCUGCUUCAAGAAUUUCCUUCGCGCAGUCGUGGAGCUUAUUGGAUUAUCACCAGGACGGGACACGGAAAUGGCCAGCAAUGAAGCUGAUUGCCGUCUGAGGAAGAUUACAUACUUACCUAUGAAAUGAAGCGAUUGCAUAGACUAAUGAAGCAUUGCAUAUUUGCAUGUGAGUGUGGCAGAUAAUUCUGCAGGACAUGAUUGCAAUCCACGCACCAUCGAGAAGACUGGGGCGAUGGGGUUGCCUCAUCAAUAAUCACGUGGAUGCAUGCAUGCAUGUUCCCGCAACCGGACAAGGGUCUGAUAUAUGGCUAUAGUAUUACUGAGCCCACAUCAAUAAUUUCCGCUGGUGUAUCGUGUGGGAAGAAUCAACAUACUACACCUCGAGUUCUUGGAACUAACUGACGUUCACAUGCAACCUCCACAAGGUGCUGUAUAUAUGCUUUUGACAUUCACCUGCCAGUUCGUGUAGAGGACACCCUAACGUAUGGUUAAUAUUAUCCAUUUCAUGAGUAAAAUACUGUGAUUCAAAAAUACUUCAAAUCCCUUGAGACAAUACUUCUCACUUGACUAACCACUAACCAACCCCGAAACCCUAACUCAACUCCGAACCCUAACACCUAACGGCAUAACCACUCCGUUUUGCCAGCCAGAUGGAGGAACUGGCUGGGAGGGAGAGAGGGCAGCGGUCCAGGGUUGAAAACGACGGGCGAGCGCAGUAACAUGUGGAGGAGGAAGUGCCACGUAUUCGUUCACCGCUAUUGGGCAGCGACACACAACACGCCCAAUAAGAUUUUCGCACGGUAGAAGGGCGCCAUGUAUUCAAUAAUGUUAUUGGUCCUCCAUGUGCAGAAGGGCGCGUAUGGAAUAACAAGUAGGGACACUGCAACUAAUCUACUCUGCUCGUCCAGUCCCUAGCCUAUAAAUAGAUGCCAUGCUAGCUCUUGUUGUGCUCACAGUUAAUCCGAUUACACACGAGCUUCUCUCCCUGGCCAAGACACAAUCAUAGUAUGAUGAAGAACAUGGCACUAGCCGGCAAUGGUAUGAAGAAGUUAAUCCUCGCUGUUCUCUUACUGUGUCUAGUUAUAGGGCAGAUACAAGUGGAAGCUAAGAGCUGCUGCCCAUCCACCACUGCAAGAAAUGUCUACAAUACCUGCCGUUUGACGGGUGCAUCCCGUCCAACGUGUGCAAAACUGUCAGGCUGCCAAAUUAUCAGCGGGAACAAAUGCAAGCCCCCUAACGACCACCUCACCCUUGACCCGGACACUGGUAAAUAAUAAAUUUAUCUCACUUGAUUUCUUUGUGUUUUGAGUCGUUAAUGUAUUUUCCAUCUGAUGAAACGCAUUGGUUUUGCAUUGAAGAGGAAGUUAAUGUGCUUAACUUCUGCAAGUUGGGGUGUGCGUCGUCUGUGUGCAACAACAUCAACGCUGGUAAGCACCUUUUGCUCAGACAGAGAAAACAAUAAUCAUUAAUUAGCGGCAGCUAGAAUCCUAUAAUCUAAUAUAUAUAUAUAAUUUUAUCAGCUCUGGGAAAUGAAGAGGCGAACGAUGCCGUUGAGAGUUGCGACCAAGCCUGCUCUAGCUUCUGCAGCGUGCAUGUUGGCAGCGCCACCGUGGUUGCUUAAGCAAAUGCAUCCAACUAGAUCGUCCUUGUGCUGAAUAAUUGGAUAUCGUAUCCACUUAAAGCUGCCUUGUGUAGUACGUCUUUGUGUCUCUCUUUAUAUUCCAAUAAGGUCGGUGAUCUUGAUGCCACACACUCAGAUGUGUGUUCAUCUCCAGAUACUACUCCAUGCUACCUGCCCUUUGUGUUUUGUUCAAUAACUGGGUAUCAUAUCCCAACCAGUAUGCCGUCUGUUUUGUGUUUGUUUCCUUCUAGUUCCAAAAGGGUCAUCAUGAUGUUACCUUCUUUCAAUAUGGUGCUUUGCAUGACUACUGUUGUAUGGUACCAUCUUGUGGCCAAUAAGUACAUCUUAUCCUAUGACCCUUUGCUAUGACCCUUUGCAAAUAAGUAGAAGAUUGUUAUAAGCGUCAAUACUCAGUAUAAUUGAUCGCUGCUGUGAGUUCCCUUUCAGCUUAUCGUAGGCAUACAUUAUUGCUAGCACGGUAAAGCCAACCAACACGAAUGAUGAAGUAAACGUAGCGGUACUUCUGUAUACCAACACCCUUACUUAAAUGUACCGGUGUCAUUCCCUACUGGCACAUAUAUUCUUAUAUGCUAGCCAGCUUGUAAAAUUAACCAAUUAAAAUAAUUAUUUCAAGAUAGAAAUAACUUAUCGGCUUCUGGAAGCAUGUGUAAUGUGAAUUCAAGGACUCGACGGAAGUUGAAUCACUUCAUCUAUAUUGCUUUCAGGAUUUUGGGUAACUAAAUUUAACAUUUGCACAUACAAAUGUUAAAGUACAAAUGUUAAAUCUAGUUACCCAAGCAGAAUAUGAAGAUAGUUUAUAGUAUAUAUAUACUAUAAAUAUACUAUAUAAAUCUAGUUAACAUUUAGUCUAAAUGUUAAAUCUAGUUACCUAAAAUCCUGAAAGCAAAAUGUAUAAAUAUAUAUCUUUUAAGGCAGUAUAAGCUUCGAUUCCUAUUGCUGCUCUGUUAAAUCUCAUCUUUCGUUGUGGCCCAACACUCUAGUAUGCAUGUUGCACCAAGCUUCUUUGAGCCGCUCUGCCCUCUGAUUUUGCUGUGUAGGGGAAUCUUUAUCAGGUUGGGCUACUUCCAGUUGUGCGAUGUAAAGAUUCGUAUUUUCUAGAAGGUAGACAAAAAACUCGCGUUCUCUUAAGGCAACAACCGGAAGAUUCUGCAGCGCAUAGGGCAUACCAUUAUUGUAGAAACGACCUUUAGUACCGAUCUCCAACCCCCUUUAAAACUGGUUUUGCAACCGGUACCGUUAUGUCGGUCCUUUAGUACCAGAUCAAAUAACCGGUACUAAAAGAGUCAACUAAAAGGACUCUUUUAGUACCGGUUGGUAACCAGUAUCAACUUGUUUUGUGGCCAAAAAAAUAAAGAAAAAAACAGUCAGAAGGCUCGCACACACGCGCAUCACAUGAAAUAUGCGUGUGCGGGGUCCAUGGGAUUCGAACCCAUGAAAUCAAGCUACGCGCGACCCUUCGUUACCAUCUCACCUGAAGUAACCCGUGGAGGAGGCUUUAGUACCGGGUCAUAACACCACCCGGUACUAAAAGUGACUCUUCAGUACCGGGUCAUAACACCACCCGGUACUAGUAUCGGAUGGUGUAAUGACCCGAUACUAAAAGGCCUCUAGGGACCCUCAAAUUUGAACCCGGUACUAAUGCUAAUAUUAGUACCGGGUCAAAGUGCAGCCAGAACUAAAGCAUGGGAUGAAAGGUCAUAUUUCUAGUAGUGUAUAGUUGUUGUGAAGGACUUACUUGGCUGUCCUCUCUCUUCUCCAUCCCCUUGGUCUUACGCCGCCGCUCGCACGCGAGCUGGUGCCCAACCAGAGGAGUGAGAGCUAGGGGCAGGUUGGGAGGUGGGGAUAGCGACUGGUGGCCAGGGUGAUGGUUGAUCCUGGCGGGGUUAGGGUUUUAGGGUUUUCGAGCUUCCUAUGGUCGGCGAACCUAGAGGAGGAGCUCAACAUCAGCUGCAACCCGCGAUGGUGGUGGUUUGGCCAGCGCCCGAGGCGAGGCAGCGCGGGAGUGCUGCCGGUGGGUUGGUGUUGGCACUCAUUAUUGACAACUAUUUUGUUCAUAAAAUAACACUCAAACUUGCUGCUGCUGCCGCCGCCAUCGCCACCCUAGCCAUAAUAUAAAGGCAAAAUUUGCUAAAGGACAUGCAAAAUGAUGCUAGUUUGCUGGCGGGCAUCGUUGACCUUGUAAUAUGCUACAAGACACUCUAGUUGUGUAUCAAUUUGCUGAAAGACAUUGCUAUGACUAAAAUAAUGUUUCUGGACUGAGUUGGAGAGAGAGAUGGAGUGAAAUGUCUGUUUUGCCCAUGACCCCACUGGUCAGAUCCUUCUUCUUCCACCCUCCUUUGUUCUUUCUUCAACCAUUACCCAGCUCCAGCGUGUUGCAGAUCUACGAGGGUGGCGGCCUGGGGCGAGGGGCAUUGCUCGCCCUCGGAGGAGCGCUGCGAGCGACGGCGCGGGGGCGGCAACCGCGCGUCAGAACCUGACUGUUCGUUAGCUCCUCUCGCUGCUGGGGAAGAAGGAGGGGGAUGGGCCAUGGACGGGGUUCCCUUGAAAACCUCAGCGUCGAGCUCGGGCGGCUACGCGCAGGCAGCACUAGGCUGCUUCACGGGGAGGGGGCGCGGCCAAUCAUUGGCACCCCACUGGUCCAAUGCUGAUGAAGAUGGUGCCAGCGUCGUGUGAGGACAUCUCAUCUCCUCGAGUUCCAUGGCCAGCACAGGUGAGCUGCCGCUACCACAAAACAGAGAUUUCGUGAGAGUCAAAAAACCUUAUGAAAAUAGCUAAAACCAUCAUGAAAAUAAUCCGUGACAUGACACUCUCACGAAAAUCCUCUCACAAAUAUGGUGCCAUGAAAAUACCAUUUUCAUGAGAGUGAACUGUCAUGAUUUUAUUUCGUGAGAGUAUUUCCUAUCAAUGACCUCCACGAAAUACUUUGUGCCACCAGGUCUUCAAGAUCAUUUUCAUGAGAGCUGAACAUCAGGAAAAGUCCGCCACAAAUGUUUUUCUUGGAGCCUCUAACUCUCAUGAAAAUCAUGCGGGCCGCCACGAAAAACAGCAUGACCAAAUGACAAAUUUUAUUUUCAUGUGUUCAUACCGUGAAAAUGGUCAUUUUCAUGAGAGUUGAUGAAACAAAAAAUAGUGCCAUUUUCAUGAGAGUUCAAGCAACCAGGAAAAGACACUAAUAAACAUCCAGAUCCCAUCCAGCACACAUCCAUGCACACAUAUAACCCACAUAUUGCUCCAGCACACAUCCAUGCAUAUACAAGAUCCAAAUGUUAAUAUAGUAGACAUCCAUGCCUGAACUAGUCUGCCACACAAGUCAUUGAUGCUACAAAUCCUACAAUCGCAGCAUGUGCAUACAAGUCACAGAAUGAGACAAUGUACCCAAAACUAAAAGGUUAGCAUCAACUGUGCUUCAACCAAAGUUGUCAUCCCAACUCUCCUCUUCAUCCAUGCCAUUCUUGUCAUGGCCGUCACUGUCAGUCCCCAUGGCAUUGCCAAUGCUGUGCAUGUCUUGGUAGGAACCUACAUGUGAUGAACCAGUAACCUGCAAAAAGAACUCAAAGGAUCUUGUUCUCAUAUUGUUCUCAUAUUGUAGCUGUGAAAUUCUUACAAGUAGUGUUGCAAUCAGUUCACUUUGAACCAAAAGAGCUCAAAGGAUCUUGUCCUAAAAGUUCCUCAUAAAGCUUAUGGGUUUGCUGGUGGAACUGGAAGGGCUUGAUGCAGCAGAUGCCAUUCUGCAAUAGAGAAAAAUUUAGAGAGCAGUAAUAGUUAAAAUUGGAUGCAGCAGAUACACAUGAAACUAGUAUUUAUACAAGUCUAUACAAUUAAAAUCUAAGGAGACUUAUCAUCGUUUUCAUGUGUUGCGAAUUAAAAUAAUGAAGGAUACACUGUUAGGUGAAAAUUCAAGAAACAAAAUUUUGCAUAGAGAUAAAGGUCCAACAUUAUUACAAGUUAAGGUAGUUUUAAAUAUCCUUGUAAUCUUCCUUUGGUUUCCUCAACGAUUCGAAGACAAUAACCUUGCUUCUAUCAAUGAUAAUUAUAAGGAGAAUCCAGUGGAAACUGUGUAUUCAUAUUAGAACUACCUAAGGUUAAUUAGGUUAGGAAAGGAAAUCGAAAAUAGAUGGUACCCACACUUACUUAAAGUUGUCGGGCAAUAGUAUGUAAUGCUUGUAAUUCCGUUGCUCCAAGAAUUUGUAUAUGUGGUCCAAUGUAGACUUUGGUUGAUCCCGUAUCUGCUGUUGGUUAAAUAAGUGUUUCUAGCCAUUUCUAGCCAUUAGAACUGGGACUAAAGGGGGCUCUUUAGUACGGGUUGAUAUUACUAACCGGGAUUAAAGAGCCCCCAUUAGAGUUGGUUUUUGGAUGCGGAACUAACAACUCCUUUAGUCCUGAGUACGAAAACGACUGAGAUAUUUGUUGCUUGGUUGAAGGUCCUUUCUCUACCGUGAAUAUUGCCAGAAAGAAUUGAAAGAGACUGCUUGCUAAAAAUAUGUCAUAGAUGUAGACCAAGCUACCAAGGAGGUAGCACUAGUAGAGAAUUGACUUUCGAGCCGCCCCCUUUUAUCCCGGUUUAAAGUUGGCCCAGGACAAAAGGGGGUGCGCCGGGGUGCGGAAAUUUGGAGGGGAGCAUUACUCCCGGUUGGUAAUUGCAACCGGGACUAAAGGCCCCCCUUUAGUCCCGGUUGCAACGGCUAGCUGGGGGGCAUCGGUGGCCGGACCCUUUUAUCCCGGUUGGAUCCUCCAACCGGGAUAAAAGGGACUCCCUUUUAUCCCGUUGGAGGAACCAACUGCGAUAAAAAGUUUAGUCCCGGUUGGUGCCUCCAACCGGGAUAAAAGGGUGUCCCUUUUAUCCCGGUUGGAGGAUCCAACCGGGACUAAACUUCCAACCGGGACAAAAGGUGUUUCCUUUUGUCUCGGUUGGAGUUUUUAACCGGGAUAAAAACUCAUCCCCCACUAUGUCCCGAGACAUAGACUUUCUUCUUCCUCCAGCCCGAGCCAGUCCAGCACAUUGAUAGAGAGCUGAGCUUCACCUACUCUCCGGUGGUGCCAAAGCAAGGGAGGUGCUGCCCGAAGUUUUUUCCCUCAUUUUCGUGGGAAUUUGACUCAGCCAACACAAGUGUUGCGAAGGUUUGCUACUUCAUCCUCGUGUUAUGCUUUGAUUUAUGCUUUGGAGAUGGAAAGAUUAUUUGCUACAAUGUGAUGAUGAAGUAGAAAAAUGGAGAGGUAUUUUGAGCUAGAAUGUGAGGGAGAUUGAUGUGUCAUAUAUAGUAUGCAUUAUUUCAGUGGUUUAAAAAUGAUGCUACCUUGUCUAGACGGUUUAUCUUAUCAAAUUCAAUAUGGUUUUUUAAAUCCAUAUACUUGUUGAACUUGCAUACCGUGUUCAUUUCGGCGAGAAUGUUCUCCGCCGAGCAGCAACGUAUGUCAAGAAGGAGGUUCGAUUCUACGAGAAAGAGUGGAUACGGACAUCGUGACCAUGUCCCCUUUUCCGUAGCAUCUAACCUCUUUCAUGACGAAGUGCGGUGCCACCCAGCUGAGGACAUCCUCGCGAAAUGAACACGGUCUUCAAGUUCAACAACUUCUGUAGUGGUAAGGAAAGAAUUUUUGUACAUAGAUGACUUCUGCUACUUGUUGAACUUGCAUACCGUGUUCAUCUCUCCGAGGAUGUUUUCCGCCGAGCAGCAACGUAUGUCAAGAAGGAGGUUUGAUUCUACGAGAAAGAGUGGAUACGGACAUCGUGACCGUGUCCCUUUUUCCGUAGCAUCUAACCUCUUUCAUGACGAAUACCGGUCCCGCCUAGUUGAGGACAUCCUCGCGAGAUGAUCACGGUCUUGAAGUUGAACAACUUAUGCAGUGUUAAGAUGAUCACGAUCUUUAAUCGAUUUUCACGCGUAAUCCAUUAUCAAGUGUAAUCCAUUUUCAUGCGUAAUACGAUGCAGAUGGACUAGCAAUGGAUGUAUAAUGCAGACAGGCGGAGCAAGGCGUUUAUUGAUGGCUUGCAUUAUUUUCUCGAAGUGGCAAAAGCGAACAAGCCAGAGAAUGGGUUCGUAUGUUGUCCAUGCUUCCAAUGCAAUAACAGGAAGGAGUAUUCAAACGAUUCCUGGGGGACUAUUCACAGCCACUUGUUUAAAUACGGUUUCAUGCCUAACUAUUUGGUUUGGACCAAGCACGGUAAACUAGGGGUUGUAAUGGAAGAUGGCGAGGAGGAGGAGGAAGAUGACACCAUUCCGGACUGGGUUGCAGGCCAAGCUUUUGCAGGUACUACAAUGGGCGAGGCUGAUGAAGAUGAGUUUGCAGAAAAUGACCCUACUGAUGACCUUGGUCAGGUGAUACAAGAUGCAUACAGAGAUUGCGAAACUGAGAAGGAAGCAGCAAAGUUGCAGCGCAUGAUAGAUGAUCACCAAAAAUUGUUGUACCGAGGUUGCCAGCAGGACCAUAAAAAACUAGGUACGACACUAGAAUUUGUGCAAUGGAAGGCAAAAAAUGGUGUGUCCGAUAAGGCAUUUCAGGGGAUGUUGAACAUUGUCAAGAAGAUUCUCCCCGAGAAUAAUGAAUUACCGUCCACAACAUAUGAAGCUAAACAGAUUAUUUGUCCUCUUGGAUUGGAUGUUCAGAAGAUACACGCAUGCCCUAAUGACUGUAUCCUCUAUCGUGGUGAUGAAUACGAGAAAUUGGAUGCUUGUCCCGUCUGCGAAGCCCUGCGGUAUAAGAUCAGGCGAGAUGAUCCUGGUGAUGUCGAGGGGCAGUCUCCCAAGAAGAGAGUUCCCGCGAAGGUGAUGUGGUAUUUCCCUAUAAUACCACGCUUGAAGCGCUUGUUCAGGAACAAGGCGAAUGCUAAGUUGAUGCGAUGGCACAAAGAAGACCGUAAGGAAGAUGAGAUGCUGAGACACCCCGCAGAUGGGGCACAGUGGAGAUCAAUUGAUAGAAAAUUCCCAGACUUUGAAAGUGAAGCAAGGAACAUAAGGUUUGGUUUAAGCACUGAUGGAUUCAAUUCAUUGGGUGAGUUGAGUAGUGGUCAUAGUACUUGGCCUGUGACCCUUUGUAUGUUCAACCUUCCUCCUUGGCUGUGCAUGAAGCGGAAGUUCAUUAUGAUGCCGGCGCUAAUCCAAGGCCCAAAACAACCCGGCAACGACAUUGACGUGUACCUAAGGCCGUUGGUUGAUAACCUUUUACAGCUCUGGAAGGAAGAAGGUGUACGUGUGUGGGAUGAGGAUAGACAAGAGAUCUUUAAUCUACGAGCACUGUUGUUCGUAACCAUCAACGAUUGGCCUGCAUUGAGUAACCUUUCAGGACAGACAAAUAAGGGAUAUCGGGCAUGCACCCACUGUUUAGACGACACAGACAGCAUGUACUUGAAGCACUGUAAGAAGGUCGUCUAUAUGGGUCAUCGUCGAUUUCUCCCUGCUCACCACCAGCUGAGAAAGAGCGGGAUGCAUUUCAAAGGGGCGCCAGACCAUCGUAAAAAACCUGCACACCGUAAUGGAAAGCGUGUGUUUGAGAUGAUGAAGGAUGUAUAUGUAGUCUUCGGAAAGGGACUUGGUAGCCAACCUGUUCCGAACGACGAUAACGGACAUGCACCCAUGUGGAAGAAAAAGUCAAUAUUUUGGGAGCUACCUUAUUGGGAAAUCCUAGAGGUUCGCAACGCAAUAGACGUGAUGCACCUGACGAAGAAUCUUUGCGUGAACGUGCUAGGCUUCAUGGGUGUUUAUGGAACCUCAAAAGAUACAUUGGAAGCACGACAGGACCUGAAAGCCAUGGGGCAACGAGAUGACCUACAUCCGGAAAAGAGAGAUAAUGGACAGCACUACUUACGUCCUGCCAGUUACACUCUCAGCAAGGAAGAGAAGGAUAGCAUGUUUGAAUGCUUGAAUAGUAUGAAGGUCCCGUCUGGGUACUCCUCGAAUAUAAAGGGAAUAAUAAAUAUGAAACAAAAGAAGUUUACAAAUCUCAAGGCUCAUGACUGCCACAUGUUGAUGACCCAGUUGCUUCCGGUUGCACUGAGGGGUGUUCUACCAGAAAAUGUCCGGUUGCCGCUCGUAAAGCUAUGCGCGUUUCUCAAUGCGAUUUCGCAGAAGGCAAUCGAUCCAUCCAAGCUAUCAAAGCUACAGAACGAUGUGGUGCAAUGUCUUGUCAGUUUUGAGUUGUUAUUUCCACCAUCCUUCUUCAAUAUUAUGACGCACUUACUGGUUCACCUAGUAAAAGAGAUUGGUAUUCUCGGACCUGUAUACCUGCACAAUAUGUGGCCUUUCGAGAGGUGCAUGGCAGUCCUAAAAAACUAUGUUCUUAAUCGUGCCCGUCCAGAAGGAAGCAUCGCCAGGGGAUAUGGAACAGAGGAGGUGAUCGAGUUUUGUGUUGAUUUUAUUGAUUCAAUUGACUCGAUUGGGGUUCCAACUUCACGCCACGAGGGGAGGCUCCGAGGAAUGGGCACCAUUGGAAGGAAAUCAAGUUUGAGCAAUGAUACUGAUUUGUUCGACAAGGCACACUACACUGUUCUACAACAGUCAUCCUUUGUGUCUCCGUAUAUCGAGCAGCACAGGCAGAUGGUAGCUUCCAAAAACCCGACCAAAUCCGAUGCUUGGCUUACCCGUCAUCACAUGGAAACUUUUCCCUCCUGGUUGCGCCAACAACUUAUGGGUAACUCUGAGAUUCACCCACAGCUUGCCUGGUUAGCCAGGGGACCUACUACCACAAUCGUCGAAUUCCAAGGCUAUGAGAUAAAUGGUUACACAUUUUACACGAGAGCCAAGGACCAGAAAAGCACGAACCAGAAUAGUGGUGUCCGCAUAGAUGCCAUGGACAGAAAUAAUAGCAAGGAGUCGUAUUAUGGUUUCAUACAGGAGAUAUGGGAACUCGAAUACGGACCGCUGUACAUCCCUCUAUUUCUUUGCAAUUGGGUGAAGCUAACUGCCGUCACCAAAGAUCAGUACGGAAUGACAAUAGUAGAUCUGAGCAAGACUGGAUACAGUGAUGACCCAUUCGUACUUGCCAAUGAUGUGCAUCAGGUGUUCUAUGUGAAGGACAUGUGCAGCAAACCCAAGAGGAAUCCAGAAGAGACAUGGGAGCCAAAGUGCCACAUAGUUCUUCCAGGUAAAAGAAAAAUCGUGGGAGUCGAGGAUAAAACAGACCAAUCAGAUGAUUAUGAUCAGUUUGAUGGCAUGCCUCCAUUCGCCGUUGAAGUUGAUCCAAGCAUCCUGCUAUCCAAAGAAGAGGCUCCGUACUUACGCCGCGAUCAUGAUCAAGGAACUUUCGUGAAGAAGAAAUUUUACAACGUUGUAUUGUAAUGCGUUAAAUGUACAUGACCUUUGUGUAUUAAUUGAUACAAUUUGUAAUGUACCCUAUGUAUGAUUUCAUGUGUUAUUAAAUUUGUUAGGUGAAGAUUUUUUAGAUAAACAUGAACAUUGUUAACCACAUACUAACAUGGAUUUUUCUGCUGUUGACGUCGGAUUUCGUCAUCAGUAGAAUCGGCGCCAAAGAGGAAAGAAAUCGAAGGAGGACGGAUGGAAAUCGGCCAAAAGGUGUUACAGUGCGGAAUCGGUCAAGUGGCUUUUACUUCGCUUCAGAGUGAAUACGCCGGGUUCCCAAUCGGCAAUCCUUUGCUGAUAAGAAAUCGGCCGAUCAGGAAGGUGGACUAAGGUGGGCCUGUAUGGGCUUGGAAAGAUGGAAGGAUAAGGUGGAGUUCAGCCCAUGAAGCGUGGGGUAAUUAGUUUAGCUCGGAUUGUGCUUGUAGAUAUUUGUUUUCUGUUUAAAUUAGAGAUAGAGUCCUAGUCGGUUAAGAAGAUUAUUUGUACGGGGCUAUAAAUAGCUACCUUUGUAAAUCUGUAAAAAAAAAACAAUCAAUCAAUACAACAAGUUACUUUAUUCUUCGUACUUACUUUCGAGCAGGCGACUUCGCCAUCACUUUUCCUUCUCACGAGUUCGUGCGGGUUGGCAGGGCUGCAUCAUCUUGAUCUCCGGCCGAUUCUGUAAGUUCCGUUUAUCGAGUAAUAUCUAAGCUUUAACUUCCGGCGCAUCGCUGUUGUUUCGUUUAGAUUUUAUUCAUCAGUUAUCGAUAUCGACUAGAUUCAUAGGUUUUUACCUGUUCUCCUAGUUUUUAUCACCAGUUACCCCGCUAGGAAUCGGUAGUAUCGGCUUUCAUUACUUUCUGUUACCAAAUCCAUCUGUUGCCGAUUAGAUCUUUUCCUGGUGCUGUUACUACGUGCCUUGUACCGAUUACUUUAAUAUUUUUCUAUCUACAAGGCUACGGGGGUCGUGCUGUCUUGUAGCCGAUUUCUUUACCACAGUAAAUCGGCCGAUCUGCCGAUAAGCUCUCUCGAUCGGAAACUUAGCCGAUCGUAGUUACUGAUUUUGACACGUGUUCUUCCUUGCCAAUCAACAGGUCAGAUUGGCUGGCACGCCGCGCGAACCGCACCAGGGCAUUCACCCGAACAGGAGCUAAGCAGAUUCUCCCGGGUCGUGUGUCGGCCGCUGGGAUUCGGUUGACCGAUUUCUAGCGCCAACACACUUUUGGCACGCCCGGUGGGACCAUUACAACCGCUGUCUUGUCGAAAGCUGCUGAAGUCUCCGAAGAUAACGUCAUCGAAGUGACGGAGGCAGAUCUAAAGGACGACCAAAAAGAAGAUCUAAAUCAGUAUUUGGAGCAAGUCCGGAAAACUUGCUUGAAAUCCUUCAGUCGUUCCAGGAGCGGGGAAACUGUUAAAAAGUCUCCUUUCCCUACUCCCCGCCAGAUCACGAUUUCAGAAGAUUCGGACAAAAUGUCCGAUAUGAUUCAGCAAUCUCUUCAUCACGCCUUCAUCAACCAAUCCCCGGUACUUUCAAACAUGGUGCACAAUGCUGUUGUCAACUCUUUCGCCGGAGGUAUACCACAGGGGUACAGGGGGCCUACGUAUUUUCAGCCGAUUCCACCAAAUCAGGCUUAUCAGGCUUCACAGCCGAUCCAAUCCUCUGUCGGAGGAUCUGGUGCUUCUACGUCAUCAACUCCUUUGGGAUACGGCUCCACUGCACCACUCCCUCCAGUCAUUCCUUUACCCUGGGGGGCACCCUUAAACACGACCGGUUUGAAUCAAUCGGUCAGCCAAGGAAAUCCUCCGUUCCAGACACCCUCCCAAACGGCCACUCGGCCGAUCAUACCACCAUACCAGCCUAUCGCUCCGGAGGUCAACAAGACGUCAGAGCUCAUGCUAUAUGAUGGAACAAGUGGUUCAUACAAGCAGCCGUCCUUUACUACACCGCCGGCUUAUACUCAGAUACCACCUUUUCAUCAACCUCCUUUUAUUCAACCUCCGAUUUAUCAACAUGUGCCGAUUCCGCCGCCAAUUAUUCCCCAACAACAACCGGAUUGGACGGCGCAAAUCGCGGAGGUAAUGCAAGAACAAUUCGGACUGAAGCCGAAGGUGCAAACUUAUACCUACAGGACACCAUACCCAUCUACGUACGACUUGUUGCCGUUUCCCCAUCGGUACAAAGUCCCGGAUUUCACUAAAUUUUCCGGAAUAUAUGAUACUUCUACCGUGGAACAUGUGAAUAGAUUCAUCAUCCAAUGCGGAGAAGCAGCUACGCAAGAUGCCCUACGGGUACGGUUGUUCUCGUCAUCUUUGUCUGGAUCGGCUUUCCAAUGGUUCACCACUUUGCCACCAAACUCGAUUAUCACAUGGGCCGAUCUAGAGAGGCAGUUCCACAAGUACUUCUAUGCUGGAGUCCACGAAAUGAAGUUGUCUGAUUUAACUAGCCUCCGGCAACGAAGUGAUGAGCCGAUACCCUCGUACAUACAGAGGUUUCGGGAAAUCAGAAACAAAUGCUACUCCUUGGCUCUAACCGAUGCGCAGUUGGCCGAUAUAGCUUUCCAAGGCCUGCUGCCACACAUUAAGGAGAAAUAUGCUUCGCAAGAAUUCGAGAGCCUGAGCCAGAUUGUCCACCGAUUGUCCGGACAAGAGGUGCGUCCAUUCGAUCCAAGAAGGAAUUUCCAGAAGAAAGUGGCGUUCCUGGAAGAAUUAGAGGACGAGGAAGACGCCGACAUCGGACUUGCAGAGUGGAUUAAAGGAAAGAAGCCGAUAUCAUGCCCGUUCGGCAAAAAGGAGCCGGAAGCAUUUGGUUUCGAUACAACUAAAGCUGACAAAAUCUUUGAUCUUCUACUCCAGGAAGGACAAAUUAAACUCUCGCCUUACCACACGAUACCCUCUGCCGAACAAUUGAAGAAGAUGAAGUAUUGCAAGUGGCAUAACGCCACAUCACAUGAUACCAACGCCAUUGAGCAAGGCAGACUCAAAUUUGAAGUGCCGGCAAAACUGGCUAAACCUAUGAAGAUUGAUCAACACCCUUUUCCUACCAACAUGGUGGAUACGGGUAAGAAUCCCCUCCAAACAAAAGUGCUGACGUCCGAAUCGGCAAAAAGGAGCGGCUCUGUCGACCCCAGAAAUCAAGUUACACCCGAAGACAUCAAAGGGAAACGGCGAAUGGAGGACGACGAUGGUGAGUCUGAUAGACCACGUAUUACUUCCCAGUUCCUGCUCCAAAAGUACCAACGCCAACAUGAACGAUCGAGGUCCCGAGAGGAAGCAAUGCGUCGACACGAAGAACACUGGAGAUGCCCAUUCUUCAUCCAUUGUUGGGAAAAUAACCUCAGGCUUCCAUCAGCCGAUACUUGCCCAGAGUGCAACGGUCCCUAUCGAAGCAAUCGGCCGAUUACAAGGUCUCGCUCCAGAGACGGAAGGCCAGAACCGAUCAGCAGGAAUCGGCGCAACCCAGAUGAUCAGCGCCCUUCCAUGCGUGAUCGGCUGGGGGGCAGAAGUGACCGAUAUGAUCGGUCAGAAGAUAGAAGCCAUAAUAGGCAGGGGGGCAGGACCGAUCGACAUGAUCAAUCAAGUAGCAAAGCCAGCGUUCACAGUCGGCUCCAAGACAUGGCCGAUGCUCGGGUAACAGACGAGAACCCGUUAGGACGCGAGCCAGAAUGGGAACGCGCCAGGAAAGAAGGGAGGCCAAUAAACCCCAGAUGGUGUCCCGAUGGUUUGACCAAAUCACAAAAACGAAGAGUCCAACGCCUCCGCCAAUGGGAACAGCAAGAAGAAGAAAGCGCGAUGGACAAGAAGGAAGGGAGGCCUCGGGUAUGGCGCCCCAAAGGAAACGACAAGGGCAACGAUGAAUCGGCGGGUGAUGAAUCGGCAGCCGAAAUCGGUAUGGUUUUCAUAUUGCCGACGGAGUUUAUGACCCCUGCCGAUCAACAGAACGUGUCGGCAAUAGAGGAACAAACAGCACGGUUGGCGUUAGAACCAAUGAUGGCCACGUUCGAAAAGCCCGAAGACGACGAACGACAACAUAUGAAGGCGUUGUUUCUUAAAGGGCAUGUUGACGGUCGCCCCCUCACUAAAUUGAUGGUCGACGGGGGAGCUGCCGUCAACAUCAUGCCGUAUGCCAUACUCCGAAAGCUGGGAAAGAGCGAUGACGACCUAACCAGGACGGACAUGAUGCUCAAGGACUUCGAAGGCAAGGUGUCAAACGCUCGCGGUGCCCUCUGCGUUGACCUCACCAUCGGCAGUAAGACCCUUCCUACCACGUUUUUCGUCAUUAAUGGCAAAGGGUCCUAUAAUAUGCUUCUUGGACGAGACUGGAUACACGCAAACUGCUGCAUACCGUCAACUAUGCAUCAAUGCCUGGUACAAUGGGUCGGCGACAACAUCGAGGUGGUCAAAGCCGACUCCGCGUACAGCAUCGCAGCAGCCGACGCACAGCAAUGGAGCUGCGAAACCGUCAGGUGCAUAUCAGGUAGGGUGUGGGAAACUGAUUUCCUGAAGGUCACCGAUUUUGGCCUACAGCCGAUCCGAGCAGUCGGCUCUGAAGAAGCGCAAUAAAUGGAUCAGUUCGCCCGAGAAGACGGGAAGCUGGGACACGGAUUCACGUCGGCCGAUUCAUUGGAAAUGGUAGAUUUAGGUGACGGGACCAAACCAAGGCCGACUUUUAUUAGUGCAAAUUUAGAUCCAGAGUACAAGUGUAAAUUGACAAAUUUAUUAAGAGAAUUCAAGGAUUGUUUUGCGUGGGAGUAUCACGAGAUGCCCGGAUUAGAUCGAUCUAUUGUUGAACAUCGGCUACCCAUAAAACCAGGGUAUCGGCCGUACCAACAACCCGCACGGCGAUGCAAUCCUAAAAUUUUACCAGACAUAAAAGCCGAAAUAACUCGGCUAAUUGAAGCGAAAUUUAUUCGGCAAUGUCGUUACGCCGAGUGGAUUUCUAAUAUCGUACCGGUGUAUAAGAAAAACGGGAAACUGCGCGUUUGCGUCGAUUUCAGAAAUCUUAAUCAGGCCACACCGAUGGAUGGCUACCCCAUGCCUACGGCCGAUGUACUGAUCGACGCUGCCGCGGGGCACAAAAUUAUUAGCUUCAUGGAUGGGAACGCCGGAUACAAUCAAAUACUUAUGGCCGAAGAGGACAUACCCAAAACGGCUUUCAGAUGUCCAGGCCAUCUUGGUCUAUUCGAGUGGGUGGUGAUGACUUUCGGUUUGAAGAAUGCUGGUGCUACAUAUCAGAGGGCCAUGAACUAUAUUUUCCACAAACUCAUCGGCCUCCUGGUGGAGAUCUACAUCGACGACGUUGUGGUCAAAUCCAAAAGCCACGAGGAACACCUAGCCGAUUUGCGAAGGGUCCUAGAGUGUACCAAGAAACAUGGUCUUAAGAUGAAUCCCAACAAAUGCGCUUUCGGCGUCUCCGCCGGACAGUUCCUAGGAUUCAUGGUGCACGAACGAGGCAUUGAAGUCAAUCAGAAGACCAUAGCGGCCAUCAACAAAGUCGUCGCUCCGCAGAACAAAACUGAACUACAAUCUCUAAUCGGCAAGGUAAACUUCAUCGGAAGGUUUAUAUCUAAUCUAUCUGGACGGAUCCAGACGUUCACACCACUUCUGAAGUUGAAGCCAGACCAAGAAUUUAUUUGGGGAGAAGAACAGCGCAAGGCGUUAGAAGACAUCAAGCGAUACUUAGUCUCGCCCCCAGUCCUGGUUCCCCCCCAAACGGGUAAGCCGUUUAAACUAUAUUUAUCAGCCGAUGAAAAAGCUAUUGGGUCGGCUCUAGUCCAAGAGUUUGAAGGCAAAGAACGGGUGAUUUAUUACGUUAGUAGAAGACUCCUGGAUGCCGAAACAAGAUAUCCUCCAGUAGAGCGUUUGUGUUUGUGUCUUUACUUCUCGUGCACCAAACUCAGACACUAUCUACUGUCGGCAGAAUGUAUAGUCGUAUGCAAAGAUGAUGUAGUGAAAUACAUGCUGUCACUGCCGAUAUUGAAAGGGCGAAUCGGUAAAUGGAUUUUAGCUUUAUCAGAAUUUGACCUACGGUACGAAUCGGCAAAAGCCAUCAAAGGUCAAGUCAUGGCCGAUUUCGUCGCACAGCACUGUGGGCCGGAGAUCGCCUUCGUGGAACUAGCGCCUUGGCAGUUAUUUUUUGAUGGGUCAUCAUGCGGAGUCGGAUCGGGAAUCAGCAUCGUUCUCAUAUCGCCUCGGGGGGCAAGAUACGAUUUUUCUCUGCCGAUAGAAACCGCCACCACAAACAAUCAAGCGUAAUACAGAGCUGUAUUAAAAGGCUUACGAUUAUUGAGAGAAGUCAAGGCCGAUUCUGUCGAGGUCUUCGGAGAUUCGAUGUUAAUCGUGGAUCAACUAACCGGGAAGGCUGAGUGCAAAGAUGACAUAUUACGAAUUCAUCACGAAGAUUGCCUACAGCUGUUAAAAGAAUUCAGAUCGGCAGUAAUCGAGCAUGUCCCAAGAGACCGCAAUGAGGAAGCGAACAAACUCGCUCAACACGCAUCUGGGUAUCGGCCGAUUCUAGGCGCCAUGGCCUUAGAGCUUGCAGCUGACGAUUGGCGCAAAGAAAUUGCCGAUUACCUAAAGGAUCCGUCUAAAAAGGUGGAGCGGCGAGUACGCUUUCACGCUACCAAAUACGUAUUACUCGAAGAUGAUCUGUUUUACCGAACGAUCGAAGGUGUUCUUCUUAAAUGCCUUGGGACAGAAGAAGCCAAGACUCUAAUGGGAGAAAUCCACGAAGGGGUAUGCGGAGCUCACCAAUCAGCACAUAAGAUGAAGUGGAUGAUCAGAAACAAUGGGUACUAUUGGCCUACGAUCCUUGAAGAUUGUUUCAAAUAUUAUAAGGGUUGUCAGGAGUGUCAAAAGUUUGGAAAUGUCCAGCAUGCACCUGCAUCGGCCAUGAAUCCCAUCAUCAAACCAUGGCCGUUCAGAGGGUGGGGAAUAGACCUUAUCGGCCAAAUUUAUCCACCAUCGAGCAAGGGGCACAAGUUUAUUCUGGUCGCCACCGAUUAUUUCACCAAAUGGGUGGAGGCAAUCCCAUUAAGAACUGUGACUUCGGCUAUCAUGGCCGAUUUUGUAAGGGAUCAUAUCGUCUACCGAUUCGGUAUCCCUCAAACUGUAACAACCGAUCAAGGAACGAUGUUCACAUCGGGGGAAUUUGAGGAGUUUACAACCGAUAUGGGCAUCAAAUUGUUAAAUUCUUCUCUGUAUUACGCUCAGGCCAAUGGUCAAGCAGAAUCUUCCAACAAAGGAAUAAUCAAGUUGAUCAAAAGGAAGAUUGAAGAAUACCCGAAGAAGUGGCACCUGUGUUUAACCGAAGCCCUAUGGGCAUACAGAAUGGCCUGUCAUGGGGCCACCAAGUUAUCUCCUUAUCAGUUGGUAUACGGUCACGAUGCAGUACUUCCAUGGGAAUCGAGGGCAGGAUCAAGGCGCAUUUCACUUCAAGACCAGUUAUCGGCCGACGACUACUCGGCACUUAUGAAAGAAGAACUUGAUGAUGUGGCCGGUCAUCGACUAAGGGCUCUGAUAAGUAUCGAAGAGAAUAAAAAGAGAGUGGCCAGGUGGUACGAUAAAAAGGUCAAAGUCAAGCAGUUCUCCCCCGGAGAUUUGGUAUGGAAGUUAGUACUACCGAUCGGGUCGAAAGAUCCUAAAUUCGGUAAAUGGUCUCCUACCUGGGAAGGGCCGUAUAAAAUCGGCAAAUGCUUAUAUCUUGGAAACAAUAGAAGGAGAAGAAUUCACUAGAGCUCUGAAUGGGAGGUAUUUAAAAAGGUAUUACCCAAGUAUAUGGGUCGGUGCCUAAGGAAUUAAACACGAUCAUACAUGACCGAUACGAUUCGGUCUUGAGACACACAUAAAGUCAACCGGAACGGCCGAUUACAUUCAUUCGGUACGGGCGACGGGUUACAUGGCCGACAAAAUGUUUAGUCGCCCUUAGAACAAAAAUACAGCAACUAAUUAUUCUUUUUCUUACGCUCCCUCUCAGCCCGACCUAACUCUAUCAUGAGUCGGAUGUAUUCUUCUUCUAUGGCCUUCAUUGAAAUCUCCGCUUCGACUUGACCGGGGAGAUCUACGGGAGGGCGCGAAGUCCCCACUCCCGCAUCUUCAAGAACGACUUGCCGAGGGAGUGGAUGACUCCUGUCAAUGGGAGGUCGACGGCUGCCAUUCCUCUCCACGAAGUCCAGGAUCAUUCGGGCCUCCGUGGCGAUGUCGUCUUCAAGAUCGCCACAACGAUCGCCCCUGACAGGUGGAGAUUGCUGGUUACUUUCACUCACCACGGAAUCCAAGACUACGCGAGCCUCCGUGGUAAUGUGAUCCUGGAGCUCUUCUCGGUGAGCCGCGAUCAGCAUCUUGUCCUCCGACGUUAAUGGAUCUUCGGAAUGAAUGCACUCAAUGGCGCGCACGAGCUCGGGGCUAAGACGUUGAGGCUGAAACAAAGAAGGGAUGAGGAGGGAUAUUCUCUUCCUUAGGGUCUAAAAAAGAAAGGAAGGUAGAGGUCAAAAAACUUCACCUGGUUAACAGAGGAAGAAGAAGAUGACGAGGCCAUAGCGAAGAAAUUGCACCGAUGAGAAGGGGCAGAAAGGUUGAACCGAGAGCCAAGAUUGAUGUUACCAGGAGUAAGCGCCGAGCUUGGUAUUUAUAAAAGAAUGCGUGGAAAUCUGGUAAAGCUACGUCCCAUCGGUAAUAAGAAGGCAAUAAAUAGAAAGGGCGUCGCGAGGGGCGGUCAAAGAAGGUAGUAAAUGAUUCGUACAAAACGGUCAGUGUUUUACAGAUUACCCAGAAGGGUAUCGAUGGCCGUGAUGGCCCGACGCCGGAUCUGAUCGGCAGAGUCAAGUACCCGUUGGUCUUCUUCCGCCGAUCCAGGAACCUCCGAUGCGCUGCGAUGGAGUCUCAGUGCCUCGUGAGCAAAGCGUUGCCUCUCCCGUGUUAAAUCGGCAAUAACAGAAGGUAGCUCUUCGAGUUUGUUCUCUUCGGCACUGAUUGCCUUGAUCACUUGCUCCAUUUCCUUGGCAAGCUCCGCCCUACGACGCUUGAGACGGUCUAUUUCUCCUAUGAUCGCCGGACGGGAAUCUUCUAGGACAUGGAUACGCCGAUUCGCCUCUUGAGCCUGACGUUUGAAAGCGUCUUCCUCUUCGCGAGCCUUGGUCAGCUUAGCGCGAUCGGCCAUGUGACGAAGGGCUCUGAAGACCGGGAUCCUCAUAGACUCGAUGAAGGCCGCCGGCGCCAGGGCCUCCUCCGCCUCUUCUGGUACUCGUCCGCUGACGUCAUUGAAGAGCUGCCGAAUCGGCGAGGCGUCUUCUACUAAUCGGCCGAUGUCCCCUUGAAGGAGGGAUCGGAUGCUGGAAAGUUUGGCUCGGACGUCGUCAGGAACGGAACUCAAGGCGACUUGGCGAGAAGCAACUUCUUCGUCGUCAGAGAGGGCGACCGCAAAAGAAAAGAGACUGUUGUCGGGGGUAUCCUGUUCCUGAAGAUAAUAAAGAAAAGAAAUGAACCAGCUGUAAGAAAGAGCAAAUCGGCUAAGAUGGAGGCCGAAACAGAAAAAUACCAUUUUGAAGCGAAUCUCCUCAUGUUGCACUUGAGAAGCCGCCAUGCCUUGCUCGGGGGCCUGCGCCAUGGGUUCAUCAGAUGGAGAGGACUCCACGAUAAUUGGCGCAGUGUUUGGACCAGCCUCCUGACAAGAAAUCGGCGAUCGAGGAGCGAUUGAUGUGCCGAUGGCCUGUGUCAGAAGUUUGAAUAAAUACGGUACGUAAAUGCCCAAAGGAAAUCGGUACGAGAAGUUCUAUACAUUAACGGAAGGAAACGGGGGCACGUCAAUAGCUGGAGGGGCUGCUGCCGAUUGUGGUACUUCUGUAGGGAUGCUCUGUGCAGUUUAAAGAUAAAAGAAAAAUUAAUAUCAAAAAUAAUAAUCGGAGACAGCGCAACUCAGUUUUACCUGUAUGGCCUCCAACAACAACGAUGCGGCGGCCGCCCCAGCUUGCGUCAUGGUUUGAGUAUCGGCACCUUGAAUGACUUGAGGAGGUGGUACGGCCGAAGUGUCUGCCGAUACGCUCACGGGAGGAUCCGCCGAUCCCGUACGAGCCCGGACUCGGCGACUGGUCUUCUUGGUAGUCCUUUUAUGAACUUGUUUCGAUCGGCCAGUAAUCACGUCAACAGACGGGGCGUUAUAGCCGAUAAGGGGAUAAGUAGUGUAUGGAUGACUCUCUAUCAGUCGUCCGCUGCGGCUGUGUGUUGGAGGGAUCCGAUUCUCGGCCUAAAAUAAUAAAAUCAUUAGUACUCGGUCGUGUUAAGGGGAAUAAAAGGGAAUAAAAAUCGGCUAUGUGAAGUACCUCGGCGUUUGGAUCAAUGUUGGUCGGGUCCAGAAGAUUGCAGUAUGCCGAUGCUGAGUUGCAGAAGAGGAAUUGCUUCCAAUCAGCCCACCAUAGUUUGAACGGCUGAACAGCAAAUGGAGCUACUAGCCAGUCGUUCAAGUUAAUUGUACUGGAGUCUGGAAUUCGGUCUCGCAACCGACCGUAAUCUAGGCUAGAUUUGAGAUCAUCUCUAAACUUGAUUUUGCCAGCAAAGUACACCUGAAUCGGCAGCUGACCCAUGCCAAAUUGUCGUGCCGCAGCAGAAGGGUUGUAGAAUUCAUACGUAGGGGCAUCCUUCCCUGAGAAGAAAUUGGCCGGUAGGAUCCCUGGCUUGAUCAACCCUUCAUAGAGAUCUUCAUCAAACCGGCCAGAAGUUGAGUCAAAGCAGGAAGGGAGCUCGAAGAUGGGAAUGUCUCGCUGGUAUGGAAACCAGAUAGUUGCGUCCUCAUUAAAUCCAUCGUAAAAGCACCGAAAGUACUCGGCUACCUUUGUAGCGGAAUACGCACAACCUGGAAAAGCUGAUGCCGCUUCACCAUAAGACAUGCAUCGGCGACGCUCGGUAGGGUCUUCCGCCGAUUCAAUAUUGGGAAACGUCAUGUGGUCCACUGGCUGCCGGGUGAUCCUGUUCAUGUAAAGGUUCAACCAUAGAUUGACGAACCACCAAGGCCCACCUGGGUUGCCGAUUGGUUCUCCCUUGGAAAGUUUUGUGCCGAUUUGGUGGAGCAUGUGGUACACAGCACCCAGAAGAUGUUUCCCGAGAGGAAUGUGGCUUCCUUUGGACAGUGCCUCGGCUAAAGAUUGGGUGUUGGUUGUUGGGCCGGCGGCUCUUCCACAGAAAAGGUGUUUUUCUAGCCACAUCAUCAGGAAAGCGGUGUGCUCCCUAUUAUCAAUAGUACCGGUCUUCUUGUUAUUACUAAUAAAGCCCUUCCAGCUGCCGAUUCCUCUUACGUCCAGCCGAUGCGACGGUACGGUCAGAAGUUGGAAAGGCGUGUCAGGAGAGGAUAUGUCCAGGCCGGUCAAGAGGACCACAUCGGCCAGAGUGGGGGUCAUAGGACCGUGUCCAAAUAAGAAUGCAUUAAGAGCGUCAGACCAAAAAUAGGAAGCCGCCAUCACUAGCGGUUCGUUUUUCUCCAUUUGCGACAGAGAGAGGUUGAUACAUUGGCCGAUUUUGAGUUCAUCCCACAAGACGCUCUUUGACGUGGCCAUCCGUUGGUACCAUUCCCUCCAACCGGGGGUUUCAUUCGGCCAAGAUCUAAAAGUGCUGGCCCAUUGAUCUAAGUUCAUGUCAGAUCGUUUGAAAGGUAUCCGGUCAGUUUCCAAGUUUAUGAGGUCUGCUGGAUCUGGGUCUCCCAUGGGACCAAGGCAAACAAGGCCAGGACUACCCGUGAGAUGGAUAGUGAUUCUAUGUCUAACCGCCUAAAUGAGGAAAAGAGGCAUAAGAAUAUAAGGAAUAGAUCUAAGAUAAAUACGUUACCGAUAGAGGAAAAAUUCGGUGUUUACCUCCGGUAUAAAAUUCUGAGUAAUCGGUGUGGUCGCCGAUGCAGAUGCAGAUGAUGAAGCCGUAAUGGGGAUCGCCAUUGGGAUCUCUGAUGAAGCUCCUUCAUCUAUGGAUGGAGUGACGGUUGUUGCCACCGUUACCGGAGGUGCUACCUCCACCGGGGGCAUUGUCCCUGGAGCAUCGCGUGCUGGGGAAUUACCGGAGGGAGUCGCCAUUGAAGGGGAGGGGAAGAAGUGACAGGAGCUGGAGCUGGAAGGCUUCGAUGGCAAGAUUGAAGAAGGAAGGAAGUGCGCGCGCUGGAAAGAGGGAUGUGAGCUUGAAGAUGAGUUGCGGUGAAAUGAUAUUUAUAGGGUGCCUGAAGAAAGGGUAAAGAUGGAAUUUUCAACGCGCCGGCGCGUCGAGUUUUUCGGGGUAGUGGCUGUCGUGGGCGCCCGUUUCAAAAAAUUGCAAUGAUCAGCCGGGAGACCGCGAAACGGAAGGAUAUUUUCACUGCGGCCGUUUCGGAAGAGAGGUUAUAAAGAAUUUCGAAGUAAAAGGCUAUGUUUUACUCCGAAACUGGGGGGCAUGUGUUGACGCCGGAUUUCGUCAUCAGUAGAAUCGGCGCCAAAGAGGAAAGAAAUCGAAGGAGGACGGAUGGAAAUCGGCCAAAAGGUGCUACAGCGCGGAAUCGGUCAAGUGGCUUUUACUUUGCUUCAGAGUGAAUACGCCGGGUUCCCAAUCGGCAAUCCUUUGCUGAUAAGAAAUCGGCCGAUCAGGAAGGUGGACUAAGGUGGGCCUGUAUGGGCUUGGAAAGAUGGAAGGAUAAGGUGGAGUUCAGCCCAUGAAGCGUGGGGUAAUUAGUUUAGCUCGGAUUGUGCUUGUAGAUAUUUGUUUUCUGUUUAAAUUAGAGAUAGAGUCCUAGUCGGUUAAGAAGAUUAUUUGUACGGGGCUAUAAAUAGCUACCUUUGUAAAUCUGUAAAAAAAAAAAACAAUCAAUCAAUACAACAAGUUACUUUAUUCUUCGUACUUACUUUCGAGCAGGCGACUUCGCCAUCACUUUUCCUUCUCACGAGUUCGUGCGGGUUGGCAGGGCUGCAUCAUCUUGAUCUCCGGCCGAUUCUGUAAGUUCCGUUUAUCGAGUAAUAUCUAAGCUUUAACUUCCGGCGCAUCGCUGUUGUUUCGUUUAGAUUUUAUUCAUCAGUUAUCGAUAUCGACUAGAUUCAUAGGUUUUUACCUGUUCUCCUAGUUUUUAUCACCAGUUACCCCGCUAGGAAUCGGUAGUAUCGGCUUUCAUUACUUUCUGUUACCAAAUCCAUCUGUUGCCGAUUAGAUCUUUUCCUGGUGCUGUUACUACGUGCCUUGUACCGAUUACUUUAAUAUUUUUCUAUCUACAAGGCUACGGGGGUCGUGCUGUCUUGUAGCCGAUUUCUUUACCACAGUAAAUCGGCCGAUCUGCCGAUAAGCUCUCUCGAUCGGAAACUUAGCCGAUCGUAGUUACUGAUUUUGACACGUGUUCUUCCUUGCCAAUCAACAGGUCAGAUUGGCUGGCACGCCGUGCGAACCGCACCAGGGCAUUCACCCGAACAGGAGCUAAGCAGAUUCUCCCGGGUCGUGUGUCGGCCGCUGGGAUUCGGUUGACCGAUUUCUAGCGCCAACAUCUGCGCAUUCAAAUAAUUUAAUUGAAUAAUUUCUUGAUCACAGCAAUGCAGUAAAAUAAAUAUUUUACAGGCUAAAUGAGUUGGUAUAGAAUUAAUGAUUACUUCAUACUUAUUGUCAAUUUACUCGUUAAUUAAAUAUAUUUUUGCAUGUACAAAAUCUGUGAAGGUUUUGUUUUUCAUCCUGAAAUGCAGUGAAAAGGUAAAAUAAAAUCCAUUUCCAAAAAACAGGCGGGAGAAGAAAAAUAGGAAAAAAGACCUUUUGUCUCGGGGCUAACAGCAACCGGGACAAAAGGCCCCCCUUUUAUCCUGGUUGCCAACGGCAACCGGGAUAAAAGGGUACGUUUCGUCUCCCGCCCAAACGUACCCUUUUAUCCCGGUUGCCAACUGCAGCAGGGAUAAAAGGGUACACUCCCAGCCCCACCUGGCGGGGGUACCCUUUUGUCCCGGGUCCCGUCGCCAACCGGGAUAAAAGGGGGGGGGCCUUUUAUCCCGGUUGGUGNNNNNNNNNNNNNNNNNNNNNNNNNNNNNNNNNNNNNNNNNNNNNNNNNNNNNNNNNNNNNNNNNNNNNNNNNNNNNNNNNNNNNNNNNNNNNNNNNNNNGACGAGACGACGACGCGAGACGACGACGGCCGAGGCGAAGACGACGACGGCGGCGUAGGCGGGACGGCGACGAGACGGCGACGAGGGGCGACGAGGAUGGAGCCGGCGACGAGGAUGUGGAGCCGGUGGCCGGAGGCGACGAGGUGGCCGGGGGCCGGGCGCGUCGACGGACGAGGAGGGGAUCGAGGAGGGCCGGCCGGGGGACGACGACGGCGCAAUGGGGGACAUCGACGGCGCAAUGGGGGACGACGACGGCGGCGGCCGGUGAGGGAGGCGGACGGGCGGCGACGGCGGAGAACGCGCGGGACUUGCGAAAUUUUGGCUAAGUGUGUAACUGGCAGGGGGUAGAAGGGAGUACAGUGCCUUUUAACCCCCCCCUUUUAUCCCGGUUCGUAAUAGGACCCGGGACAAAAGGCUCUUUUGUCCCGGGUCCUAUUACGAACCGGGAUAAAAGGGGGGGGUUAAAAGGCACUGUACUCCCUUCUACCCCCUGCCAGUUACACACUUAGCCAAAAUUUCGCAAGUCCCGCGCGUUCUCCGCCGUCGCCGCCCGUCCGCCUCCCUCACCGGCCGCCGCCGUCGUCGUCCCCCAUUGCGCCGUCGAUGUCCCCCAUUGCGCCGUCGUCGUCCCCCGGCCGGCCCUCCUCGAUCCCCUCCUCGUCCGUCGACGCGCCCGGCCCCCGGCCACCUCGUCGCCUCCGGCCACCGGCUCCACAUCCUCGUCGCCGGCUCCAUCCUCGUCGCCCCUCGUCGCCGUCUCGUCGCCGUCCCGCCUACGCCGCCGUCGUCGUCUUCGCCUCGGCCGUCGUCGUCCCGCCGUCGUCGUCUUCGUCCUCGUCGCCGUCCCGCGCGCCGCCCGGCCGCCGCCGUCCCGCCGCCCCGGCCGCCGCCGUCCCGCCACCCCGGCCGCCGCCGUCCCGCCGCCCCGGCCGCCGCCGUCCCGCCGACCCGGCCGCCGCCGACCCGCCGACCCGGCCGCCGCCGUCCCGCCGUCCCGCCGUCCCGGCCGUCGGCCCGCGCGGGAGAGGUCCGCUGCCGCGCCGGCCGGCAGCGCCGGGAGGGUUUUCUUUUUAAGUUAAUUAGAAAAUUAAGUUUUAUUUUUAGAUAGAAUUGUAAUUUUGUUAAGUUAGAUUUUUAGAUUUCUAGUUAGUUUGUUAAGUUAGAUUUCUAGUUAGUUUUUUAAGUUAGAGUUGAUAUAGAGAUCGCCGAGUAGCCGCCGUGAUCGUCGCCUUGUAGCCGCCGUGAUCGCCGCCGAGUAGCCGCCGUGAUCGCCGCCAUCCCGCCGCCCAUCACAACCUAGUAGGCACCGCCCGUGGUUCCGGUGAACCGUCCCCGCCGUACCGCCGCCCUGACCGCCGCCGUCCCGCCUCCGCCGCCCUGAUCGCCGCCGUCCCGCCUCCGCCGCCCUGAUCGCCGCCGUCACAACCUAGGCACCGCACGUGGAUAUUGUUACAAAUUCGUAGAAAUUCGUCAAAAUUCGUAGAAAUUCGUCAAAAUUCGUAGAAAUUCGUAGAAAUUUGUAGAAAUUCAUAGAAAUUCGUAGAAAUUCGUAGAAAUUUGUAGAAAUUCGUAGAAAUUCAUAGAAAUUCGUAGAAAUUCAUAGAAAUUUGUUGAAAUUCGUCAAAAUUCAUAGAAAUAUUUCGGACUUUGUACGAUUCAUGUUAUUUUAUGAUUUCAUUAUAUACAUGUAUGAUUCCAUUCCGGACUUUGUACAAAUUUGUAUUAAGACGAUUUCUAUGACUGUCAUGUAUGAUUCCAUGUAUGUUUCCAUCAAUAGUUGAAAUGGCAGACGAUGAGACCGCAAGGUAUAUCAUGGAGCAGAUAAUCGCUGGUGAUGGUAGUGGCGACAACGUUCCACUAUCAUACACGUAUGAAGAGGGCACCCAGGCGGACAUGUUCCUCAACAUGUCCGCUGAUGGGAAUGAAGAGCAACAGCCGCAACAACAACUUGCCGUGGCGGAAGGUUCCGGCGAGGUAUAUACAACCAUUCUUGUAUUGUUUCACGCCACCGCUACUACUACGUACUAAUUAACGAAUCUUGAACUGUUAGCCCUCCGGAUCGACACAAGGGCAGAAGACCUGAGGUCGUACAAAGGUGAUGGAAGGGAGGCUUGUCAUCACCGAAGUUACAGAAGAGGGCAAGCCGGUUGCUCCCGAGAAAGUAGCAAAGAAGUACGUGAGUCAAAUCGGGGCAAUCGUUCGGGACAACGUGCCUAUCAGCAUCAGAGAAUGGAAGGGCAGAAGAGAUAAUCCGUACGCCCUUCCAGAGAUAGAAAAGAAUAUGCUGUGGGAAGACGUGAAGAGACAUUUCACAUUCCCCGAAGGAUAUAGCGAGAAGGAUGUCAAAGCGUGGACGCUUAAGAAGAUGGCUACUCAAUUCCAGACAUUCAAGAAGAUGCUGGACACCCACUACAUCAAGAAGGGCAAAACUCCAGACUUCAACGCGUGGCCAAAGUUGAGGGACCACUGGGAUGCAUUUGUUGAAUACAAGAGGAGUGAAGAAGGUGUGAAAAAGAUCACGACCAACAUAGCAAAUGCUAGUCAGAAGGGCUACCACCAUCAUUUGGGGUGAGGUGGGUAUGGCUCAGCAAUUCCCAAGUGGAGGAAGAUGGAACAAGAUCUGAUCGAACGGGGAAUCGUACCUGCAACUAUUGAAUGGCCCGAACGAUCAAAGAACUGGUACUACGCUCAUGGAGGCUCCCUAAGCCAAGAGGAUGGGACGCUGAUUUUCAAUGACACAAUACGUGAGAAGGCCGAACAUCUCAUGAAGAACAUUGAAGAUUCCAAGGCUGGGAGGUUGAGGGUGGACCAAGAAAAUGAUGAGCUCACAUUGGCCCUCGGUAAUCCAGAGCACCCAGGACGUUGCCGGGGGUUCGGGGUGGUUCCGUGGAAGUUCGCUUUCCGAGGCGACAGCGCCUCUUACAGAAGCCGGAAGCGAAGAAAGGAACAGAUGGAGGAGAGCUGGUAGCAGAUGGUAGAACAAAGAAUGAUGGAUGAAAUCAAUCGGCGGGUGGCCGACGCAGUUGCGGAGUUGGCGCAAUCUGGAGCAAUGCCGAAUCCUAACACCGCCAGCCCUUCUCAACGCCUCGGGAGCAGUUGUGCUUCUACAGGGGUCCCCGAUGCGCAGACGCCCAGGUUACCCGUGGAGGAGCAAUGGUUCCCCGUGGAUGCCAUCACGCAACGGACCUCAUGUAAGCUGCAUGCACCGGUCGGCAACCUCACUAUUAAGGUAUACUUAUACAUAAUAUUUAUGCAAUCUUGUCAAUUGAUCCAGGCCUCGAGAUCGGAGUUCAACCUGUUUACUUCUACUAUAUGUACAGGUAGCGUACGGGAGUGUGUUACCAACCCUGGCAGGGCAGAGCAGUCAUGGCAUGGACAUUCCAACAGGCUACGCCAGCGUCUGCGUCGAGCAAAUAGUUGAUCCCCAGUAUGAAGGUCUAGAGCUCGACUUCCCGGGAGGCGACGGGGAAAAGACAUUGGCAGAUGCGCUUCAUGGGAUCAUUCUAUGGAAGAAACGCUACAUCAUUAUUCCCCGCACGGAGCCAUCUCCUCAGACCUCAAGACCACUCCCCGUAGAUCCCCAGCAGCGACCUUCUCCUCAUACCUCGAGACCGGCAUCUCCUGCUCCAGGACCGUCUCUUCCAUCUAUAUCAAGGUCUCCAUCUCCACCACAUCCUGGUGCUGGGAGCGACGACGACAAUAACAACACCCCUCCCCGAUCACCGUCACCGGCACCAAGAGCGGCCCCCUCGAAGGAACCUGCAGCACCACUCAAGAAGUCACGAGCACCGCCUCCCAAGCAAAGACAGAGAAAGAAGAAAACAAAGGUCGACCCUGAAGUGGCUCGCAAGGAACGCUUUGAGGCAAUGUCUCAUGAAGAACAGUGGGCAGAAAUCCAACGAGAGGCCAGUGAGUGGUUCAAGAAACAAGCCGAAUUAAAAAAGGCAAGGGAGAUGGAGCCACCGUCAGUAAGUCGGCGAGAUUUAAACUUUUUUAUCAGGAUGGAGGAAGAAGCCAAGAAAAGGAUACCACUCUUGUCAAACUAUGAACGGGCUCUAGUAAAGGCUGAUGAAAAGGAUAAAAGGAAAGGAAAAUCAUCCUCCAGCAGUCCAGUCCCCGACCUCAGCCAUUUAUCAAAAAAAGAUGCUCAACGGGUAAAAGCAAUGCCCUUGGAUCAACAAGCAAAUAUAUUGAAGUUCAUGGAAGAAACAGGUCUGGGACUUGAUGAAUGCAUAGGGCAAGUCGAGACGCCAACUGCACCGCCCCCUGAGCCGAAGUGGACUUAUGAGCUAGGCAAACCUCUAGUAAAGCCUUCAAUGGUACGGAAGCUAUCAACAAAGAUGUACGAAUUCCAUCAAUGGUCGGCAUGAAGGUAAAACCGAUAGAUUUUCACGGUGAAGGGGAGAAAGUGCUGUGGCUAGACUUCAAGGAUAUAUACGAAGUGUACCAUCAUGAUGCCCUGGACGUCUCUCUGAUCAGCGCUUGGAUUCUGUAAGUGUCCGUUUAUUAUCUCUACAUGUAAAUUUUGGCGUGCGUCACCGUACUAACUUCAUCUUCCAUUUCAUGUAGGAUGCUAAUUCAGACAUGCCGCCGAGAGGCGUACCUACAUGUAGGCUUCAUGGAUCCAUCUGUAGUUAACCAACAACAGAUACAAUUAGCGCCGGAAAAAACCUUUGCGGAAAUAUACAAUUUCCUACACAAACAAACAUUCAAGGAUUUCAUACUACUUCCAUACAACUUCAAGUAAGUGUGUGUAUACCGUCUACUUUCGAUGUCUUUUUCCUUAUCUCUACAUGUUAGUUAGCUCUAAUAUGCAUGAACAUUUUACGCACGCAGCUUCCACUGGAUCCUUAUUAUAAUUGAGCCUGAAAGAAGCCACGUCACUGUCUUAGAUUCGUUAAGGAAAGAUCCGAUGGACUACCAAGAAUUGCAAGACAUGCUAGGCUUGUAAUAAUUCUGGACCUUUAUCUCUAUGCAAAAAUUUAUUUCCUAAAUUUUAUCCCUGUUACACUAUGUCAUUCAUUAUUCUAAUCCGCAGCGCAUGGAAACAAUUCAUAAGGACACACAAAGGUCCAUUCAAAGAAAAUCUUACAUGGAACACAGACUUCCCGGUACGUAUGCAGUCUGCACAUUUAUUACAUUGUAUAACACAAAUAUUUCAUAACUUAUUUUUUUCCGCACUGAAGUGCUUAAGACAGGAACCCGGGAAUAAUCUAUGUGGCUACUACAUCUGUGAGCACAUGCACAGUUUUUUGGGACCCAAGGGACCGAAGAUGACGCCGCACAACUUUAAAGUACGUAAAAUAACUAUAUUACUAGUUAAUUAUUUUCUAGCUCCUUAUAUGUAUUUGUUCAUGUAACAUUCACAAAUUUCCAAAUUAUAGAUGUUAAAUAUUCAACAAGGACUCUUGAAGGAAGAAAGAGUAGCGGCAAUAUGUGAAGGUCUCAUUGGAUUCAUAAUGGACGAGGUGGUGGACGAGGUGGUAAAUCCAAGAGGAGAAUUUUAUUACGAUGGACGACAAUUAGACACUCCGAUCAGCAACACCACGAUGGAUACUUUGAUUUAUUUGUAUAUAUAAUACGCGCUAAUUAUGAUCGAUUUGUACUAAGCUAGUUGAAUUGUGUAUAUGAAUUGUGUAUAAGGAUUGUGUAUAUAUAUAGUAAUUGUAUAAUUACAAAUCCCAUUCGUUUAAAUACUAGUUGAUUUCGUUCUAAAAAAAUCUCAACUACAAGGUUAACAAAUUAAAAGGGCUGCGGUACUACUAUACGUAUACGUGAUGCAUGCAUGAAAAAUUCAGACGUCACGGCUGUGCCAUGCAAGCGCCAUUUAGUCCCGGUUGGAAUCGAGCCGGGACUAAAGGGGACCCCUUUAGUCCCGGUUGGGAAAUCCAACCAGGACUAAAGGGGGACCUUUACUCCCGGUUAAAAGACCCGGGAGUAAAGACCCCCCCCUUUUGUCCCGGUUGGUUUAUCCCGGAUGGAUAUCCGAGAGAUAUGCACCCUACCAACCGGGACUAAAGGCCAAUUCUCUACCAGUGUAGACCAAACAUGAUACACACCAUGCGUACCUUGCUGUGCAGACUAUGCAUUGACAAGAUACCCGACCACAUGUUGGCCUCGGUCACAUCAAAAGAAUCAUGUAGGCCACCAAUAAACUACUUGAAGCGGCAUUCCGUAUCGUAUAUGCAUUGCCGGUUCAUCUGCAUUACAUUACAUAAAGCACUAUUAACUAUUUGAAUAAAAUGAACCAAUUUAAAAGUAAUGUGUUGUACUCUACUAUAGAAAGCCCUAUCACUGCCGGAUCCAAAAACAUCAUUGUUAAUGGUGGUUAAGUACCAAAUAUGAUGGUCAAUAUUCUCAAGAAUAAUGGAGAAUUAGCAUUUCUUAGACACAUAUUUGGUUUUGAACAAUGUAGUUCCACAUGUCUUUGGAGAUUAUUUGGGUGUGGGUGAAAUAAUACAAAAAUAAGGAGAAAACACACUCCCAUGGCAAAGAAACACAACUCCAACCAAUGAGAGAUAGCCACAGGGGCAGCACACGGAUCCAUGGGCCCACAAACCGCAUCAAACCGUCUUACCAAGGCAGGUAGCACCCACAACCGUCAUUAGGACCCACCUGGAAGUCUACCAAGAAGAAGGUUGCGAGUGGGGCCAGGAGGGGUUCGGUUGAAUCAUCUCUAGCUAGCUCCCCUCAUCCCCAGCUGGUGGGUGGUGGUGGUUGAUGGUGUCCCUACAUCGGUUAGAGGAGAUUCCCCCAAAUAUUCCUCCUGUAAACCACCUCUAUGGACCUAUACAUAGAGGGGUGUGCUCUCCAUUCCAACACACACCACAAGUUGAAUCACUGUCUCCCUCUUUAGUUUCCAAGUUUAUGGAGUUAGGCUAGAGUAGCUCUGCUCAAGGUUCCAAGUCCACUUGGAGUUAAGCAUAUGUCUCUUGUAUCGUUAUUUCCUAAAUUGACUUUAUGCUUAGUUCUUAUAUGCAUGAGUUAGUCUAAUACCCUUGCUCUAUUGAUAUGCUCGACUUAUAUGCUCGUAUGCUAGUCAUAUACCCUUGCUGUCGUAGUAUAGGCUUAUAUGCUCUCAUGUGUGCCUGUAGACCUUGCUAUAGUAUAUACUUGUUGUGUAUACAUACCAUGUAUAGGCUAGUCGAUCUAUACCAUGGCAUUGGUUCAAUAGCCAUGUUUUUGGUGGCUCCAGCCCUAGUCACAAUAGCUCGGGACAGCUGGAGUGUUGUUAAAAAUGCAAGAGUGGUGCUUGGGUUGUUUAGCAUCGUUGGAUAUGGGUUUGCCCCACAGGUUUCUAACGGUAGGCGACAGCUAGUGACAUCCCUGUCCGUCCUUCGUAAUCCCCCCACAUUCAGGUACGCCAUAAAUGUUCGUAAAUUAGCAGUAACUACGCCGGUACACCCAUAGGGUAUUGUCUCCCUGUAGUACCUUGGUGCAUAGAACUAAGUCCUAUACACUGUGUGUGUAUGUUUACGCUGAUAUGAUCUGUGCAGUAUAUAGGAUGUAUAUAUGAACCUAGAGCUAACUCCUAGUCCGUUCUCCAUAGCUUAGUUAUCUUGAGAUGAUUCUUUUGUAUGUGUAACACUACCCAUCUUAUCAUUAUCCUUGCUCCUGUCUUGUGUAAUAUAUCUACUCAUCCUAUGAUAUACUCAUAUGCAUAGUAAACUAUUUUGACCUACCCGCCUUCCUUUGGGAAAUAUGAUACCCUGGAAUAAUCCUAGGUGAAAUCCUACAACGGUAUAUCCAUGUGCUUGCGGAUUUAUUCAUGACCAUUAAAUAUACCAACAAUCAUCACUGCCGGUUAUGGGCGUCGUUAGUGAAGGGUUGGUAGUGAUGGGCAUCCCCUUCACCAAUGGACCUGGAACCGGCGGUGAUGGCUGUUAUAAAAAAGGGGACACCACCCAGCGUACCCCGCGACCCGGCUGGCCGCACCUCCCAUCAUCCCCGCCAGCCGCCCUUCCUUUUCGCCGGCCGAGCAUGGUCCUGGCCUUUGUCCCUACCGCCUCGCCUCCACCGCGACCCCCCGCCGAUGCCCUCAUGCCUGGCCCCCCUCAUCUUGCCGGCCACCCUCCCGAUGCGUCCACUAGGGCCCUCACACCACCAACCGCCCUUGCCUAGAGAGGGAGAGAGAGGAGGGAGGUGAGGCCACGCACCUCGUCCUACACCGCCGCUGUUUCUCCUCGGCCCACCGCGCCUCACCCCACACCACAGCCGCGCCUUGCCAUCUUACCGGCUGCGACGCCUCAUCUCACCGGCCACCGUUCCUCACCCCCACUUCGGUCGUCGCCGCUCCUUGCCCUACUGCUGCUCUUUGCCGCUGCGACUGAGCGGCGAGUGGAGGAGGAGGGACGGGGCAGGAGGAGGGCAAGAUCCGGGAGGAAGGGAGAGAUCUUGGGAGGUGGAGAUGGAAGGAUAUGGCGGAAGGGAGAGAUCCAGAGGGAGAGAGCAGGGGAGAGAGGGGGGCAUGUGGGGAGAGAGUGCGUGUGGGGUGGGGCCAGGCUGGUGGGAUGGAAGGGAGAGGGGCUAGACGGGCGCAGUGCAUUCAACUGGAUGAAGUAAAUAUUUCGGAUUCGAGACCCCAGCUUUAUUAUCACCGCUGGUCCGUAGUACCAUCCGGUGCCUGCUCGUAAUUUAAUUUGAAUCUGCGGUGAUGUUUUAUUAUCACCAUCGGAUCAUAUAAAAAAUCCGGCGGUUAAAAAUCCGCUGGUUUCGAUGAAAACCGACGGUGAUAGGAUGACUGUGAUAGUCUCUUCUCUAGUAGUGGUAUAUUAGUACCGGCUGCCAGACGGUGUUGCCGACCAGUACUUCUCCGGAGGCGAUUCAGUACUGCUGUUAGCAAAGCUUGUUCUCUAUGAAUCUGGGGAUGGAAAGCUAGUUCUCUAGUUGUGAUUUGUUACAUAUAUAUCUAUGAUAGUCUAGAAAUUGCAUGUCCUUCGUUGACAUAGUUGAAGCUGCGCGCUUCAAGAAUUUACUUCGUGCAGUCGUGCAGCAUAUUGGAUUAUCACCUAGACAGGAUACAUAGGUGAAGCAUUGGAUGUGAUUGUGGCCGAUAAUUAUGCAGGACGCUGUUGCAAUCAACCACCAAGAAGUCUGGAGUGAUGGGGUUGCCUCAUCAAUAAUUUUUAUAUAUGGCUGCAGUAUUAUUAAGCCCACGUCAAUAAUUUUUUCUCCGCACCAUAUAUCGAUGGGGUUGCCUCAUCAAUAAUUCGCGCAACCAGACAAGCUGCAGACUCAAUAUGGUACGAAGCUAGUUGCUCAGCCCACAUGCUCUGAUAUAACAUUGACAUCUGCUGAUCUACAGUAUAUAUGACCAGAAAUAUUGUGCCCACCUCAAUAACUUUCUGAAGUAUCGUGGGGAAGAACCUACUCGUACUAUGCCUCGGAACUAACUGACAUAUCGGCCUAGGCGGUCUAGGCCGAUUGGACUGGCUCUUCCUUGUGGCUUCUCACGUCCCCUUCGUCCCCAAGUAAUUUCAGGUGUUCUGCAGUUUCCUUUUCACUUGCAUCUGAGCCUCAUAUAUCAAUAGCUUCGGGAUAAGAAUGCCUCUUGAUAACCUUCCAAAUCCUCGCUUGAUUCACAUUGAUUCCGAAAUCAUCUUGCCAUAUCUUCAGAGACUUAGGUCCUAAGGCAUCAUGGAGGAUUGCUCGCCAGGAAUGAGCACCAUUGGGCUCCUGAGGACCCUAGGCCGAUCAGCCCGGGCUCUAUAGGUCGAUUGGCCCAGGCCCUCUCUGGGCCCGUUGGCCUUCAUCUUUCUCUGAGUCGACGCUUAUUCAGGGCUUUGUCCAAUUAUAGUCUAUUAUAGUCUAAUUUCCUACAAAAACAGAAUGUCCUCCAAAAUACAAUGCAUAUGUGAAAACAGCCCAAUUAUUAGGUAUGAUCAAUAGUUUAGGUAUAUAAAUUAAUAUUAUUAUUUAAGAUAAACAGGGGUAAAGGGUGUCAUUAAUAACAAGCGCCAACAAGCGUCCUGGCUGUUCAAUAAAUUUUUUCUAGUACCGAUUGGUAACACUAACCGGUGCUAAUAUGUACCCUUUAGUACCGGUUAUUUUACCAGGUACUAAAGGAGACAAGAGCAUCCUAACAUAAGGUUAAUAUCAUCCAUUUCAUGAGUAAAAUACUAUGAUUCAAAAAUAAUUCAAAUCCCUUAAGACAAUACCUAUCAAAUGAGUAAAUUGUAAAUAGAGUAAUCUUGAUCAAACAAUGUCCUAAUGAAACGGAACACUUCUGGUUCGUGUAGAGCACAAUAUAGAAAACAGUAGGGUAGCUGUACGAUUGACACGUGGUCCAUUAAUUCUUGAGCCAACACUAUGGACAUGUCUUCAUGAGUAGUGUACUAGUCAUGAUACAUGGUAUGCAGUAGGUGGAGGUAUUGACUUAGCCAUGCUAUGAGCACUUAGUUACAACAAACACUUUGCCAUUAUCGAGCAUCCCAAAUCACUACAAAAUCCAUAGUUUACCAUAUACUACAAAAUCUGAGUUAAAAUAAGAGCAUACACGGAAGAGUCCGAAUGCACCGGCACAUUGAAUUACUAGACAAAAAUUAUGGGACAAGGUUUUGGGUAACCGCAUGAAAAAUAUUGGAUUUUACUGAACACUUAGUUACAAUUACCAUGCCGUGAGCACUUAGUCACCACAAACAUUUAACCACUUUAGAUCAUCCUGAAUCCCUAUAAAUUCUAUACCUUACACCGUACCAUGAAAACGACAAGAACAGAGACAGAUGCGGUGAAAAUCUCCAGAGCAAGCCUGAAAUUAAAAUAAGAGGAGGCAGUCACUAUCGACAGGACACGGAGAUUGCUAGCCAUGACAGAGGAAGACAUGAUAUGAUAUUCACCUCUGAAAUGCAGCGUAGACUAAAUGAAGCACAAUUGCAAGUGAGUGUGGCAGAUAAUGGACCAUCGAGACCAUCGAUUGGUAUGAAGCAUGAUUAUCACCUAGACAUGAUAUCCUAGACAGGACGGUGAAUUGUAAAAAGAGUAAUCUUGAUCAAAGAAUGUCCUAAUGAAACGGAACAUUUUUGGUACGUGUAGAGCACAAUAUAGAAAACAGUAGAGUAGUUGUACGAUUGAACUGCAUCCAUCGACGUGGUGCAUGAAUUGUUGAGCCAACACUGGGGACAUGUCUUCAUGAACACCAUCUAGUGAGGACAGCAUGCAGAAAAAUAUCAAAACAUGUCAUAGGGAGGCAGACCAAUCUUGCGAGGUAGACGAAACGUGAUACACGAUCUGCCUACCUUGUCGUGGAUACCCCAAGUGAAGAUGUCAUAGAGGUGCAGACCAAGCUAGCAAGGAGGUAGAUGAAACGUGAUACACGGCCUGCCUACCUUGCCGUGGAUAUUAGUCCUGAUAUCAUUCUAUUGUUCAAGGAAUAACACUCAAUGCUGCUGCUGCUGCUGACCUGGCUCCAUAAAGUUAUAUUCCUCUAGCCGCUUGCACUAACUUUAUCUGAAGUAUUAUUCUCUCUGCACUGUAUAUAUGGUUACGGAGUUUGCUGGAGUAUCCGGGGGGAAGAACCUACAUAAUAUGUCUUGGAACUAACUGACAUUGAUUCACAGACAAGGUGCUGUUGUUGCCAUAUUUUAGAGCAUCCCAAAGGACUAUAAAUAAUAUAGUUUACCAUAUACCGUAUACCAUUAUAUGUUAGCUAAAAUAAGAGCAUAACAUGUCGCAGGAGUCCAAAAGCACCGGUUGAGGACCAGGUACAUUAAAUUACUAGAAAACGAAAGGGGACAAGGUUUAGGUAGCCACAUGAAAAACAUUUGAAUUUACUGUACCAUGAACACUUAGUUACCAUGCCGGGAGCACCUAGUUAACACUAACAUUUAGCCACUUUAGAUCAUCCCGAAACACCAAUGACCCUCAAUAGCGACAAAUUUUGGUUUAAAUGCCGUCACCAAUGAUCCUCAAUAGUGACGUGUUUAGGUUUAAAUCCCGUCACUAAUAACCCUUGGUAGUGACGUGUUUUGGUUUAAAUCUCAUCACCACUGAUCCUCACUAGUGACGUGUUUUUAGCAACACACGUUAUGAAUGACUUGUCAUUGGUGACAUGUUAAACGCGUUAUCUCAAUGGCAAAUCAAUGGUGACGUGUUUAAAAAAACAUGUCACCGUGAGAGUUAUUGGUGAAGGGUAAUUAAAAUGCAUCACUAAUUUUGUAGCAUUAGUUAUGAUAUAAUUUUGUAACGCAAAAAUCUACCAUAGUAACGAGGUUUAGAGCCGUCGCUAAUGUGGGUUUCUUACGUAGUGAUGCAAGCUCUACAAGGUGCUGUUGUUGCCAUUUUAAAGCAUCCCAAAUGACUACAAGUGUCUGGUUGAGGACUAAACAAAUUGAAUUACUAGAACCAAAUGUAUGUCCAGAACAAAGAAAGGGGUCAAGGUUUGGGUAACCGCAUUAAAAACAUUGGAUUUUACUGUACCAUGAACACUUAGUUACCAUUACCAUGCCUUGAGCACCUAGUUACCACAAACAUUAAUUUAGCCACUUUAGAGGUUCCUCAAUCACUAUAAAUAAUAUACCAACACCGUACCAUGAAAACAUCAAGAAGAGAGACAGGUACAUGGACCACCAUCAAGUGAGUAGUGACAGCAUGCACAAGAAUACCCGGAACCUUUUAGCUUGUCUGUAGUGAUCUGUUUUCUUCCCCGUAAAAUCCAUGAGUAUUGCCACAAAUAAUGAAAGAGGCUGACCAAGCUAGCAACGAGGUAGAGCAAACGUGAUACACGUAGGUUUCAUUCAAGACAUCCAUGUAAGAUUCAUUCAAAACAUUCAUGGAAAUUUCUUAUAAGUUUUCAUGUAAAUUUCAUUCAAGACAUUUGUUAGAGGUGUUGUAUAUAUACUUAACGUACAUAUAUCUAUGAUUUCAUGGUUGUUAGUGAUGGCAGAUGAGGAGCAUGCAAGGUAUUUAAUGGAGCAGAUUAUUGCUAGUGGCAGUGGCUCCAACCUGCCCGUAACGUACACCGACGAAGAGGGCAGCCAGGCGGACAUGUUCCUCAACAUGUCCGGUGAUGGCAAUGAAGAGCCCGAGCAAAACCUUGCCGUGACGGAAGGUUCCAGCGAGGUAUAUAUCAUUUCCAUUAUUUUACCCCAUCUAUAAUUUCAUAUUCAUUAUUACUAUGUACUAAUUAACGAAUCUUGAACCGUUAGCCCUCUAGAUCAACGAACCGAAAUAAGCCCCGAGGUCUUACAAAGAUAAUGCAGGGAAGGCUUCACAUCAUGGAAGUCACAGAAGAGGGCACCUCGGUUGCUCCCGAACAUGUGGCAAGAACGUACGUGAGUCAAACCGGGGCAAUCGUAAGGGACAACGUGCCCAUCAGCAUCAGGGAAUGAAAGAGCAAUAGAAAUGAUCUAUACGCACCCCCGGAUACACAAAAGGAUAUGCUGUGGGCAAAUAUCAAGAAACACUUCACAUUUCCCAAAGGAUAUGUUGAAAAAGAUGUGAAAGCGUGGAUGCUGAAGAAGAUGGCCACCCAAUUCCAAACAUUCAAGAAGAUGUUGGAUGCCAACUUCGUCAAGAAGGGUCGAACUCCGGGUUUCGAUGAGUGGCCAAAGUUAAGGGACCACUGGGAGUCAUUUGUCGAAUACAAGACGAGCGAAGGUGGUGCCAGUAAGGUUCGCAUCAAUGUUGCCAAUGCUAGCAAGGAGUACCAUCAUCAUCUAGGGCGACGUGGUUACAGCACUGCAAUUCCCAGAUGGCGCAAGAUGGAACAAGACUUGAUCGAUCGGGGUAUCGUACCAGCAACUCUUGACUGGCCUGAUCGAUUGAAAAAUUGGUAUUAUGCUCAUGAAGGCAAUCUGAGCCAAGAGGAUGCGACAUUGGUCUUCAAUAAAACAAUACAUCAGAAGGUCGGAAGGCUUAUUAGGAACAUUGAAGAUGCUAAAGCUGGGAGGUUCAAGGUGGAUAGAGAGAAUGAUGAACUCACAUUGGCCCUCGGGACUGUCAUCUCUAGCACUUCCAGCUCCAGGACUAUCAUCACCACCGGGACCGUCGCUUCUUGCUCGAUCACAGUCUCCAUCUCCAGCACAUCCUGGUGGUGCGAGCGACGACGACAACAACACCCCUCCCUGCCCACCAUUGCCGGGACUAAGACCCGCAUUGUGUAAGGAACCUGCAACACCACUGAAGAAGUCGCGACCACCACCUUCAAGGCAAGUCAGCAAAAGAAGAAAGCAGAGAAGCCUAAACCCACUGAGAAGCCAGCGACUGAUAUGACCGAUGCGGAAAGAUGGAAGGCACUCAAAGAAGAAUGCAUGGAGUGGUUCAGAAAAAGGACCAAAGAAAGAAAAGGAAAGGAGAUGGAGCCACCGCCAGUAGAUCCAAGAAAAUUAUAAUUUUUUAUUAAGAUGUCAAAAGGAGCUAAGAAGAUGAUGCCACAACUAUCAAACUACGACUGGGCGUUAGUCAAGGCUGAUGAGAGUUAAAAAAGGAAAGGAAAGUCAUCGUCAAGUGGUACUGUCCCCCAGCUCGAGGAUCUACCAGAAAAAGAUGCUAAAAAGAUAGUAGCAAUGCUCUUGGAUCAACAAACACAUAUAUCGUGAGAUUAAUGCAAGAAACAGGUAUGUCCCUUGCUGAAUGUCUAUGGCAAGUUGAUAUGCUAGCUCCAGAGCCAGUUGUACCGAAAUGGACCUUUGAGCUAGGCAAGCCUCUAGUAAGGCCUGAGUUGGUACAGAAGCUAUCCACAUAGAUGCAUGAAUUCCAUGAAUGGUACAUGAAGCAGUCUGCCAAUGAGAGGGAAAUGUUCGGUCUCGAGGAAAAACUAAUAAUUUUUUUCGGCGAAGGCGAGAAAGUCGUAUGAAUCAAAUUCAAGGAUAUAUAUGAAGUGAACCAUCAGGAUGCCCUUGAUGUCUCUCUCAUCAGCGCCUAGGUUUUGUAAGUGUAUGUUUAUCUAUACGUAAAUUUUGGCUCAUAUCAUUAUUUUUUUUGCGUGCGUCACCCUACUAACUUCGUCUUCCAUUUUAUGUAGGAUGCUAAUUCAGACGUGCCGCAUAGAAGCGUACUUCCAUGUUGGCUUCAUGGAUCCAUCCCUAGUUAACCAAAAGCCGAUACGGAAGUAGCUAGAGAAAACGUUGGAGGUGGUGUACAACUUUCUGGACAAACAAAACUACAGAAUAGGGGCAAUAUGUGAGGGUCUUGUAGGAUUCCUAGUGGACGAGGUGAUAAAUCCAUAAGGAGAAUAUCAUUACAACGGACGAGCAUUAGACACACUGAGCAACACCUAGACGGGAGGAUCCUAGGAAUGACCUCAACAGAUUUUGGUAUAAAUAGUAAUUGUGUAAAUACUAGUUUGAUUUGUAUAGGAAUAUACUAAGAAUUGUAUAUAUAGUAAUUGUACAAAUACUAGUUUGAUUUGUAUGAAUACUAGAUUGAUUUUAUUAUAAAAAAGUUUUAAGUCGUACGUGCAUGCGCCUACAAAGGCGCGGAUGCCCUUUAAUCCCAGUCGGAAAAACAAACCGGUACUAAAGGGGCUCGUGCCGCACCUGGCAUGACCACCCCUUUAGUCCCGGUUGAACGACCCAGGACUAAAGAUCUCCGCGUCUCAAAAAUUUUAUCUCGGAUGCUUUUUAGAGAGAUUUGAGGCCUAUCAACCAAGACUAAUAUCGAGUUUUCUACCAGUGGAACUAACUAACGUUCACAUGCUUUUGACAUUCACCUGCCAUUUGGUGUAGACAAGGGCACCCUAACAUAUGGUUAAUAUUAUUCUUGAAAGAAAAUCCUUUGAUUCAAAAUACUUCAAACCUAAUAAUACAAUACUUCUCACAUCUCAAAAAUAUGAGACGGCCCGACAGUAUUCUAACCGACGCAAUAAUAUUUUGAGGGCAGCACUACUACAGCGACCCUCAUUCGUGCCGGUGCUGGGACUCCUAUCACGACCCUGAUACAAAUGAGGGUACAUUAUUGGUGCCAGUGCUAGAACAGCCACCAAUAACUUGCUAAACGUGCUGUUACACUCACUACAGGGACCAAGAAGGUAGAUAAAUUACACGACAUAGCCUUGGUUGCCGUGGAAGCGCCAAGAAGGGAGACAAAUUACAGGGACCACACCAUCAAGUAGAUAGUGACAAUAUGCAGAUGAAUACCCGCGCCUGUUAGCAUGUGAACUGACCACACCACGAAACGUGAUACACGGCAAGCGUACCAAGGCCUUGCUGUGCAGACUAUGCGUGGACAACACAUGGUACCUGACCGCUUUUGGCCUCAGACACAUCGAAAAACUGCAUCGUUCCACGUUGUACAUCCACUGCUAGUUUAUCUAUAUUACAUAAUAUAUUAUUAGCUAUUUGAAUAGAAUGAACCAAUUAAAAAAUUGCGUUGUAUUUUAGUACCGGCUGCAGGAUGGUGUUACCAACCAGUACUAAUUAGCCUGUAGGAGUGAUGGUUAUUAGACUUGGUACUGUUGUUACAUCAUUAACCUAAUUGUGCGCGGUAUGAAUUUGGGGAUGCAAAGCUAGCUCUCUAUGAAUGUGAGGGACGGAAAGCUAGUUCUCUAGUAGUAAUUAGCUAUAUAUAUAUGACAGUCAAGAAAUCGAACACUAUGCUGCUACGAGUCACCAUCAUUUCCUUCAUUGAGAAUCUGACAUAGGUGAAGCUGCUUCAAGAAUUUCCUUCGCGCAGUCGUGGAGCUUAUUGGAUUAUCACCAGGACGGGACACGGAAAUGGCCAGCAAUGAAGCUGAUUGCCGUCUGAGGAAGACUACAUACUUUACCUAUGAAAUGAAGCGAUUGCAUAGACUAAUGAAGCAUUGCAUAUUUGCAUGUGAGUGUGGCAGAUAAUUCUGCAGGACAUGAUUGCAAUCCACGCACCAUCGAGAAGACUGGGGCGAUGGGGUUGCCUCAUCAAUAAUCACGUGGAUGCAUGCAUGCAUGUUCCCGCAACCGGACAAGGGUCUGAUAUAUGGCUAUAGUAUUACUGAGCCCACAUCAAUAAUUUCCGCUGGUGUAUCGUGUGGGAAGAAUCAACAUACUACACCUCGAGUUCUUGGAACUAACUGACGUUCACAUGCAACCUCCACAAGGUGCUGUAUAUAUGCUUUUGACAUUCACCUGCCAGUUCGUGUAGAGGACACCCUAACGUAUGGUUAAUAUUAUCCAUUUCAUGAGUAAAAUACUGUGAUUCAAAAAUACUUCAAAUCCCUUGAGACAAUACUUCUCACUUGACUAACCACUAACCAACCCCGAAACCCUAACUCAACUCCGAACCCUAACACCUAACGGCAUAACCACUCCGUUUUGCCAGCCAGAUGGAGGAACUGGCUGGGAGGGAGAGAGGGCAGCGGUCCAGGGUUGAAAACGACGGGCGAGCGCAGUAACAUGUGGAGGAGGAAGUGCCACGUAUUCGUUCACCGCUAUUGGGCAGCGACACACAACACGCCCAAUAAGAUCUUCGCACGGUAGAAGGACGUCAUGUAUUCAAUAAUGUUAUUGGUCCUCCAUGUGCAGAAGGGCGCGUAUGGAAUAACAAGUAGGGACACUGCAACUAAUCUACUCUGCUCGUCCAGUCCCUAGCCUAUAAAUAGAUGCCAUGCUAGCUCUUGUUGUGCUCACAGUUAAUCCGAUUACACACGAGCUCCUCUCCCUAGCCAAGACACAAUCAUAGUAUGAUGAAGAACAUGGCACUAGCCGGCAAUGGUAUGAAGAAGUUAAUCCUCGCUGUUCUCUUACUGUGUCUAGUUAUAGGGCAGAUACAAGUGGAAGCUAAGAGCUGCUGCCCAUCCACCACUGCAAGAAAUGUCUACAAUACCUGCCGUUUGACGGGUGCAUCCCGUCCAAUGUGUGCAAAACUGUCAGGCUGCCAAAUUAUCAGCGGGAACAAAUGCAAGCCCCCUAACGACCACCUCACCCUUGACCCGGACACUGGUAAAUAAUAAAUUUAUCUCACUUGAUUUCUUUGUGUUUUGAGUCGUUAAUGUAUUUUCCAUCUGAUGAAACGCAUUGGUUUUGCAUUGAAGAGGAAGUUAAUGUGCUUAACUUCUGCAAGUUGGGGUGUGCGUCGUCUGUGUGCAACAACAUCAACGCUGGUAAGCACCUUUUGCUCAGACAGAGAAAACAAUAAUCAUUAAUUAGCGGCAGCUAGAAUCCUAUAAUCUAAUAUAUAUAUAUAAUUUUAUCAGCUCUGGGAAAUGAAGAGGCGAACGAUGCCGUUGAGAGUUGCGACCAAGCCUGCUCUAGCUUCUGCAGCGUGCAUGUUGGCAGCGCCACCGUGGUUGCUUAAGCAAAUGCAUCCAACUAGAUCGUCCUUGUGCUGAAUAAUUGGAUAUCGUAUCCACUUAAAGCUGCCUUGUGUAGUACGUCUUUGUGUCUCUCUUUAUAUUCCAAUAAGGUCGGUGAUCUUGAUGCCACACACUCAGAUGUGUGUUCAUCUCCAGAUACUACUCCAUGCUACCUGCCCUUUGUGUUUUGUUCAAUAACUGGGUAUCAUAUCCGAGCCAGUAUGCCGUCUGUUUUGUGUUUGUUUCCUUCUAGUUCCAAAGGGGUCAUCAUGAUGUUACCUUCUUUCAAUAUGGUGCUUUGCAUGACUACUGUUGUAUGGUACCAUCUUGUGGCCAAUAAGUACAUCUUAUCCUAUGACCCUUUGCUAUGACCCUUUGCAAAUAAGUAGAAGAUUGUUAUAAGCGUCAAUACUCAGUAUAAUUGAUCGCUGCUGUGAGUUCCCUUUCAGCUUAUCGUAGGCAUACAUUAUUGCUAGCACGGUAAAGCCAACCAACACGAAUGAUGAAGUAAACGUAGCGGUACUUCUGUAUACCAACACCCUUACUUAAAUGUACCGGUGUCAUUCCCUACUGGCACAUAUAUUCUUAUAUGCUAGCCAGCUUGUAAAAUUAACCAAUUAAAAUAAUUAUUUCAAGAUAGAAAUAACUUAUUGGCUUCUCGAAGCAUGUGUAAUGUGAAUUCAUGAGACUUCAAGCAACCAGGAAAAGACACUAAUAAACAUCCAGAUCCCAUCCAGCACACAUCCAUGCACAUAUAUAACCCACAUAUUGCUCCAGCACACAUCCAUGCAUAUACGAUAUCCAAAUGUUAAUAUUGUAGACAUCCAUGCCUGAACUAGUCUGCCACACAAGUCAUUGAUGCUACAAAUUCUACAAUCGCAGCAUGUGCAUACAACUUACAGAAUGAGAUAAUGUACCAAAACUAAAACGUUAGCAUCAACUGUGCUUCAACCAAAGUUGUCAUCCCAACUCUCCUCUUCAUCCAUGCCAUUCUUGUCAUGGCCGUCGCUGUCAGUCUCCAUGGCAUUGCCAAUGCUGUGUAUGUCUUGGUAGGAACCUACAUGUGAUGAACAGUAACCUGCAAAAAGAGCUCAAAGGAUCUUGUUCUCAUAUUGUAGCUGUGAAAUUCUUGCAAGUAGUGUUGCAAUCUGUUCACUUUGAACCAAAAGAGCUCAAAGGAUCUUGUCCUAAAAGUUCCUCUUAAAGCUUAUGGGUUUGCUGGUGGAACCGGAAGGGCUUGAUGCAGCAGAUGCCAUUCUGCAAUAGAGAAAAAUUUAGAGGGCAGUACUAGUUAAAAUUUGAUGCAGCAGAUACACACGAAACUAGUAUUUAUACAAUUCUAUAUAUGUAAUAAUUUGUCCCCUAAAUUUUUAGGAUCCUCUUGAUGGUGGUGAGUCUUCCAGUAAGGCAAUUGAAUGUCCGUCAUAAUAAAAUUCUCCUUAGGAUUUAUCAUCUCGUCAACCAGAAAUCCUAGGAGUGCUUCUUGGAUUGCCAAAACCCUAUCCUGAUGCAGGAGUUCGUCCUUAAGCCUUAACAUUUGUAAUUUGGAAAUAUGUGAAAGUUAAACCAACAAUUAAAAUAUAAGGAGCCUUAUCAUCAUUUCCAUGUGUUGCGAAUUAAAAUAAUGAAUAAUACAGUGUUAGGUGAAAAUUCAAGAAACAAAAUUUUGCAUAGAGAUAAACGUCCAACAUUAUUACAAGUUAAGGUAGUUUUAAAUAUCCUUGUAAUCUUCCUUUGAUUUCCUCAACGAUUCGAAGACAAUAACCUUACUUCUAUCAAUGAUAAUUAUAAGGAGAACCCAGUGAAAACUGUGUAUUCAUAUUAGAACUACCUAAGGUUAAUUAGGUUAGGAAAGGAAAUCGAAAAUAGAUGGUACCCACACUUACUUAAAGUUGUCGGGCAAUAGUAUGUAAUGCUUGUAAUUCCGUUGCUCCAAGAAUUUGUAUAUGUGGUCCAAUGUAGACUUUGGUUGAUUCCGUAUCUGCUGUUGGUUAAAUAAGUGUUUCUAGCCAUUACUAGCCGUUAGAACUCGGACUAAAGGGGGCUCUUUAGUACGGGUUGAUAUUACUAAUCGGGAUUAAAGAGCCCCCAUUAGAGUUGGUUUUUGGACGCGGAACUAACAACUCCUUUAGUCCUAAGUACAAAAAUGACUGAAAUAUUUGUUGCUGGAUGGAAGGUCCUUUCUCUACCAUGAAUAUUGCCAGAAAGAAUUGAAAGAGACUGCUUGCUAAAAAUAUGUCAUAGAUGUAGACCAAGCUACCAAGGAUGUAGACCAAACAUGAUACACACCAUGCGUACCUUGCUGUGCAGACUAUGCAUUGACAAGAUAGAAAUAAUUAAUUCUAAUAUGCGUACCCUUACUUACACUAGUAGAGAAUUGGGCUUUAAUCCCGGUUGGUAAGGUGCAAAUAUCUCGAAAAUGCAUCCGGGAUAAACCAACCGGGACAAAAGGGGGAUCUUUUAUCCCGGGUCACUCAACACGCGAUUUUUCACAAAAAAAAAAUUCCCGAGCUCCCAGGCAGGCCCCCCACACGCGAUUUUUCACGCGAAAUAUGCGCGUGCGCGGUUCGUGGGAUUCGAACCCACAACCUCCAGCCUCGCGCGUAGUUUCCUUGCCAUCCCACCUACACACCACAUCUGACUAUGUAGGGGAUACUAUCCUUUUGUAUUAAAAGGCUCUUGACCCUUUUAUCUCGGUUGGUGUUACCAACCGGGAUAAAAGGGGGGGUCUUUUAUCCCGGUUGGUGUUUCAAACCGGGAUAAAAGGCCUCUCAGAGUCUUUUUUUCCCAUUAGCCUUUGCAACCGGGAUAAAAGGUUCCGGUUGGUGAGCCCCCCACCAGUGACCGAGUUUUAGUCCCGGUUGGUGAACCUUUUGUCCCGGGCCAACUUUAAACCGGGACAAAAGGGGGCGUAUGGAAAGCCAAUUCUCUACUAGUGUUAAAUAUACCGGUGUUAUUGCCCACUGGCACAUAUAUUCUUAUAUGCUAGCCGGCUUGAAAAUUAACCGAUUAAAAUAAUUAAUUCAAGACAGAAAUAACUUAUCGGCUUCUCGAAGCAUGUGUAAUAUGAAUUCAAGGACUCGAUGGAAGUUGAAUCGCUUCAUCUAGAUUGCUUUCAGGAUUUUGGGUAACUAAAUUUAACAUUUGCACACACAAAUGUUAAUGUACAAAUGUUAAAUCUAGUUACCCAAGCAGAAUAUGAAUAUACUCUAUAGUAUACAUAUACUAUAUAAAUCUAGUUAAUAUUUAGUCUAAAUGUUAAAUCUAGUUACCUAAAAUCCUGAAAGCAAAAUGUAUAAAUAUAUAUCUUUUAAGGCAGUAUAAACUUCGAUUCCUUUUGCUGCUCUGUUAAAUCUCAUCUUUCGUUGUGGCCCAACACUCUAGUAUGUAUGUUGCACCAAGCUUCCUUGAGCCGCUCUGCCCUCUGAUUUUGCUGCGUAGGGGAAUCUUUAUCAGGUUGGGCUGCUUCCAGUCAUACGAUGUGUGGCUUCAUAUCUUCUACAAGUUAGACAGGAAACCCGCGUUCUGGAAGAUUCUGCAACGUGCACGUUGGCGCUGCCACCGUGGUUGCUUAAGCAAAUGCAUCCAACUGAAUCGUCCUUGUGCUAAAUAAUUGGAUAUCGUAUCCACUGCUUAAAGCUGCCAUGUUUAGUACAUCUUUGUUUUUCUCUCUUUAUAUUCCAAUAAGGUCGGUGAUCUUGAUGCCACACACUCAGAUGUGUGUUCAUCUUCGGAUACUACUCCAUGCUACCUGCCCUUUGUGUUUUGUUCAAUAACUGGGUAUCAUAUCCUAGUCAGUGUGCCAUCUGUUUUGUGUUUGUUUCCUUCUAGUUCCAAAGGGGUUAUCAUGAUGUUACCUUCUUUUGAGGUGUCUAUGACUUUGUUAAUAUCAAUAUUAACCAAUUCAAUCUAUCUUAACUAUUUGUAAGGGGUAUGAUGUAUGCAUGAUUAUAACAAUGAUUGCGCAUACAAUCACUGCCAAAGAAACGGUCAAUACCAUAAAGACAUAUUACAGACAAUUCUCAUAAUCUAUAAUGAAUAUACAUAUUCACUACUGCAGAGACUGUCAUCUGUAUCAGCUCAUACGUGCCAGGGCAAAGGUCACCCUUGCAUUAAAAGUACAUUUGCACGGUAAAGAUAACCAACACGAAUAAUGAUGUAAACAUGCCGGUGCUUUUGUACACCAACACGCUUACUUAAAUGUACUGGUGUCAUUCCUCACCGGUAGCCGGCUUGAAAAUUAACCAAUUAGAACAAUUAUUUAUUGUAUCGGUGUGAAUUUUGACCUAUUGGAAUAUGAAUUUGACCAUUACUGCAUUCGUCAAGACUCAAGAGAGAAAUAACUGAUCGGCUUCUUAGAGCGUGUGCAAUGUGAAAUCAAGGACUGGAUGGAAGUUGAAGCGCUAGCUUCAUCUUCCGCUGCAUGUUAAUUGCUUGGAUAAGAAGUUGUAGCCGCGUAUAUAAAUAGUCCCGCUGAUGCUGUGCUCCGAAGUCUAUACUAUAUAUGCGAAAACUAGAUUGCUUUCAGGAUUUUGGGUAACUAAAUUUAACAUUUGUACAUAAAAAUGUUAGUUUACGAAUGUUAAAUCUAGUUACCCAAGCAGAACAAGAAGAUAGUAUAUACUAUAUACUAUGUAAAUCAAGUUAACAUUUAGUCUAAAUGUUAUAUCUACUUACCCAAAAUCUUGAAAGCAAAGAAAGAAUAAGUAUAUAUCUUUUGUUGGAAAAUUGGUCCACGGAGAGUGGCCUCGUUCGUUUCACCGGGAAGGAAUUCCAGUCAGGAUUACUUCCAAGUCCGGUUUAAGUGAUUCCACCCAUGUCACUCAAUUCGGCUAGGAUUCAUUCCAGGGGUGAGGAGGUAUGGUUUCAAUCCGGGCCAUCUAAUGUAGAAGGAUUCCAAUCCAGGCCGGUUUUCGUUCUAGGCUAGACUAAAACGAACAACACUUUCAAUGCAAGUCUGGUUUCAAACCGGGCCACUUCAAACCACCCGGAAUGGACCUCAUUCCGGGCCAAUCCGGUGAUAACAAACGAGGCCUUAAUGGAAUCCCAAAGCAAGAGUUCAGUGGCAUUCUAUAGUCCCAUGCUGCUAGUUUGAGUUGGUCGAAGCCAACUUAAAUAGGAGAGCUCUCUCACUUCUCUAAAAAUGUAACUGAAGGAGAGAAGGGGGCUUGGGUUACACAACGCACGCACGCACGCAUAUUUGCAUUCUUUUCGCGUAACCGACCGCGUGACUUGAAACUUGCGACGUAGCGUGCUGCUAAGUCAAGUUGAUAUAACCUUUUUGCCGUUUGCGUGUAAUCUUUUGACAACGGUCAUUGGAGGUGAUAAGCACGCAGUCAAUACCUUAAUCCUGAGUUAAUAGGGCGGUUACUACUGCCAAUUAGUGCAGCAAUUUUGUAGGGGAAACGGUUAGCAGAGGGCUACCGUCUUCUCUAUAAGAAGUUUUGGAGACGUCCAGGAACACACAUGUACAUGUGAGAGACCCACGGAUUCCUUCCCUUCUCCCUUUUCCAUCUGGUGAAGUGUGCUAUGGUACUGAGCUGCUGGAUCUCGCUGGCUCUUCUCCUUGGCGUGCACCGAGGAGGAGGAUGAGCGGUAUCUCUGAGCUAUUGCCGUCAGGAAGCCUGCACGAGGGACAACAAUAAAGUUUUUAGGUAGCGCCUGCCUAAUCUUCGAUCUGCACUGCAACGCGUAACCCUGCAGCAACUCUACACGAGGACGGAGCACUAAUCUGUAAGUCCUAGAUUGGUUUCUUACAGAGUUGUAGGUUACACAAGAUCUAGAAUGGUUACAUACCAAUUAUUAUGGGUUACAUGAUGUUUUGUACGGUUUCGUCUAUUUUGCAUAUGUUAUUUUUACAUACCGUUUACAUGCAUAUGUUAAUGGUUACACCUAGCUAUUUGAAUCUAGAAUUGGGUUACAUAGCAGUAGCAAUGAGUUACGUAAUAUGCCUCACGUUUAUAUCUGGUAGAAUUUAACACGUAUCUCCAACAUAUUUUGAGGCAGUAUAAAUUUCAAUUCCUUUUGCUGCUCUGUUAAAUCCCGUCUUUCGUUGUGGCCCAACACUCUAGUAUGCAUGUAGCACCAAGCUUGUUUGAGCCGCUUUGUGCUUUGAUUUUGCUGCGUAGGGGAAUCUGUAUCAGGUUGGAUUGUUUCUUUGUCUUGCGAUGUAUAGCUUCAUAUCUUCUAGAGGUUAGACAGCAAAACCCGCAUUCUCUUAAGGCAACAACCCGAAGAAUCUGCAGCGCCUCUGAUAUAUCACUGCUGCAGAAACGAUCUUUAGUACUGAUCUCCAACCCUCUUUAGUAUCGGUUGGGCAACCAGUACCACUAUGUCGGUACUAAAGGGAGUUCUCUAGAAUCGGAUCAAAUAACCGGUACUAAAAGGGCUCCUUUACUACCGGUUGGUAACAACAAUAGGUAGUGACUUUUUUGCACCCAAAAAAUUAAAGAAUAACAGCCGGGAGGCUCGCACACACACGCAUCAUGAGUAAUAUGCGCGUGCAUGGUUUGUGGGAUUUCAACCCACGACCAAGCUAUAAGAACGUAGUUACAACAAAUCAAACACUUAGACAUUUUAGAGCAUCCCAAAUAACUACAAAUUCUAUAGUUUACCAUAUACCAUAAAAUAUUAGUUAAAAUAAGAGCAUACACAUGUCGGAAGAGUCCCAAUGCACCGGUUGAGGAUCAGACCAGGCACUUUGAAUGCACAUGCCAUAAGAUAAUUCUGCAGGACAAUGAUUGCAAUAAUGGACCAUCGAGAAGAUAGGGGCGAUGGGGUUGCCUCAUCAAUUAUCACUUGGCGCAACAAGACCAGCAAAGUCUUUAUCGACGGGGGUGGAUCAAGGGGUGGGGCAGGCAGAGCUCCAGUCCUCCUACCGCCGCUCGAACAAUGGAGCCCCCUUAGCCCCUCCAUAAAUUUUUAGGUAGAAGAAAAAAGAAGAGAAGGGAAGCAAGGGGAAGAAGAGGGAGCCCCUGCUAAGUAGGUCGCCAUCGUGCUUCCCAACGCAUGAUCGCCGCACCGCAUCCAUUCCUCUACAAGCCUUCAGCGUCUCUCCCGCCGCUACCUCUGAACCAUGUGCAGCUAUAGACCCAACUAGUGUGUUGUCGCCCAUCUCAGUCCCAACAGAGCGGCGGCGGCUGCCAACACAAAUCUCCCUCCGCCUCUUCUUCACGGUCGAUGGCCGCCACAAGCAUAAACCUCGCCUUCGCAUCCAAGCAAAAGGGUCGUUGGGGUGCCUUCUUGCAUCACUUCUCAGCCUCCUUCACUUGCGGCCAGCGAAGAACUGCGCCACCACCUCGGGUGCGUGCCACCACUCCAGGGCCGCUACCCCAUGCCUGCGGCCGCCACCGGCCACCACGCGUGUGCAACCGCGUUGCACCGCUUCCCUGCUUUGUGCCACCACUACUGCUGUACCACCAGCUCCACCACCUUGGGAUGGUCGCCAGGGUGACUGAUUGGUGAUUAUUACUAAAAAUAAGUUCCUUAUUAUCUGCAACUACUAUUAACUCAGAGAUACAUGCGUCUUUUGCUUCUCCUGCUAAUAGGUCCUAAAAUAUCUAGGAUGCUUUAUAUUUCUGGACAGAGGAAGUAUUUGAAUAAAAUGAACCAAUUUAAAAAAAAUGUGUUGUACACUACUACAGAAAGACCUAUCAGUGUCAAACCCAAAAAUGUCGUCACCGCCAGUUUUAGGCAUCGUUGGUGAAAGGUUGGCGGUGAUGGGCAUCCCCUUCAACAACGGCACUGGAGCCGACGGUGAUUGACAUUAGAAAACAAAAAAGGGAACCCCACCUAGCCACCCCUGCAACCCAGCCGGCCGUGCCUCCCCUCAUGCCCACCACCUCGCCUCCCCCGUGACCCCCCGCCGGCGCCCUUGUGCCUAGCCCCCUCGCCUGCCCGGCCGGCCACCCUCGUCAUGAGAGAGAGAGGUGCAUGUUGUAUAAUUGCGUGAAUUUUUGAAUGUUUAAUUUUAUGUAAGUUCCAUGUAAUAAAUUGUACAAGUUUUAUUGUAUAUAUGAAUUCCAUAUAUAUGUAUUUAUAAUUUAAUGUAUGGUUUCAUGUGUAUAUUUCAAUCAUGUGUAUAAUUAGUAGAUUGCCGAUUUUCUUUUUCUACUAGACAAGGGUUGAUGUAUAAUUACGUGUAUAUGUUUAUUGUAUGGGCAAUUAGGACAAGUUUUGUAUAAAUUUCUUUUAUUUCAUGGUUGUUGUAUGGUUUCAUGUAUAUACAUUUAUUGUACUACUUGAGACAAUUUUAAUUUAAUAUUUCUAUGAUUACAUGUGUGUAUAACUAAUUGUAUUAUUAGUUAAGAUGGGAGCCAAAGAGGAUGAAAGGUAUAUAAUAGAGUAGAUUAUUGCUGGCGGUAGUGGCUCAAACGUUGCAAGAACCUACACCGAGGGUGAGGGUAGCUAGGUGGACAUGUACCUCAACAUGUCCAGUGAUGGCAAUGACGAUGAGGAGCACGAGCAUGACGUCUAUGAUAAUGCGGAACAAGACAUUGCAGAAUUGGAAGGUUCUAAUGAGGUGUGCUUCAUGUUGACGAUCUAGUUGGCUUUUUUUCUUUGGUCACACCUUAGUUACCAUAGAACUUCGUCUCGGGAGAAGAUUGGUGGUGCUAUGGUGAUUGGAAUUUUAUUGCCUCCAAAUUUGAUUUCCAUCGAAUCAUAUCCCUUGUAUUUAUCUUCUUUUUAUUUGUGAGAGCAUCUUCUUUAUGCUUGCAAAACAAUUCAAGUGCACAUACUACCCCUAGGGUGAUGAUUGGGAGUAGAAACAAUUGCCAACAAAACAACACCACAUCCUAAGAUUCUUAACUUGUGGCAUAAUUAAUCUAGUGAAAAGAAAGAUAAAAACCUAAUGGGUGUACGUGAGUGCAAUGUGUAUAUGCAUAUGAGUGGAAGGCAUAUAAGCAAAGACAAUAUUUACACAUAGUUCUAAACACCAUGUUUACAGCUAGGUUGCUGAAUUUCUCCAUAGCUAUAGAGAUUAAUUAACCAAGGUCAAAACACGAUGUCUAUCCCAAGAUCAGUAAUUCUUUAUAGCACAAGAAAAAUAAAGCGCAUUGCAAAGUUUAUAAACCAACCAAUACAGCAUGAAAACAAGAUGAAUAGCUAGCAAGGUUUAUUAAAUUGAAUGAUGACGGUCUGCAAGCAAGUUUGAACACCAUCUUUACACAAGAUUGCAAAUGGAAAAUGCCCAUAUGAAGCACUAACAUGGAUAUGAAAUCAUUCAUCAUAAAGCGUAAAGAACAACCAAGCCAACCAUAUGCAAAGCAUGAAUGGAAUGCAAUGAAGGUGCAAGAGAACAUUUUUGGAUGAACACAUUAUGAUGAUGGCAAAAUGCAAUGCGUGCAGAAAUAAUAAAUAUGAACAUGAAUAUGAUGAUCAGGGGCGGACCCACUAUUGUGGCCUGGGUAUUCCUGGGCAUACCCAAUAUUUUUGGGAAAAUGUUUAGUAGUUUUUAAUGGCAUAUACAUGUAUAAUAUAGUUUAGGUGUUAAAAUUGAUAUUCACAGCUAUUUUGGGCUCCAAUUCGCGUCCAAACCAACCUAGCCCACAGACCACACCCGGCCGGCCAGCCCAUCGGCCCAUCUAGUCACUGAUCCUUCCACCACCACACUCAGCCCAUCAGUCGGUCAGGUCCCGAGCUCCUGCCUGACCUAGUCUGCUACCGCCGCCGGGCGCCAAGCACAGCCGUACGCAUUGCACCGCCCCCGUCCACCCACGUCCGUUGGGGGGCCAAGCCGCGCCCCCCAGCCCCCGCGGUGAGAUCUCGACGCCCGCUGCCCCCAGACCCCAUUAGGCCUCCAUCGGCAAGUCCACCCACAGUCCCACGGGACGGGGCAGCCUUUUGGCUUUGGGCGCUCGGGGCGCGCCAAUGCCAGCGCAGCCCCAGCAGGCGACUGCCCCCCCCCCCCGCAUCAGGCCUCAGCCCCUCCCCAGCUCCCCCUCCCCCCUCCACCAGGACUGCUUGUUGGCCCCCACCGCGAGGUAAUCGAAAUGGACUGCUCAAUCACUCAAUCUGUUGACAUGAUGCACACGGNNNNNNNNNNNNNNNNNNNNNNNNNNNNNNNNNNNNNNNNNNNNNNNNNNNNNNNNNNNNNNNNNNNNNNNNNNNNNNNNNNNNNNNNNNNNNNNNNNNNNNNNNNNNNNNNNNNNNNNNNNNNNNNNNNNNNNNNNNNNNNNNNNNNNNNNNNNNNNNNNNNNNNNNNNNNNNNNNNNNNNNNNNNNNNNNNNNNNNNNNNNAUUUUUUUGCAAUGAGCAUACCCUACUCUGAAAUCCUGGGUCUGCCACUGAUGAUGAUGGUCUAAACAUAAAACAAGCCAAGAUUAAUUAGCCACAACUGAAAUUAAGCAAAGGUUAAUGUCAUUGACCCUAGCUCUAUCCUAGCUUUUACAAAAGUCCCAGCACAUAUAGUGGUUGGGCCCACUCUCUCUGCUUCCCUCUCUGCUGCAUGCAUGCACACGAGCAACGGGAGGCCCCACAAAGCCCAGAAGGGUUCGGCUGAACCCGGCCGAUCCAAUCUGAGCACCACUCCCUCCCAGCCUUCGCGCAGAUGCUCCUCCAACAUUCCUUGACCCCUCCCUCAGCGUCCCAUUGGGUUUAACAUUGCAGGAGAGGAGUCCCUUUUUUAAAAUCUCAACCACCUCCUCUCCUCAUUCACUCCACUCUCAUCUCCAUCAAACUCACCAAGAUCCACAUCGGAAAUCCCUGCUUACCACCAUGGCUGGCAAAGCCCUCGUCCCUUUCACCAACUUGGGCUUAACCAUUGAUCUCGAUGGGGAAAUCACUCCGGAAAUAGGGCAGUGACCCAGAGCAAAGGUGAUGCCAGAGUGUAGAUAGCAGUUAGCAUGCCAAAUUGUGAACCGCAAGCGCUCGGAUUAGUUGUUUUUUUUCCCUUAGAGAUUCCCCCAAGGUUUAUCAAUCCAUGGAACAAGGGAUUUGCACAUUUCACUAAGCAUUAAUCAAUGUAAUUGAAAGCUUUUUGAAUAAGAUAUGAUUAUGCUAACAAAGGAACUAAGCAAUCUAGAUUAAGAUGGAUAGAGAGUAAAGGUUGUGAACAAGAUAGAUUAAACGCUUAUAGAUGCAAUCACCAUGCAUGAAUGAAUUAGAUCUAGGUGUUAUUGUGAGUGGUUGUGAACCAUACCCCAACACUUUCCCACCCGCAACAUUGUCACUACAUGUGGGUACUCAACUAUCGAAACAUAAGAACACAUCAAGAUGAUCAUUCUAGGUAAGCAAAUAAGCAACCCAAAGUAGCGCUGGCCAGCCUUUUCAUGAAAGAGCAUCAUCAAGAUAAGAUUGAUAACAAAAUAGAUCUCAACCAAAGGUUCAGCGAUUACAAAUCAAGAUCUCCGUAUAACCCCGAUGACAAAUAGAGGUAUUACCCCCAUGAUCUUACACAUGUUGAUGAAUUUUAGGGUAAAGGACGCCCUGUAGAUCAACUGGACCAAAGAUGAUGAUGAACAGGGGCAGGGAAGGCCCAGGCUGAUCAGCCUGGGCACUUUUGAGCCGAUCAGCUUAGGGAGUUUCCUCCUCCCCUGGUGCUCCUCUUCGCGUGGCCUCCUCUGGAUCCAAUCUUCUCUUCAUUUCUCCUACUUGUGGUGGCAAUGGAUGGUGUUUGCAUGGUGAUUUCCUCUUCUCCCCAACUCUCCCUCCUUGAAGUCCAUGAGGGGGUAUUAAUAGUCUCCAAUAUGCGGCAGCUCUGGGUCAAUGUCGGUGAAAAAACCCUAGAGAUCAUCGUACACUUCACGCUGAGGAAACAAGAGGUCGACCGAGCCCUGGGAUAGACCAAGAGGAUCAGCCUAGAGGGUCCCAGGCCAAUCGGUCUAGGCCCUUCCUAGCCCUUCUAGUCCUCUCCUUCCUCGUGCUGGCUUUUCUCGAUGACCCUUGUCCAAAUAUCCAUUAAGCUCUAUAUACAUACCCCCUUGAUUAUGUCGUAUUUCCUGUCAAAAUACAAUGCUCCAAAAUACAACACAUAUGCAAUAAUAGGGUUAUUUCAUGUGCCAAUUGGUGCGUUAGUAUACGAAUAAGCAUGAAAAUACUGGUUAAAUGACACUAAAAGUGUGUCAAUAACGAGCACCAACAAUCCCCCCACGCUUAGAUCUUGCUCGUCCUCGAGCAAGUCUAGCGACUAAAAGAUCUUGAAUUAAACAUGAGCAAGCGAGUCAAGUACCUAGCCUUGAAACAAAAGAUUAGAGGAGCAGCAAAGAUAAUCAAAGUCUGGGUGUUCAAAGAUUUAUCUAAGCAAAGAUUCCCCUACAACUAUUAUUCAGAACCAAGUAACUUCAAGAAUCAACUACACUUAUUUUCUGGCUUUUUUCAGAGGGUUUUUCUUUCAUCACAAAACAAUCUCCCUGCAACAAAAUUGAAAAAAGAAUUAUUUUCCAGGUGCUUACAUGUCGUUUAAAUGAAUGUUCGCUAUCCUACUUAUUUGCAAGCUCUCAUCUCUCAAAAUUCAUUCAAUUAUAUGGUGGAGCUUGGGUAAGGUUAGCUAGAAUCAACACGUAUAUUAUUGAAUUAAGAAAACCCUCUAACGGUAGCCUACCUUUCGAGCCAUUGAUCAUAAGAAUAUCCACAUAAUGUGAAGUUUUCAAGGAUGAGAAUAGAAUGGUGGACAUGUGCAAAGGCAAAGAAAUAUAGUGACUCUGAGGCACAAGCAAUGUCCUCGUCGUUGGAUUGCAUAUGGUUGGAAUGAAAAUCUGUUCCUUAAACAAGUCCAUCUUUUCUUUGCACCACUCUUGAUCUUCAUGACAGUAAAAACUCCUCCUUUAUUUCUUUCUCUCUUUUCCUAUUAUUUCUUUUUAUUUGUCUCAAUACUUUUCUUUCUUUAUUUCUUUAUUUUAAUCUCUUCUCCGAACCUCUUCUGAACACCACACAAUAAAAAUCAGUUUUAGAUCCUUCUAGAGACCUUCCAGGAAUUUGCUACAUGAAAACCGAGGCAAGGAGACCCCAGGCCGAUUGGCCUGGCCACUCCUUUGCUCUCCUCUAGCUCUUCUUUCUUGUGAAGCUUCCUUAUCUUGUAUCUUUCCAAAAAUUUCAUAAAGCUCAACUAGAAACGGAACACAUCUUCAUAUAAUGAGUUGUGUUCAAGGAAUUGGUAAUAAAAUUGAGAAAUUUGUGGUUCGGGUUUACGAAUUCAGUACAAAAAUAUGAUUAUUCCAAUGAAGAACUCUCAUUACUGAAUAUUGACGAGGCAAGCAUUCAAAGAUGGUAAAAAGGAUAUGAUCAAUUCUCAGAAUUAAAGCAAACCAAGAGAGAGCGAUCCUAAUUCAAUUCAAAGUGUCAAAUGUUGCUUAUGGUGGUAUGAAUAAAUAUUUUUAGGCAUUGGGUAGGAUAAAUAAAAACUCUCAACCUGGUUAAAAGAUAUUGAUCAAUCUUGUUUUUGCAGAGGUUUUAAAUAAAAAAUAAAAUUUUAAAUCACCUCCAAUUCAAAGCCUUACUCAUAAAUCAUAAUCAAAACUGAAGCACUUGAUCAUCAUAAAGCAUGGGUAUUGCAUAAACAAAUCGAUUACUAAAACUCCACAACUACGAUUUAGAAUUCAAGACAAUGCUCAUAAUCUAAAGUUGCAAAGACAAAAUAAAAGACAAGCAAGCCAAGGUAGACACUAAAAACACUUGCACGAUCCUUGAAUUUUAUUCAUGCUUCUUCUCACAAAGACGCUAAAGUAGCCAUGUAGGCCUAAGUCUUCCCAAAAGCUUAAGAAGACUACUACUUUAUCUACUUUUGGUUCUAAUAAAAACACUAAUCUAGACUCUCACAUGAUUCGACUCGACCAAACUAGAUCCAAAAACUCAUACGAGCGACAAUCUCCCCCCCCCCCUCUCAAAUCUACGACCUCCUCGUGGUAACCAUAUGGAGUACAAGGAAAAGACGCUUGUAAACGCACUAAUGACGCUACCCGGACUACUUGCACACGGAAUGGUUGCUGUUUCCUUUGCUUUGUUCUUCGUCAUGUUGCUGCACAUCCCGAAGAGCUUCCUCACGUUCCUCUGCAAGAACUUGAACUUGAACUUGUCCUCCUGACGGCAAUCAUUAUCUUCUGCCUUUUGAUCCAGAGCUUGUAAGGCUUGCAUGAUGUCAUUGAACGCAUCGAAGAGGUAGUGGAUGUUCUUCCUGCAAGCUGUGGAACAUGUACGAUCAUGCUCCUACGAUUCUGGCCCGUCGUCUUCUAGAUCCUCCUCUUUGCCCUUGUCUUGACGGUGGCCAUCUUGCUCCUUGCUCGUCUUCUUGCCUUCAGCCCGAUCCCAGUACGUGUUGUCAUCUUCUUCAUCAUCACGGCCUGCAGCACCCUAUGAUCCAUUGUCUAUCUUGUAUGAAAGAAUCAGAAGCUUGUUCUCCUCAGGGUGUCUUGCGCGGUGCAGCGUUUGCAAGUGCAAGGCUUGCUAGUUCUUUUUACACAUUGUAAUGUUCAUUGCAUGCUCUAAUUGUUCUACAUUUGUAAUUUCUUGGUGAAGUUUGGUUACUGAUCCACUGUUUGAUUAACUCUUGGGCCCAAACACUGUACUACUUCUGAUUAGAUAUCUGUAUCUUAACUUUGACCAAAAAAAAUAUCCGGCAGUUUUUGCCAUUAAAGUUUCAUAAAUCAUCUUGCAAAAAUCGUACUAUACAACAAGGGACGGUUUAUUAUAAAAUAUACGUUCCCCUUAUCACAUGCCACUUCCACUCAAAAGGCAACGAAUCAGUUUUCAAUCCUGAGUGAGCAAUUUGCUUUUAUUACCGAUGCCUCCUAUUCCCUUGUGCACCAAGUUCAUUUUGGAUAGGACUGCAAAAAGCGACUAACCAGCUCGGAUUCUCCACCUGCAAAACCGCAUCUGCAGCAACCAACCCCACGCGGUGGAAAAAAAAACAAAACCCAGAAACCGGACGGGGGUGGAUGUGGGGCUCGGAGCCCAAGCAAAAAAAGGAUCGGGAGCGCCGGAGCAGGCCAUCACCGGAUGUUAGAGAUAGAAAAUGGUUGAAGUUGGAGUGGAAAUCAAACAAGCCUUGGAGCAAAGGAAAAAAAAGAUCAAACCACUCAAGCAUUCAUUUGAUUUAGAAAAGAGAACAUUUGUUAAGGUGGGGAGUUGAAAUCAUCUUUUAAUUAGUUCCACGUAUCUGGUAUCAUUACAGUUGGUUGACUUGUGUAAGUAUAUAAGUAGCUCUGCCGAAGCCUUUGCUCCUAUAAUUUAGUAACUAGUACAAAUGGAUCAUUAGGAAAAUCAAGUUGCAAUCAUUUCUCAGCCAACCAAACCUAUCUAAAUCAAAUUAUUGUCCAUGCCCGGCAUGCACAGGUGCCUGCCAUGCAUGCAUUGUUGCUCCAUUGUAAUAACCAUUAUUGUCCAUUGAUGUUCCAGCGCAUGUGUGCACUGUGCAGACACCAAGCAUCGAGAUUAUGUACUAGUAAGGUACCAAGAACACGUGAAGCACACGGGGGAGGCUGCUCCACUCGGCAUGCACAGGUGGGGCACGGCACCACUACUCGUCUCCUUCAGGCAGAGGACAAGUGAUGUACGCUGAUCAACCACUAGUAGAAAAACGACUUUCCAUCCACCCCCUUUUGUCCCGGUUUAAAGUUGGCCCGGGAUAAAAGGUUCACCAACCGGGACUAAAACUCGGUCACUGGUGGGGGGCUCACCAACCGGGACCUUUUAUCCCGGUUGCAAAGGCUAGUGGGAAAAAAAGACUCUGAGAGGCCUUUUAUCCCGGUUUGAAACACCAACCGGGAUAAAAGGUGGUCUUUUAUCCCGGUUGGUGUUUCCAACCGGGAUAAAAGGGUCCCCACGAGUUAAUACAAAAGGAUAGUAUCCCCUAUAUAGUCAGAUGUGGUGUGUAGGUGGGAUGGCAAGGAAUCUCCGCCCUCUCCACCUUCGGUACUCCAUGGGAAACCAUUCCUUUGGAACCAAGGAAGCUUGAACAGUAUAACGAAUAAAGUUUCAUAUAUCCAUUUGAUUUCACAUGAAAUAAAAUAUCCUGUCAGAACCAAUGGUUUCACUGAAGCUCCAGGCAGCGAGCGAAGGGGUGAGAGAGGAUAACGCUUACUGUGUGUUACCAUCACGUGCACCAUGGAUGACCAACGCGCAGCCGAGAUGAAACGGCGGACCUAAACAGGUCCUCGCUAUUUUUGCAGGUUCUCGACCAGGCCAGUUCUUUGGGCCAACCUAUAAUUCACGAGUUAAACAUACGGUGGCUGUAGAAAUGUUCUAUUCUUUUCAACAAUACCAGCUGGUUCCUCCGUUUUUAUUCCACCAAUACAAGCACCACCUUGUAACAUUUCCUAUGUUUUUUUUCCUUUCGUCUGUUUUCUCACUACAUGCGUUGCUCUUUCAUGCAUUUUUUUCCAUUCCUGUAUUCCAAAUAGGUCUACAUGAACACAAAAUGAACUAGGGGACAGAAAAAGCCAGUGAAGUUAGUUUUGAGCUUCACCAGCUACUUGCUACAUAAAGUGUGCUAUAGUCGCAGAAAAGCUAAGCUGGAUCAGACGUGGCCGAAACCAUGCCAAAGAGCUAGGUCCCUAGCUGAUGGCAACACAUCAGAUGACUAGCCUGCUUUUUUGUAAUAAUGAUAUUGAGCAAUACACUGCAUGGCUAACCUGCUUUACAAUAAUUGUCAUUUUAUAAUAUUGGUCAUCACGAGAGAUGCACAUUGCAUACACCGGUCCAUCCCUAUAAAUAGCCAAGCCUUUCAGCCAUCUUGGGCACCUCCUCUCAGGGCCUCGUCUCACCAUUAGACAUCUCGUUCCCAGUUAUAAUUUGCGAGGUUAGAUCAGGCUGCGCCAUGGCGUCCGCAGCUGCUGUCAAGAUCGCCGCCAUCUUCAUGCUGGUGCUGACCAUGGGCCACCUGAUGGCCGAAGCAUCACCGCAGCCUCGGCGUCUGCUUGCAGAAACGGAGCAUGCUGCGGUGUCCGGGAAUCCUGGCCUCCCAGGUGAUGCUAGCGUCAUGCAGGUCCUCGAACCCGCCCUAGUUUCUCCUCUUGCCUGCAAGCCAGAGUGCACAGUCCCUUGGCCUCCUUUUGUAUGUAUCUGCUAGAUCCUCUUCCUGGAUCAACGGAACUUCAGGGAAAUGGCUGUGACGUCGGCCAAAGAAUAAAUUGGCUGAACAUAAUAUACCCCGGGUAGUGUAGCUUGGGCUUUUGUUGAGCGUCUGGUACUAGUUGUAUUUUGUUUGCUCAUGUGGCUUUGUUUCUGGUUGCAUAUUGUCUUUCCUAUCGCUCUCUGUUGCAGCUAUGGUUUCUGCCAGGUGUGUGUCAAUGCGGUUUGUAAGCGGUGCUUGUUCCUACCUUCUGUUUUCAAUAAAAGAAGUCGGAGUCUCCCUCCGACUCUUGUUAUCAGUCAAGAAAAAUGAGUUGUAUCAUAUAUAUCUGCGUCUUUUUUCUAUGUAUCUCUGGGCUGCUUCAGCUGGAAGUUUAUCGUAAGUACGUGUAUCAGGAUGAUCGUUUGAAUUAAAACGAAAUGAUAAUGUGUGGCUGCUAGAAAUGGAAUGAGCAUCUUACUAUAUUACUAAUUGGAAGCCUCCACGUGAAGCCACCUAGAAAUUCUAGGUGGAUGUUUUAAAAAAAAGAAAACCAAUAGAAGCCUCCACCACCUAGGAAUCCUAGAUGGACGCUCUAAAAAGAGAGAAAUCCUAGAAAUUCUAAAAAAAGAAAAAAAAUAAUAACAAUAAGAUUUUUUUUGCAGUCAGUUACAUAUAUUUUUUUGAGACACCGUGCUGCUAGCUCUUGCCAUUGCGACCAAUAAAGCAAGCAGAUAGUAAGAUGACAUGCGUGUGGAUUGAUUAAAACAGAUUCUGUUAGUUGAUUCUAAAUCAUAUGUAUCCUAAAAGGAACUAGAUAUGUGCGUGCAUGGUCCCUAGCGAUGACAUGUAGACAUGUAUUGCAAUUUCUUUUUUAAAAAAUAUGUCUAUCUCUAAACCAACAAACAGAAAAAAUAUCAAUCUAAAUCUAAAUCUCUUCCGUUCUCACACGCCUAUUAAAGAGAACACAACCAAUCCCAUCCAUGUUCCAUAGAAUCCAUCUAAAAGCUUGCUCACUGCGGACGGCAAAUCAACGAAAGAUCAUCCUCUCCAAAUAGCUAGACGGCAUCACCAUCUUUAUCUCACCAACCUACAGAGCUACAACGAUGUUGUAGAGAUCAACUAGGUAACCUACCAAUCACCCUCCCCUUUUCUAUAUGCUCUAAAGAACACGUGGAGUAAUUAUAGGCCUAUAGGAGCCGACUAACCUAGAUUAAUAUGAAAAAUAUUCCAAUAUUAAAAGCAAGCAGAUAGUAAUACUUGCCUUUGAGCAUUUUUCAAGAACUGUUAUUCCUAUUGAAUGUUCAAGUGCUACGGCCAGGCAUCGAAUGUCUGCACGGAACCUUCCUAUUGAAUGGUUACUCUAGAGAUCAACGCACCGCGAGACAUUGUUUUUGGAAUUUGUUUGAUUCCCCUUCUACAAUUAGAUUAAUUUUUCAUGGUAUAUAUUACUACUAUUAAAUUAUUUGUUUAUUAUCUGGCCUGCUGCAUGUGUGGUAUAGAUGACUUGCUUCUCACCAUUGUUCUCAAACUGUUAUUCCUAUCCAAUCUUUCUAUCGAAAUAUAUUUUAAUUACUUGAUUGUUGUUUGUGUACCAUAACUUCUGUAUAGAAAAAUUCCAUGUUUGUAGAUAAUGUCUUUUGUAUAGAAAAAUAGCCCAAUUAGGUCCAUCACCAUCUUUUGCUUAUGUAGUUGAACAAGUUGCAAUGCUGAACAAAACUUUAAGUGAAAUUAGACUAGGAAAAGGAAUUGUGGAACAUUAAGGCAAGGGUAACCAGAUUGUGGAAUGCAACCUUACUCAGUAGUGGCGAACAAUUAAGUCUUGACAUGAUCCUUAUUGAUCAAGAGGUAUGAUAGAUGUUCACUUUGAUUGCAUUUUUGGUAUAAUUUUUGGCUUACAAAUUAUUAAUGAUGAUGCAAAAUUAGGGAACCAUGAUCCACGGUGUUAUCAAUAAGCCCUAUAUGGAAAAGUUCAAACCAUUGAUUGAAGAAGGCAAUGUGUACAUAAUUGCAAAUGUCAGAAUCACACCAGAACCACAGAAGUAUCGGCCAGUGGGAAAUGACAGGAUAGUCAACUUCUUACCCACAACUGCACUAAAAAAGGUCAAAGAUACUGAAGACAUUCCAAAGUAUAGUUUUAACUUCAUGAGCACGGAUAUGCUUUCAGCAAGAAUAAAUGUGGACAUGUACCUAUCAGGUAAAACAUUACUGGUUUUUCAAUUUUUACACUUCCACUCAUUCAAUGACCAUCUAAUAAUAAUUCAGAUUUAUGUUUCAUAGAUGUUAUAGGUAUCUCAGCUCACAUUGGACCGAUAGAAGAAACAAGGACAAACUUCGGAUUUACCAAAAUCCGUGAUAUUGUGCUCCUGAUCGAGUAAUUCUCAUUUCUUUUGUAGAGAACAACUAUGAAACUUUCAACAUUUACAUGUAUGGUAUAGAACUUCUGUUGAACUAAAAGAUAUCUUCUACAGUGCCCCUACAAAUAAUUAAUUUCGCAGUUAGGUAUUUAAAAUAUUAAUUAUUCACUUUUAAUUUUGUGGCCAUGAAGUUAAAGUUAGAUUUUGGGGAGACAAAGUUGAGGAAGUUGAUGAUAAGACAAAAUCCCAUGUCAUUGCAAUAACAUCUACAACUGUGAGGAAAUUUGGCAGUAAGUCUUCAUUCAAUAUGAGUUAUUCAAUAUUAGUCAUUCAACAAACUAACCUCCUAGGAAAAAUAAAUAAUUGAUAUUUUAUCAGGGUAUUCUCUAUCGUCAACCAAUGCAACAAAAGUUUAUGUAGAUCUACCUAUUCCUGAAACUAAGGAUGCGCAUGAUAGGUGAGAAAAAUUAGAUAUUGUUUUUCUAUUUUAAUCUAUGUAGCAUGCACUCUAACAUGAUACAUUCUUUCGUAUGAUGAAAAAAUGUUAGUUCAAUUGAUAAUAUUGUCAAAGAGAUUCAUUAUUGAGGACCAUCUAAAAGGGAUAUUGGAAGACCAAAUGCAGUACAAUAGAAGAACUUUAGAAGAAUUAAAUUUGAUAUUAUUUGAAACAUCAAAUCAGGUAUGGAUUAGUAUGUUCAUUGUACACUAUACUAUUUAGAGACAUACAUACAUAAUGAUGGUAUUGUUCCUACUUUCAGGAUGAGGUAUUUACGAUGAGGUAUUUACUAUUGAAGCAACAAUAAAUGAAAUUAAUGCAACAUAUGGUUGGUACUACAUCUCAUGUAGUAGAGGCGAUUGUAAGAAGCAACUUGAAAAGAAGUUUCAUCACUACUAUUGCAAUAAAUGUGACAAGAGAGCCGAACCUAAAGCAUGGUAAAUUAUUUAGUAGUUUACAAUCUUAUUAUAAUACUUCUAUUUCUAAUUGGAGAAUAAUAUUUGCAAAUUCAAAAUUAAGCUUCAAAUAAGUGAUCCAACAACAAGUGCAACUUCUGUACUUUUGACAAGGAAGCAGAAAUGAUAAUUAAUGAAUGAGCAGAUUCGAUGAUCACCUCCGUUGAUCAUGAUAAUAAGUAGCUACCAAAAUCAACUAUGCAAAAAGUAGGAACAGAUCUUAAUCGGCUAUGCAAAAAGUAGUAAAUUGAGCAAUAAGAUAUAAAAAAGCUGACAGUCCUAAUUCCAAGCUGUAUAACUGGUGAUAAAACUAGAACAACAUGCAAAACCUAGAAUUCUAGUGAUUAUCGAUAACUGGUGAAUAAAUCUAAACAAAACGACAGCAAUGCGCCCGAAGUUAAAGCUUAGAUAUUACUUGAUAAGCGGAACUUAUAGAAUCGGCCGGAGAUCAAGUUGAUGCAGCCCCGCCAACCCGUACGAACUCGUGAAAAGAAGAAAAGUAUUGGCGAAGUCGCCUGCUCGAAAGUAAAGUGCGAGGAAAUAGUAGUUUGUUGUAUUGAUUUGAUGAUGAUUACAGAUCUAUGAAAGCGGCUAUUUAUAGCCAGUUACAACCAAUCUCUUAACUGACUAGGACUCUAUCUCUAAUUUUAAACGAAAACGAAUAUUUACAAGCAUAAUUCGUAUCGGAGUUGGUCAUCGUGUUCCCAUGGGCCGAUCUCCUUUUUAUCUUCAUAGCUCACUUUAGGCCCAUAUUGGCCCAACUGCUCCAACCUCCCAAUCGGCCGAUUUCCACCAACUCCAUCCGCCGAAAUACUACAGCACCAAUCGGCCGAUCCUCAACUGUAGCACCAAUCGGCCGAUUCCCAAUCGUGACCUCCGUGUUUCGCCGCAUCAGCUGAUUCCUUCCCUUCUUGACGCCGAUUUCAUACGCGUCAAAAUCUGGCAUCAACACAUGCCCCAAGUUUCGGAGUAAAACAUAAUCUUUACUUCAAAAUUCCUUUCAACUUCCCUUCCGAAACAAACGCAUUGAAAAUACCCUUCCGUUUCGCGGUCUUCUGCCUGAUGAUUGCAAUCUUUUCGAAACGGGCGCCCACGACAACCACUCCUCCUGAAAAAAUCGAACCGCCGGCGUGGUAAAAAUUCCGCUUUUACCCUUUCUCAGACCGCCCUUAGAUAUCAGUACGUCCCGUACUUCUUCUUCACGAGCCCACGUCUUCCUUCUUUGGCGCACUGACCUCCUUCUUCUUCCGGCGUCUCUUUAGCCUCUAACCUCUCACUCCGGCGAGUUCUUCCAUCUACAUUCCACCCCACCUUCCCGAUGGCAACACCUUCAGGCACUCCACCAACAUCCGAGGUCCCGGAGACGGCUCCAUCAGCAGCGGCUCCAACAGCAAUGGUGGCAGCUCCAUUGGCAGGAGCAGGAGCUCCAUCGGGCGGGAGCGGGAGCUUCAUCAACGACCACAAUGAGCUUCAUACCAGAGGUUUCUACCAAAACUUUCCUUUCCGCUCCUCUAUGUCGAUGCAUUUACCUUAGAUCAUUUCUUACUGCCCCUUCCAUUCUUUACCUGUUUAGGCAGUUAGGCACCACAUUACUAUUCGCCUCACCGAAACUCCCGGCCUUAUCUAUUUUGGUCCCAUGGGAAACCCAGAUCCAACCGACCUAAUCAAUUUGGAAACCCAUAGGAUCCCUUUCAAGCAAUCAACCAUGGACCUAGAUCACUGGUCAGGUACCUUCAGAUCAUGGCCGAAUGAAACCCCCGGCUGGAGGGAAUGGUACAAAUGGAUAGCCGCCUCAAAAAGAGUUCAAUGGGACGAGCACAAAAUCGGCCAGUGCAUCGACUUAUCUUUGUCCCAAAUGGAAAGGAAUGAGCCUUUAGUAAUAGCAGCCUCCUACUUUUGGUCCGAUGCCCUAAACGCAUUCCCCUUAGGACACGGAGCUAUGACCGCUACCCUAGCCGAUGUGGUCAUGUUGACCGGCCUUGAUAUCUCCUCUCCCGAUACUCCUUUCCGUUACUUGGCCAAAACAUCCCAUCGGCUAGAGACGAAAGGAAUCGGCGGGUGGAAAGGAUUCAUCAAGUGCAACAGAAGGGCCGGGACAGCCCAGGAAAGAGAGCAUGCGGCCUUCUUGAUGAUGUGGCUAGAAAAACACCUUUUUUGCGGGAGGGCAGCCGGUCCAUCCACUAACACACAGGCUUUGGCCGAGGCACUAUCGAUAGGUGCCUCUGUUCCUCUUGGAAAGCACCUAUUGGGAUCGGUUUACCAUAUGCUGCAUCAGAUCGGCGUCAAGCUAUCCAAAGGAGAGCCGAUUGGAAACCCAGGUGGACCCUGGUGGUUCAUCAACUUGUGGCUUAAUCUAUAUAUGAGCAAGAUCUCCCAGCAGCGAGUGGAGUACAUGAUGUUCCCCAACAUCGAAUCGGCAGAGAAUCCCACUGUACGGUGCCGGUGUACUUCCUUCGGUGAAGCGGCAUCGGCCUUCUCCGGUUGCUCAUAUUCUGCUGCCAAGGUGGCCGAAUACUUCAGAUGCUUCUACAAUGGCUUCAGCAAAGACGCAACCAGCUUGUUCCCUUAUCAAAGGGAGGAACCACUCUUCGAGCUCCCCUCCUGUUUUGACUCGGCCACCAGCAAAUUUGAUGAGGACCUCACAGAUGAAUUGAUCAAGCCUCUCGGGGAAGGAUGCCCCCACUUAUGAGUUUUACCAUCCUUCCGUCACAGCACGGCAAUUCGGCUUGGGUCAACUGCCGAUUUAUGCAUACUUCACCGGCCGAGCAAAAUUUCGAGACGAGCUCACCAAAGGUCUCCACUACUACGAUCGGAUUCCAGACUCCAGCACCAUAGACUUGGCCAGUUGGAUAGUAGCCCCUUUCGCUGUUCAGCAGUUCAAGCUAUGGUGGGUGGAAUGGAAGCAACAUCUAUUCUGCGCCUCUACGGCGAUAUAUUGUAAUCUCCUGAAUCCCGACAACAUCGAUCCGAAUGCUGAGGUAUCGCUCUCUUUCUAGCUGAUUUUCAACUCCUUUUUUUUUAUACUGACUCUUAUUAUUAUUUCAGUCUGAGAGCCAUGCUCCCCCAAAAUGCAGUCGGAGUGGUCGGUCGAUAGAGGACCGUUAUCCAUACACAACAUUCCCCCUCAUCGGCUAUCACGCCCCCUCCGUUGAUGACAUAGCCGGCCGAGCGAAGCAAGCGCAGAAAAAGAUUAUCAAGAAGACAAGUCGCCGAGUACGCGCCCGCACAGAAUCGGCCGAUCCACCCGUGGUUGCAUCGGCAGAAAUUUCGGCUACGCCGACCCUUCCGGUCGCUGAAGAAGUUGACCUCCAAGCCGCUAAAGAGGCCGGAGCGGCUGCCGCGUCAUUGUUGGUGGAAGCUAUUCAGGUAAACUCACCAUCCGAUUUUCCUGACAGUCAUUUCAAUACUGACCUUUCCUUUAUUAGGCCGUGCAGAUUGCCUCAGCAGAUCCACAGCAAUCUGCAAUGCCCCAAGCAGAAGUUGAAAUACCAGUGCCCCUUCCCGUUGAGGUACAUGAUCUCUCAACUCACUUCUUUAAUAUUUGAAUGAUGAUCCUACCAACCUUGACGCAGGUCAUCGGCACGUUAACUAUGCUAUCCGACUAGCCAUCUGCCAAAGAAGUCCUUCAAGAGGCCGGCCCGAGCAGAACGCCGAUCGUUGUCGAAUCCUCUUCUUCCGAUGAGCCAAUGGCACCAGUCCCCGAGUCGAUAGUGGUUGUUCCACAAACGCAGAUGGAGGAGAUCCAUUUCAAAGAGGUGAGAAGUCAUUUGACUCGCAUUUACCGAUUCGUCACCACCAUCGGCUGACUCAUUUUCCUUUUAUUUAUCAUUCACAGGAAUAGGACACUCCCAAUAAUAGCCUCUUCUCAUUUGCGGUCGCGCUCUCUGAUGACGAGGAAGUUGCUUCUCGUCAAGUUACUUUGAGCUCCAUCCCCGAUGACGUCCGCGCUAAGCUUGAAAGUAUACGGUCCCUUCUUUAAGAGGACAUCAGCCGAUUGGUGGAGGACGCCUCGCCGAUUCGGCAGCUCUUUGGUGACGUCAACGGGCGAGUCCCAGAGGAAGCAGAAGAAGCCUUGGCACCGGCCGCUUAUAUCGAGUCGAUGCGGAUCCCGGUCUUCAGGGCUCUGCGUCACAUGGCCGAUCGCGCCAAGCUGGCCAAGACUCGUGAGGAAGAGGACUCGUACAAGCAACGGGCCCAGGAGGUACACCAUCGGAUUCACUUCCUCGAGAAUUCCCGACCUGGACUCGUCGGCACGAUAGAUCGCCUCAAGCACCGAAGGGCGGAACUUGCCAAGGAGAUGGAGUAGGUAACCAAAGAAAUAGCUAUUGAAGAGAAGAAGCUUCAGGAACUCCCUUCCGUUAUCGCCGAUUUAAAGCAGGAGAGGCAGCAUUUGGCCCAUGAGGCCCUUAGACUCCAUCGCCAUAUGUCAGAAGUUCCAGGGUCGGCAGAUGAUGACCAACGAGUCUUGGACUCGGCCGAUCAGAUCAGGCAUCGAGCGAUUGCGGCCAUUAACGCCCUUCUGGGUGACUUGUAAAAGUACUAGCCGUUUUGUACGAACAUUAAUGCCUUUUGACCGUCCUUCGCGGCGCUCUCCUAUUUAUUACCCUUUUUACUCUGACAGGACGCGUCUUACCAAACCUCCGCUCUUCCUCUUAUUAUAAAUACCGGCCCUGGUUUCGCUCUUGAGAAUACCUGCUCCACUCGAUUCCUUUUUCCCCCAUUACGUUUCCAUCGGAACGUUCGUAGUCAUGUCUUCUUCAUCUUCUUCUUUCUCCUCUCCUUGUAUCAAUCAGGUACGAGGUCCGUCUUCGCCCUUUUUUCAGUUUGAUCCCUUUAAAUCGUUCCAACUUUUAGGCGGCUAUGUGCUAACUUCUUCAGCCAAGGCACCUUAUCCCUGAACUCGAAUGAGCAAUCGAACUCGUGCACUCUAAUGAGUCGUUGUCGCAAGAGGACAAGGACUUGAUCAAGGAACACCGUGAAGAACUCAGAGAUCACGUUCCUGCCGACGUCUAACGGAUCUGGGACUUCAUCGACGGCAAUGAUUACGGGCGACCGCAAGUUGACAGGAGCCACCCACUUCCUCUUCCGGUUGUUCUUGAAAACGCCGCGGUAGGGACAUCGCGCCCGGUGAUGGAUCGGAGCCAUCCUCUUCCUUGCCAAGUUGAGGCGGAGGCCGCGAUGAGAGAUGUGGCAGAACGAAGCAUUCGCCUUCUAAUGGAAUUAGGUAGGAUUGAGAGGGAACUCAAGAAGAAGCGUAGUUGAGUAUUUUUUGUUCUAAGGGCGAAGUGUACUGUGUCGGUCGUGUAAUUCAUCGUUCGUACUGAAUCACAAAUCGGCCGAUUUGAACGAUUAUUUUUCUCCUUUAGGCGAUUUCUUCUCCCGUAUCGGCUGUGUGAUCGUUCAGGGAGCGAUCUUUCUGUCUUGUCAAUGCCUUGCGAUCGAUUCUUAUGUUCCGACCCAUAUACUGGGGUAAUACCUUUUCAAGUACCUCCCGUUUAAGGCCCUAGUAAAUUCUUCUCCUUCGAUCAUUUCCAGAAUGUAAGCGUUUCCCAGGGCACAUCGGCCGAUUCUAUACAGCCCUUCCCAAGUGGGAGACCAUUUACCGAAUUUAGGAUCUUUUGAUCCAAUCGGCAACACUAACUUCCAUACCAGAUCCCCUUGGGAGAACUGCUUGACUUUGACCUUCUUGUCAUACCAUCUGGCCACUUUCUUUUUGUUUUCCUUGAUACUGAUCAAGGCUCUCAAACGUUGGCCCGCCAAAUCGUCGAGUUCCCUAUUCAUGAGCGAGGAGUAAUCAUCGGCCGUCAGCUGAUCUUGAAGCGACGUGCGUCUCGACCCUGUUCUCAACUCCCAUGGCAAUACUGCCUCAUGACUGUACACCAAUUGAUAAGGAGACACCUUGGUAGCCCCAUGGCAGGCCAUCCUGUAUGCCCAUAGAGCUUCGGUUAGACAUAAGUGCCAUUUUUUGGGUUGUUCUUCGAUCUUCCUCUUGAUCAACUUGAUUAUCCCUUUAUUGGAAGAUUUGGCCUGGCCGUUAGCCUGAGGAUAGUACGGGGAGGAAUUUAGCAACUUGAUUCCCAUAUCGGCCGUGAACUCCUCGAACUCUCCCGACGUGAACAUCAUCCCUUGAUCAGUUGUGAUAGUCUGAGGGAUGCCGAAACGAUAGACAAUAUGAUCCCUCACGAAAUCGACCAUAGCGGCCGAUGUUACGGCCUUUAAUGGAACCGCCUCCACCCAUUUGGUGAAAUAAUCUGUGGCUACCAGAAUGAAUUUAUGUCCUUUACUUGACGGAGGAUAAAUUUGUCCAAUGAGGUCUAUUCCCCAACCUCUGAACGGCCACGGCUUGAUAAUUGGAUUCAUAGCCGACGCGGGCGCGCGUUGCACAUUCCCAUAUUUCUGACAAUCUUGGCAUCCUUUAUAAUACUUGAAACAGUCCUCAAGGAUUGUCGGCCAGUAAUAUCCAUUAUUCCUAAUCAUCCACUUCAUCUUAUGCGCCGAUUGGUGGGCUCCACACACCCCUUCGUGCAUUUCUCCCAUCAGGGUCUUUGCCUCCUCCGUCCCUAGGCAUUUGAGUAGAACACCAUCAAUCGUCCGGUAGAACAAAUCAUUUUCCAAUAACACAUAUUUUGUGGCCUGAAAUCGUAUUCGCCAAUCCACUUUCUUAGAUGGGUCUUUUAAAAAAUCGGCGAUCUCUUUUCGCCAGCCGUCGGCCGCGAGUUCCAGAAUCAUGGCGCCUUGAAUCGGCCGAUACCCGAACGCGUGCUGAGCCAGCCUGUUGGCUUCUUCAUUGUAAUCCCUGGGGAUAUGCUCAAUAACUGUGGAUUUGAAUUCUUUCAGAAGUUGGAGGCAAUCCUCAUAGUAAACCCUUAAUACAUCAUCUUUGCACUCGGAUCUUCCUGUCAAUUGGUCCACGAUGAGCAUGGAAUCUCCAAAAACCUCGACGGUGUCGGCCUUAAUUUCUCUUAACAAUUGUAACCCUUUCAGGACAGCCCGGUAUUCCGUCUGGUUAUUAGUGGCGGAUGCUUCUAUCGACAGAGAGAAAUCAUAGCAUGCCCCCUGAGGCGAUAUGAGAACGAUGCCGAUUCCCGAUCCGGCCCCACAUGACGAGCCAUCAAAAUAUAAGGUCCACGGUACUGGUUCCACGACAGCGAUUUUUGGUCCGCAGUGUUGGGCGACGAAAUCAGCCAUAACCUGACCUUUGAUGGCGUUUGCCGAUUCGUACCGUAGAUCAAACUCUGAUAAAGCCAAAAUCCACUUUCCGAUCCACCCUUUCAAAAUCGGCAAUGACAGCAUAUACUUUACUACGUCAUUCGUGCAUACAACCACGCAUUCUGCCGAUAACAAGUAGUGCCUGAGCUUGGUGCAUGAGAAGUAAAGACAUAAGCACAGCCGCUCUACCGGGGGAUAUCUUGAUUCGGCGUCCAAAAGUCUUCUACUAAUAUAAUAUAUUACCCGUUCCUUUCCUUCGAACUCCUAGACCAGUGCCGAUCCGAUAGCUCGCUCAUCGGCUGAUAAAUACAGCUUGAAUGGCUUACCAGUUUCUGGUGGGACCAAGUACUGCUUGAUGUCUUCUAGUGCCUUGCGUUGCUCUUCUCCCCAUACGAACUCUUGGUUGGGUUUCAAUUUCAACAACGGUGUGAAGGCCUGGAUACGUCCAGAUAGGUUGGAUAUGAACCAGGCAACGUUGGUAAAGAAAACUGCUAAGAGUAAACUAAACAACGCUACAGUAGCAACACUAGGAACGGAUCUUAAUCGGCUAUGCAAAAAGUAGUAAAUUGAGCAAUAAGAUAUAAAAAAGCCGACAGUCCUAAUUCCAAGCUGGAUAACUGGUGAUAAAACUAGAACAAUAGGCAAAACCUAGAAUUCAAGUGAUUAUCGAUAACUGGUGAAUAAAUCUAAACGAAACGACAGCAAUGCGCCCGAAGUUAAAGCUUAGAUAUUACUCGAUAUGCGGAACUUACAGAAUCAGCCGGAGAUCAAGUUGAUGCAGCCCCGCCAACCCGUACAAACUCGUGAAAAGAAGAAAAGUAUUGGCGAAGUCGCCUGCUCGAAAGUAAAGUGCGAGAAAAUAGUAGUUUGUUGUAUUGAUUUGAUGAUGAUUACAGAUCUAUGAAAGCGGCUAUUUAUAGCCUGUUACAACCAAUCUCUUAACCAACUAGGACUCUAUCUCUAAUUUUAAACAAAAAUGAAUAUUUACAAGCAUAAUUCCUAUCGGAGUUGGUCAUCGUGUUCCCAUGGGCCGAUCUCCUUUUUAUCUUCAUAGCUCACUUUAGGCCCAUAUUGGCCCAACUGCUCCAGCCUCCCAAUCGGCCGAUUUCCACCAACUCCAUCCGCCGAAAUACUGCAGCACCAAUCGGCCGAUUCCCAAUCGUGACCUCCGUGUUUCGCCGCAUCAGCUGAUUCCUUCCCUUCUUGACGCCGAUUUCAUAUGUGUCAAAAUCUGGCGUCAACACAUACAUAAUGAUGGUAUUGUUCCUACUUUCAGGAUGAGGUAUUUACUAUUGAAGCAACAAUAAAUGAAAUUAAUGCAACAUAUGGUUGGUACUACAUCUCAUGUAGUAGAGGCGAUUGUAAGAAGUAACUUGAAAAGAUGUUUGAUCACUACUAGUGCAAUAAAUGUGACAAGAGAGCCUAACCUAAAGCACGGUAAAUUAGUUAGUAGUUUACAAUCUUAUUAUAGUACUUCUAUUUCUAAUAGAGAAUAAUAUUUGCAGAUUCAAAAUUAAGCUUCAAAUAAGUGAUCCAACAACAGUGCACUUGUGUACUUUUGACAAGGAAGCAGAAAUUAUAAUUAAUGAAUGAGCAGAUUCGAUGAUCACCUCAGUUGAUGAUGAUAAUAAGUAGCUACCAAAAUCAAUUCAGAAAAUAUGUGAAGAAACAUUGAUUUUUCAAUUCAAAUUGACCGAGUACAACUUGACAAGUUUUAGACCUGAUUAUACUGUUUCAAAGAUAUUUUUUCCAAAAGAAAAGAGCAGUUCUAGAAUUGGUAUGGAAAGUGUAAAAAAGGUAACACUUUAUUCUUAAGUUUUUAUUGCACUUUUUUCUUUUGAAUCCUUAAUAUUUAAUAAUUUUACUAUAUCAAUGAAACAAAUUCUAACCUAAAUUUACAACUCAGACAAAUGCUACAUGAUAACUACCGAGAAUGAAGAGGUAGACACUGAUGACUCUUUUACCGAGAAAGUAACAUUCGUAGAAGAAGCCAUAAGGACUGGGGAAAGAUUGGCUAGAAAAGUAUACUCACUUCCAUCUAAGUAUUCAUUCUAUUUACAAUACAUGCAAAAAAAUAUUAUUCAUGCAAAAUUGCAGGUCUACUAAGCAUUAAAGGAAUAGCGGAUAGUGCAAUAUCUAAUUUGAGCAGCAUGCAUUACAAAGUGCUCUACUGCAAUUAAAUUAAAAAACAUGAUAUAUGUUGAAUUCUUAGACUUUAUUAUUAUACUUUUCUAUGUGACAAUUCACAAUUUUUUAGAAAAAAGAAGAUCCCAGAAGAAGUGACCAUGAAAAAAGGUCUAUGCCCAGCAAUAAGAAAAAAUGCAAGCAUAGAAACAAAUCCGUAGAAAACAUAGAAAAUAAGGUACUCCAUAAACAAAAGUAUUCUCUUAUAUUUUUAUUAAAUAUUUCUUUAACACUUGACAAGUUCUUUUUUAGGAUCAAUAUAUCAGCAAUUCAGAUGUCAUUGGAGAUGAAAACCUUAGUUCGUCCAAAAGGUCAAAAAAAACAUCUGAAGAAAGGUGUUUGGCUGAAAAGGAAAAGCAAGAAAGUUGUAAUGCAGACAAACACAUGCAGAAAAAUAUAAAAACAUGUAAUAGGGAGGCAGACCAAUCUUGCAAGGAGGUAUAGACGAAACGUGAUACACGACCUGCCUACCUUGUCGUGGAUACCCCAAGAAGAUGUCAUAGAGGUGCAGACCAAGCUAGCAAGGAGGUCGAAACGUGAUACACGGCCUGCCUACCUUGCCGUGGAUAUUAGCCCUAAGAUCAUUCUACUGUUCAAGGAAUAACACUCAAUGCUGCUGCUGCUGCUGACCUGGCUCCAUAAAGUUAUACUCCUCUAGGUGCUUGCACUAACUUUAUCUGAAGUAUUAUUCUCUCUGCACUGUAUAUAUGGUUAUGGAGUUUGCUGGAGUAUCCUGGGGGAAGAACCUACAUAAUACGUCUUGGAACUAACUGACAUUGAUUCACAGACAAACUCUACAAGGUGCUGUUGUUGCCAUUUUAGAGCAUCCAAAGGACUAUAAAUAACAUAGUUUACCAUAUACCAUAUACCAUAAUAUGUUAGCUAAAAUAAGAGCAUACACAUGUUGCAGGAGUCCAAAAGCACCGGUUGAGGACCAGGUACAUUGAAUUACUAGAAAAAGACAGGGGACAAGGUUUAGGUAACCACAUGAAACAUUUGAAUUUACUGUACCAUGAACACUUAGUUACCAUGCCGGGAGCACAUAGUUAACACUAACAUUUAGCCACUUUAGAUCACCCCGAAUCACCAAUGACCCUCAAUAGUGACAAAUUUUGGUUUAAAUGCCGUCACCAAUGAUCCUCAAUAGUGACGUAUUUAGGUUUAAAUCCCAUCACUAAUAACCCUCAAUAGUGACCUGUUUUGGUUUAAAUCUCAUUACCACUUAUCCUCAAUAGUGACGUGUUAAAACGCGUUAUCUCAAUGGCAAAUCAUUGGUGACGUGUUUUAAAAAAACAUGUCACUGUGAGAGUCAUUGGUGAAGGGUAAUUAAAAUGCGUCACUAAUGUUGUAGCAUUAGUUAUGAUAAUUUAGUAAUGCAAAAAUCUACCAUCAGUAAUGAGCUUUAGAGCCAUCGCUAAUGUGGGUUUCUUACAUAGUGAUGCAAGCUCUACAAGGUGCUGUUGCUGCCAUUUUAAAGCAUCCCAUGACUACAUGUUAAUAACAUACUUUACCAUAUACCAUAAAAAUAUUAGUUACAAUAAGCACAUACGCAUGUGGAAGAGUCCGAAUGCACCGGUUGAGGACUAAACACAUUUAAUUACUAGAACCAAAUGUAUGUCCAGAACAAAGACAGGGGUCAAGGUUUGGGUAACCGCAUUAAAAACAUUGGAUUUUACUGUAGAUGAACACUUAGUUACCAUUACCAUGCCUUGAGCACCUAGUUACAACAAACAUUAAUUUAGCCACUUUAGAGCUUCCAGAAUCGCUAUAAAUAAUAUACCUACGCCGUACCAUGAAAACAUCAAGAAGAGAGACGGAUACAUGGACCACCAUCAAGCGAGUACUGACAGCACGCACAAGAAUACCCAGAACCUGUUAGCUUGUCUGUAGUGAUCUGUUUUCUUCCCCAUAAAAUCCAUGAGUAUUGCCACAAAUAAUGAAAGAGGCUGACCAAGCUAGCAAGGAGGUAGAGCAAACGUGAUACACGGCCUGCCAAGAUUGCCCUGGAUACGCCAAUAAGAGCGACAGAUACAUGGAUCACACCAAUAUGGUGAAACGUAUAUUCAUCACACAAGCAAAGCUGGUCAGUUUAUCCAUGGUCAAAUUGUGGUCUUUGUUUUCACUUGAGAGCUAAUUGAGGCACUAUAAUAUGGGCAGGCCUAUCUUCAACAGACAUGACAGCUACAGGGAACUUGACAUAAUUUGCUGGACCGCCUGUGCACAAUUAUUUGUUUUAUUGUCCUUGCAUAGAAUGCUAAAAUACUCUUUACAAAAUGUUGGAUCUAAUAUUUGAAAUAUAGAGUAGUAAUCAUAUAUUGAUCAACAACUUGAAAUUAUCUGUACAUUCUCGGUGAAGCUGUUGAACUAAUUUUUGCAAAUUAUUAAUUAAUUCAUCUCAUUACGUAAAGAAAACAGUAAGUGGAUAAGAUAUUUCGUGGACCACAUCACUGCAAACAUGUCAUGGAGAGACAGACCAAGGAGGCAGGACGUGAUACACGACUUACCCUAGGUUGCCGUGGAACCGCCAAGAAGAGAUACGGAUACAUGGACCACACCAUCUUGGGAGUAGUGACAGCAUAUAUGCAGAAGAAUACCCCGUGCCUAUUUGCAUGCAUGUCUCAAGUGAUCUGUUUUCUUCAGAAAAUACAUGAGCAUUGCCAGAAAGAAUGGCAAGAGACAAACAUGUCAUAGAUACUUGCAUGUCUUGCCUUGGAUACGCCAAGAAGAGGGACACAUACAUGGAUAACACAAAUCUAGUGACACGUAUAUUCAUCACAAAGGCAAAUCUGAUAAUUUUAUCCAUGGAGCAGACCAAGCAGAAAUUGAUGACGGACAUGUGAUCUCUGUAUUCAGUUGAAAGCUAAUUGAGCUACACUAAUAUGAGCAGGACUAUAUUCAAGAGACUUGUUGAGAGCUACAGGGAACUUGUAAUAAUUUGCUGGGCGGCCUGCGCACAAUGAUUUGUUAUACAUAGUUGAAAUAUUUCAAGAAUUUAUCAACCUCGUACUCUGAAACCCUUGGUGCAAUGUACUCUGCUUUCCGAGGUAGACUGUUCACGUAAAAUGAGGUCAUGCGUAAGACGGAAUCGGAUUGGAUUCGCAGGGAAUCAGAUUUGGAUAGCACCUUUUAGCCGGUUUUUAGUCAAAUGCAAAUUCGGAUCCAGAUGUGGUUGAAUGCGAGUUCAAAAUUCUACUUGGAUAUCCAUUUAAUUUAGGUGAUAGCAAUUAGCACAAAAUGUUGGAAGAACAAAAUCAUAGUUAGACAUACAAUUACAUGUAUUGUUAAAGUAUAAUACAAUACACCAAGAUUAUUCCUUCAAAAUAUUUCUUAAAAAUAUUAUAAUAAAUGAAUAAAUAUAAUUGUGGCCACCAACAAAUAGUCGGUGGUCACUAAGUUGGAGCCAUUUCUGGUUACUAAUGCGGCCUGCUCCUCGACCAGCGACGACAGCUGAGCUUGUUCCUUCUGACACCAAAUCAUCAGAGUCUUCCCUCCACUACUAUAGAAUGCACCUUUAGCACCAAUUGGGAAAUCCCCUUCAGUAUCGGAUGCUGCAACCUGUGCUAUGAAAAUGGAGACUAAAAGCCUCGGUCUUGGGUACCGGUUGCAUGACGCAUUACUAAAGGAGGCAAAAGAGAAAUGUAACAAAAAAAUAUUUUGAAUUCCAAGAAUGUUUCACUAUUCAAGAUGACUAACUGAGAGUCAUCAGACAAGAUACUAGGAAUGUGGGUGCUUGAAUGCAUUUGUACAGAGGUCAUACUAUUUACAAACUCUUCUGUGUUUCCAUAUGACUACCUACUUCAAUGUCACGCGAGCCAUUCAGGACACAUGGCACACAAGCUUGCAUGUCGAAUCCAUGAUUAAUUAUUUCCACUUGUGAUCUCUUACCAGUAUUUGUCCAGACUAGAAACGUGCAACACAUUUUUUGGAUAUGGACACGCAUAUAUUUGGACUAGUAUACAGGUCACCUUUGGAUGAGUACAAGGAUGACCGGGAGGGACUAAUGGAUACAAGGAAGGGACCAUCAGGAUUAAUAGUGACAUAUGCCACAUGACAAUCUUCAUUGUCAUGCAAUCCCUAUCAACAAUCAUGGAAUCCCUAGUGUACUAAUCCCUGGAGGGUUGUGUGGAAAUUUAUUUUACCUUGCGGUGAAAAUCUCAUGAGCAGUCAUUAGUUAAGCUGACUAGCUGAGAUAUAAUAGACAAGCUAGUAAGAUUGGGAGCAUCAAUGCAUCCAUACAGGGUCACAAUAUCCUUUCCAUUCACUUUUAUAUAUAACCCUACGAAUACAAGUCCAACGAAACGCGGGCCUUUCGAUCAAGAUAAAUUAAAUGGCCCACUUGUAUUUCUAAUCCAGGAUUAAUUAUGCCCUCUGUUCAUCUCUUGCAAGCACGUGCAACACAUUUUCACGAUAUGGACAUGCAUGGAGGUUAUUAUACUGUUUGGACAAACUCUGAUGUGCCAUGACCUGGGCCUGUUUGGUUUGAGUUGCUUAUUAUAAGCAACUUAAAGUUGCUUAAAGUUGCUUAUUUGAAGUUGCUUAUUUUUAGUCUAAACUGUUUGGAUACCCUUGCUUAUGAGCAUUGAAUGAGAUGGACAUUGUCAUAUUUGCCCCUUGUGUAGCUACCCCUCCAAUUUGCCUCCCCACCCUUCUUCUUCCUGCACACGCCCGAUCCCGGGGGCCGACGGCGGGCAGGGAGCAGCAGCAGCUGGCUGGGGCGGCGGUGGGGCGGGAGCGGCGGCGCACACCAGCAUGCGCUCGCACGCCAGGUGCUGGAGCGCGGCGAGGCAGUCGUCGUAGACCGCCGGGAGCGGGUGCUCGGGCGUGAGGCGGUACUCGACGGAGACAUCGAGCGUUGGGCGCGUGGCGGCGAGCGCGUUGAGGAAGCGAUGGUAGUGCGGCGACGUCGCGGACUCCGCCACGAAGCCGCCGCCGUGGACGUACACCACCACGGGCAGCUUCGUCUUGCCGUCGGCGGCCACGGCCGCGGCCUAGGGUGGCAGGUAGAGGCGGAUGGAGCAGGAGCCGAGGUCGACGUCCCCGGAGUCGACGCCCGUGGCGGCGUCCAGGCCGGGCCCGACCGGCGGCGGCACGAGCGACGCAGCCGCUCUUGUAAAUCCAGCAGGUCUGCGCGGAGGCGGGCGGCGGGCGGGAGCGGCGGCGGGUGGUGCGGAGGCCGGCGGCGGCGGGUGGCGCGGAGGAAGGGGAGCUGGUGAGUGGUGACAGGGGAGGGGGGAGAGAGAGAGGGGGGUAGGGUGCAUUGAAUGAGGGCAGGAGGUGUAAAGUGCACCUUUUAGUCCCCAUAAGCAACCAUAAGCAGCCCAAGAGUUGCUUAUUUACUUAUAAUAAGCAACCCCAUAAGCAAGAGUGAUUGGUUUCAUAAGCAACUUAUUUGCUUAUUUUAAGUUGCUUAUGCGUAAGCAUGUGAAACCAAACAGGCCCUUAACCUAUGGUUGUGGCACACAACCAUACAGUAGAUAGUAUUUAAUAAUGCUAUUCGUUUGGUAUGUGCAGAAGGGCACGCAUGAAAUGUCUGGCCCACGGUAAACAAGUACGGACGCUGCAAAUAAUCUACUCUGCUCGUCCAGUCCCUAGCCUAUAAAUAGAUGCCAUGCUAGCUCUUGUUGUGCUCACAAUUAAUCCGAUUACACACGAGCUUCUCUCCCUGGCCAAGACACAAUCAUAGUAUGAUGAAGAACAUGGCACUAGCCGGCAAUGGUAUGAAGAAGUUAAUCCUCGCUGUUCUCUUACUGUGUCUAGUUAUAGGGCAGAUACAAGUGGAAGCUAAGAGCUGCUGCCCAUCCACCACUGCAAGAAAUAUCUACAAUACCUGCCGUAUCACGGGUACAUCCCGUCCAACGUGUGCAAAACUGUCAGGCUGCAAAAUUAUCAGCGGGGACAAAUGCAAGCCCCCUAACGACCACCUCACCCUUGACCCGGACACUGGUAAAUAAUAAAUUUAUCUCACUUGAUUUCUUUGUGUUUUGAGUCGUUAAUGUAUUUUCCAUCUGAUGAAACGUAUUGGUUUUGCAUUGAAGAGGAAGUUAAUGUGCUUAACUUCUGCAAGUUGGGGUGUGCGUCGUCUGUGUGCAACAACAUCAACGCUGGUAAGCACCUUUUGCUCAGACAGAGAAAACAAUAAUCAUUAAUUAGCGGCAGCUAGAAUCCUAUAAUCUAAUAUAUAUAUAUAUAAUUUUAUCAGCUCUGGGAAAUGAAGAGGCGAACGAUGCCGUUGAGAGUUGCGACCAAGCCUGCUCUAGCUUCUGCAACGUGCACGUUGGCGCUGCCACCGUGGUUGCUUAAGCAAAUGCAUCCAACUGGAUCGUCCUUGUGCUGAAUAAUUGGAUAUCGUAUCCACUUAAAGCUGCCUUGUGUAGUACGUCUUUGUUUGUGUCUCUCUUUAUAUUCCAAUAAGGUCGGUGAUCUUGAUGCCACACACUCAGACGUGUGUUCAUCUCCAGAUACUACUCCAUGCUACCUACCCUUUGUGUUUUGUUCAAUAACUGGGUAUCAUAUUCCGGCCAGUGUGCCAUCUGUUUUGUGUUUAUUUCCUUCUAGUUCCAAAGGGGUCAUCAUGAUGUUACCUUCUUUCGAUAUGGUGCUUUGCAUGACUACUGUUGUAUGGUACCAUCUUGUUGGCCAAUAAAUACAUCUUAUCCUAUGACCCUUUGCUAUGACCCUUUGCAAAUAAGUACAAGAUUGUUAAAUACUCGGUAUAAAUUGACUACUGUUGUGAGUUCCCUUUCAGCUUAUUGUAGGCAUACAUUAUUGCUAGCACGGUGAAGACAACCAACACGAAUGAUCAAGUAAACGUACCGGUACUUUUGUAUACCAACACCCUUGCUUAAAUGUACCGGUGUUACUCCCCAUUGGCACAUAUAUUCUUUUAUGCUAGCCGGCUUGAAAAUUAACCGAUUAAAAUAAUUAUUUCAAGAUAGAAAUAACUUAUCGGCUUCUCGAAGCAUGUGUAAUGUGAAUUCAAGGACUCGAUGGAAGUUGAAUCGCUUCAUCUAGAUUGCUUUCAGGAUUUUGGGUAACUAAAUUUAACAUUUGCACAUACAAAUGUUAAUGUACAAAUGUUAAAUCUAGUUACCCAAGCAGAAUAUGAAGAUACUCUAUAGUAUAUAUAUACUAUAUAAAUCUAGUUAACAUUUAGUCUAAAUGUUAAAUCUAGUUACCUAAAAUCCUGAAAGCAAAAUGUAUAAAUAUAUAUCUUUUAAGGAAUCCCAAAGCAAGAGUUCAGUGGCAUUCUAUAGUCCCAUGCUGCUAGUUUGAGUUGGUCGAAGCCAACUUAAAUAGGAGAGCUCUCUCACUUCUCUAAAUACGUAACUGAAGGAGAGAAGGGGGCUUGGGUUAUACAAUGCACGCACGCACGCAUAUUUGCGUUCUUUUCGCGUAACCAACCAUGUGACUUGAAACUUGCGACGUAGCGUGCUGCCAAGUCAAGUUGAUAUAACCUUUUUGCCGUUUGCGUGUAAUCUUUUGACAACGGUCAUUGGAGGUGAUAAGCACGCAGUCAAUACCUUAAUCCUGAGUUAAUAGGGUGGUUACUACUGCCAAUUAGUGGGGCAAUUUUGUAGGGGAAACGGUUAGCAGAGGGCUACCGUCUUCUCUAUAAGAAGUUCUGGAGACGUCCAGAAACACACAUGUACAUGUGAGAGACCCACGAAUUCCUUCCCUUCUCCCUUUUCCAUCUGAUGAAGAGUGCUGUGGUACUGAGCUGCUGGAUCUCACCGGCUCUUCUCCUUGGCGUGCACUGAGGAGGGUGAGCGGUAUCUCCGAGCUAUUGCCGUCAGGAAGCCUGCACGACGGACAACAAUAAAGUUUUUGGGUAGCGCAACUGUGCAACCGCUCGAUUCGAUCGACUAUGUUAUGCGCUGCCUCAUCUUCGAUCUACACUGCAACGCGUAACCCUGCAGCAAGUCUACACGAGGACGGAGCACUAAUCUGUAAGUCCUAGAUUGGUUUCUUACAAAGUUGUAGGUUACACAAGAUCUAGAAUGUUACAUACCUAUUAUUAUGGGUUACAUGAUGUUUUGUACGGUUACGUCUAUUUUGCAUAUGCUAUUUUUACAUACCGUUUACAUGCAUAUGUUAAUGGUUACACCUAGCUAUUUGAAUCUAGAAUUGGGUUACAUAGUAGUAGCAAUGAGUUACGUAAUAUGCCUCAUGUUUAUAUCUGGUAGAAUUUAACACGUAUCUCCAACAUAUUUUGAGGCAGUAUAAAUUUCAAUUCCUUUUGCUGCUCUGUUAAAUACCAUCUUUCGUUGUGGCCCAACACUCUAGUAUGCAUGUAGCACCAAGCUUGUUUGAGCUGCUUUGUGCUCUGAUUUUGCUAUCUGUAUCAGGUUGGACUGUUUCUUUGUCUUGCGAUGUAUAGCUUCAUAUCUUCUAGAGGUUAGACAGCAAAACCCGCGUUCUCUUAAGGCAACAACUCGAAGAAUCUGCAGUGCCCCUGAUAUAUCACUGCUGCAGAAACGAUCUUUAGUACUGAUCUCCAACCCCCUUUAGUAUUGGUUUGGCAAUCAGUACCACUAUGUCGGUACUAAAGGGAGUUCUCUAGAAUCGGAUCAAAUAACCGGUACUAAAAGGGCUCCUUUACUACCAGUUGGUAACACCAAUAGGUAGUAAAUAUUUUGCACCCAAAAAAUUAAAGAAAAACAGCUGGGAGGCUCGCGCACACACGCAUCAUGAGUAAUAUGUGCGUGCAUGGUUUGUAGGAUUCCAACCCACGACCAAGCUAUAAGCACGUAGUUACAAAAAAUUAAACACUUAGACAUUUUAGAGCAUCCCAAAUAACUACAAAUUCUAUAGUUUACCAUAUACCAUAAAAUAUUAGUUAAAAUAAGAGCAUACACAUGUCGGAAGAGUCCCAACGCACCGGUUGAGGAUCAGACCAGGCACUUUGAAUGCACAUGCCAUAAGAUAAUUCUGCAGGACGAUGAUUGCAAUAAUGGACCAUCAAGAAGAUAGGGGCGAUGGGGUUGCCUCAUCAAUUAUCACUUGGCGCAACAAGACCAGCAAAGUCUUUAUCGACAGGGGUGGAUCAACGGGUGGGGCGGGCAGAGCUUCAGUCCUCCUACCGCCGCUCGAACAAUGGAGCCCCCCUUAGCCCCUCCAUAAAUUUUUAGGUAGAAGAAAAAAGAAGAGAAAGGAAGGAAGGGGAAGAAGAGGGAGCCCCUCCUAAGUAGGUCGCCAUCAUGCUUCCCAACGCAUGAUCGCCGCACCGCAUCCAUUCCUCUACAAGCCUCCAGCGUCUCUCCCGCCGCUACCUCUGAACCAUGUGCAGCUGCAGACCCAACUAGUGUCUUGUCCCCCAUCUCAGUCCCAACAGAGCAGCGGCGGUUGCCAGCACAAAUCUCCCUCCGCCUCUUCUUCAUGGUCGAUGGCCGCCACAAGCAUAAACCUCACCUUCGCAUCCACGCAAAAGGGUCGCUGGGGUGCCUUCUUGCAUCGCUUCUCAGCCUCCUUCACUUGCGGCCAGCCAAGAACCGUGCCACCACCUCGGGUGCGCGCCACCACUCCAGGGCUGCUACCCCAUGCCUGCGGCUGCCGCCGGCCACCACACAUGUCCCGCCGGCCACCACACGUGUCCAACCGCGUCGCACCGCUUCCCUGCUCUGUGCCACCACUUGUACCACCAGCUCCACCACCUUGGGCUGGUCGCCAGGGUGACUGAUUGGUGGAUUGUUACUAAAAAUAAGUUCCUUAUUAUCUGCAACUACUAUUAACUCACGGAUACAUGCAUAUUUUGCUUCUCCUGCUAAUAUGUCCUAAAAUAUCUAGGAUGCCUUAUAUUUCUGGAAAGAGGAAGUAUUUGAAUAAAAUGAACCAAUUUAAAAAAAUGUGUUAUACACUACUACAGAAAGACCUAUCAGUGUCAAACCCAAAAAUGUCGUCACCGCCAGUUUUAGGCACCGUUGGUGAAAGGUUGGCGGUGAUGGGCAUCCCCUUCAACAACGGCACUGGAGCCGACGGUGAUUGGCAUUAGAAAACAAAAAAGGGGACCCUACCUAGCCACCCCUGCAACCCGGCCAGCCGUGCCUCCCCUCGUCCCCGCCACCUCGCCUCCCCCGUUACCCCCCUCCGGCGCCCUUGCGCCUAGCCCCCUCGCCUGCCCGACUGGCCACCCUCGUCACGAGAGAGAGAGGUGCAUGUUGUAUAAUUGCGUGAAUUUUUUAAUGUUUAAUUUCAUGUAAGUUUCAUGUAAUAAAUUGUACAAGAUUUAUUGUAUAUAUGAAUUCCAUAUAUAUAUAUAUUUAUAAUUUAAUGUAUGGUUUCAUGUGUAUAUUUCAAUCAUGUGUAUAUUUAGUAGAUUGCCGAUUUUUUUUUACUAGACAAGGGUUGAUGUAUAAUUACGUGUAUAUGUUUAUUGUACAGGCAAUUAGGACAAGUUUUGUAUAAAUUUCUUUUAUUUCAUGGUUGUUGUAUGGUUUCAUGUAUAUACAUUUAUUGUAUCACUAAUUGUAUUAUUAGUUAAGAUGGGAGCCAAAGAGGAUGAAAGGUAUAUAAUGGAGCAGAUUAUUGCUGGCGGUAGUGGCUCAAACGUUGCAAGAACCUACACCGAGGGUGAGGGUAGCUAGGUGGACAUGUACCUCAACAUGUCCAGUGAUGGCAAUGGUGAUGAGGAGCACGAGCAUGACGUUUAUGAUAAUGCGGAACAAGACAUUGCAGAAUUGGAAGGUUCUAAUGAGGUGUGUUUCAUGUUGAUGAUCUGGUUGGCUUUUUUUCUUUGGUCACACCUUAGUUACCAUAGAACUUCGUCUCGGGAGAAGAUUAGUGGUGCUAUGGUGAUUGGAAUUUUAUUGCCUCCAAAUCUGAUUUCCAUCGAAUCAUAUCCCUUGUAUUUAUCUUCUUUUUAUUUGUGAGAGCAUCUUCUUUAUGCUUGCAAAACAAUUCAAGUGCACAUACUACACCUAGGGUGACGAUUAGGAGUAGAAACAAUUGCCAACAAACCAACACCACAUCCUAAGAUUCUUAACUUGUGGCAUAAUUAGUCUAGUAAAAAGAAAGAUAAAAACCUAAUGGGUGUACGUGAGUGCAAUGUGUAUAUGCAUAUGAGUGGAAGGCAUAUAAGCAAAGAUAAUAUUUACACAUAGUUCUAAACACCAUGUUUACAGCUAGGUUGCUGAAUUUCUCCAUAGCUAUAGAGAUUAAUUAACCAAGGUCAAAACACCAUGUCUAUCCCAAGAUCAGUAAUUCUUUAUAGCACAAGAAAAAGAAAGCGCAUUGCAAAGUUUAUAAACCAACCAAUGCAGCAUGAAAACAAGAUGAAUAGCUAGCAAGGUUUAUUAAACUGAAUGAUGAUGGUCUGCAAGCAAGUUUAAACACCAUCUUUACACAAGAUUGCGAAUGGAAAAUGCCCAUAUGAAGCACUAACAUGGAUAUGAAAUCAUUCAUCAUAAAGCGUAAAGAACAACCAAGCCAACCAUAUGCAAAGCAUGAAUGGAAUGCAAUGAAGGUGCAAGAGAACAUUUUUGGAUGAACACAUUAUAAUGAUGGCAAAAUGCAAUGCAUGCAGAAAAAAUAAAUAUGAACAUGAAUAUGAUGAUCAUGGGGCGGACCCACUAUUGUGGCCUGGGUAUUCCUGGGCAUACCCAAUAUUUUUGGGAAAAUGUUUAGUAGUUUUUAAUGGUAUAUACAUGUAUAAUAUAGUUUAGGUGUUAAAAUUGAUAUUCACAGCUAUUUUGGGCCGCAAUUCGCGUCCAAACCAGCCUGGCCCACAGACCACACCCGGCCGGCCGGCCCAUCUAGUCACUGAUCCCCCCACCACCACACUCAGCCCGUCAGUCGGUCAGGUCCCGAGCUCCUGCCUGACCUAGUCCGCUACCGCCGCCAGGUGCCAGGCACAGCCGCACGCACCACGCCGCCCCCGUCCGCCGCACGGCCGCGCCGCGCCCCCCAGCCCCCGCGGUGAGAUCCCGCCGCCCGCUACCGCCAAACCUCAUUAGGCCUCCACCAGCAGGUCCACCCACAAUCCCGAGCGACGCGGCAGCCUCUUGGCUCUCGUCGNNNNNNNNNNNNNNNNNNNNNNNNNNNNNNNNNNNNNNNNNNNNNNNNNNNNNNNNNNNNNNNNNNNNNNNNNNNNNNNNNNNNNNNNNNNNNNNNNNNNCCCCCCCCCCAUCGGGCCUCGGCCCCUCCCCAGCUCCCCCCCUCCACCAGGACUGCUGCUUCCCCCCACUGCGAGGUAAUCAAAAUCGACUGCUCAAUCUCUCAAUCUGUUGACAUGAUGCACACGGUUGCAAAAAUAGAUGUGUCAAAUAGAUGUAUUGCCAAUUGCUAUAGAUGCAUACGGUUGACAUGAAGAAGUCAAAAAUGACAUUUGGUUCCUUGUAGGCAGUCAAAACUGAAGAAGUCAAAAAAUAUUGAUCUGAAAUCAAUGUGGGAAAGGGCUACAAAGACACACAGGUAGAUUCCCUUGUGAACUUUUUAUGUCGUUCGUCUAAAUAUUUUUUUGCAAUGGGCAUACCCUACUCUAAAAUCCUAGGUCCGCCACUAAUGAUGAUGGUCUAAAAAUAAAACAAGCCUAGAUUAAUUAGCCACAACUGAAAUUAAGCAAAGGCUAAUGUCAUUGACACUAGCUCUAUCCUAGCUUUUACCAAAGUCCUGGCACAUAUAGUGGUUGGGCCCACUCUCUCUGCUUCCCUCUCUGUUGCAUGCACGCACACGAGCAACGGGAGGCCCGACGAAGCCCAGAAGGGUUCGGCCAAACCAGUCUGAGCGCCGCUCCCUCCCAGCCUUCGCGCAGAUGCUCCUCCAACGUUCCUUGACCCCUCCCUCAGCGUCCCGUUGGGUUUAACAUUGCAGGACAGGAGUCCCUUUUUUAAAAUCUCAACCACCUCCUCUCCUCAUUCACUCCACUCUCAUCUCCAUCAAACUAAACGAGAUCCACACCAGAAAUCCCUGCUUACCACCAUGGCUAGCAAAGCCCUCGUCCCUUUCACCAACUUAGGCUUGACCACUGAUCUCGAUGGGGAAAUCACUCCGGCAAAUGUCAUUGUCCCUGUCGGGCGAUCUUGCGAUGGAGGAGGUCCAGGCACUAGAGGUCGAGCCCCUAGCCAUCAUACCGCCCAAGGGGUAAAGCAGGGGUGUGACAGGCGCUGCUAGGGGUUCAGCCAAACUCCUAGUUCGGCCAAACCAGGACGGCGCCGCCUCGGCCUCCCGCUCGACUGCACGCUCGCCCUUGCCAAGGAGGACUCUAGAACAGCGGGCGCGAGCGUCAAGUCCCUACAAAAGGCUGAAAUACAAUGAAUAUCCAGGGCCACCCUUGAAGAUGGGUGAACGCUACGCCGGGUCCUUGUUUGACUAGUACGGCGAUGCAUUCUGCCACCGCUAUGAGGAGGACUUGUGGGCAGAAAGUCGGCUACCACAAACUUGCCUCCGAAUAUUUGGAUUGCGAACCUUGGAUGGUGGUUGUGGAGACCCCAAGCCAUACCUCGCACCCUUGGAGAGGUAAUUGGCUGGAUUGCUUGGUUCGUCUCUAGAAUGCGACAAGGUCAGGCGCCACCUCUCACUGCUACCAGUUAGAAGGCCGAGGGGCCAGUUUCAACAUAGUAAUGAGAAUCUCCGAAGGCCACCAUGGUUAAGCAGCUAACCUCCAUGAUCAUAGACUUACGUUUAGAAAAUAGGAGGCUUAGCGAUGCGUUAACAGAGCAGAAGUUAGAAACAGAAGAACUUAAGGACAACUUCCGUGUCCUCCGUCGUGGUCUUUGUGCUAAGAUAAAGCGCUUGUACAAUGCCACGGGGCAUGACGGUCUCUACGAUGCAGCUCAAUAGACGUGCCCCUUGUAUCCCUUCCUUUAGGCACUUUAGAAUAUGUUUAUUUGUUUUCCUUCAUUUUAAUUUCCAAUCAGAUUGUUAGCACCUCCAAUUUAAUUUCAAUAAAGUGUAGACUCACCGGUCAUCCAACCUGAUGGAGUCCUUGUGUCACUUAGUUGUCUUUGGAAGAAGUAGCUAGGUACAAAAUAAGUGUGGGGGAGAGCCACGGACUCUCUAGAGUUGAAACAAUGCACAACACCCACAAAUAGAGAAAACCACGCUGCACCAGCACGUACGUGAAAGGGGAGCCAGAGCUGGACCCAUAGGGGUUUGGCCAACCCAGGGUGUGGCCCACUCGGGCCAUCUUCAUCCACCGCGUCGGUUUGUGUUUCUUUACCCCUGAUCUCCCUGAUUCAUGAGUUUGAAUGAAUUUUAAAUCUGACCAACUAAUUCAAACUCAACUAAAAUGAAUCAAUUGCUCCACCUGCUCUACAUGUUUUCUAUGGUUGGCUUGCAUAUGUUUUAUUCCAUGCUUAUCAUCUUGAUGCUUGUGAACAAAUAUCUUUAGGACAGCAUGCUCAUCUAAGUAGUUGAUGUGUAUGAUAUGGUUUGAUGAUAUGAUCUUCGCUCUUAAUGCUUAAGUGCUUGGAAAAUUCUAUUUGAAAAUUUAAAGCCUUUUUUGAAAUCUCCUCUUUGAUGUGCCAAGGUCCUACCAAAGCCGUAUGAUAAGUUGUCUUGAAGAACCAUUUGCAUAUAUUGCUUGUCUUUGCAUUAAGCUUUGUCAAAGUGGUGUGACCCUUGAAGAACCAUUUGCAUAUAUUGCUUGUCUUUGCAUUAAGCUUUGUCAAAGUGGUGUGACCCUUGUGACAAUUCUUUUCAUACUUUCAUGAUCAAGACUCAUGUGCACACCAUAUACCCCUUGCUAUGCUUCUAUGAGAUGUUAGCAUUGUACCAUCCAUUGAUUCCACAAAAUAAAUGCUCCACCAUAUGUGUUGGUCUCCUUCUAAGAUUAUUGUUACAAAAGAGAUAUGGGCUAUCAAAAAAAAAUAUGAAUGUCCUAGAAAGUUGGACACAUAAAUGUCAAGAGAUCAUACAAAAAGGAGUUUCCAUUCCAUCCACCACAUCCAUACACGUGCACAUCUUGAUCUGAUUGUAUGACUUAUUUUUCUCUUUGGAUCUGGUCUUUGACUUUGCAAUAUAUGUGAUGCAAGUAUGCCUUAUCCUUCAUAGCCUACCUUGAGCUCCACAUAUAGCCAUCAUUAGAAGUAGGAUGAAGAAAGGCAAGUCUAAUGCCUUGGUGAGGACAUAUACACAUUGAGUGAUCUGAGAGAAUCAAAUGAGGAGCUAAGCAAGGUUUUGUUUUGAAAACUAAUUGAAAAAUCCCAAGCUACUUGGCAUAUGGAGUUGCGGUGACUUGAUUCAAGAUCAUUCCAUUCCUCAACUACCCAAGAUGGCAUGAUAGACACUCCAAAGUUCACAAGUGCAGGUAUGGUUUGGAAUAUCUUUUAGGCUCGCUUCAUACCUUUGAAAGUUAU